AAAGGAGAGUGGUGAGGAUGGAAAUCCUUCCUCUUGCCUUGAAAUUGAUAUGUCUGUUGAUUCGGUGAAGCAUUAUGCAAGGCAUGGGGAGGUGCCACUGCUGUUUGGGAAGUCGAGGUCUUCUCAUUUAGGUGAGUCUGGCUUCCACCUCCCACUUGUGAUAAAGGAUGGUUGUAGGGGGUUUCUCCUGAUAUGUCUUUGCCUCGGCGGAGGCAUGGUUAUAAAGCCUGCGCCAUUACCUCAGAGUAAGUCUUCCAAGUAUUGGCAUUGAUCAUGUAUUUAAAGAAACAAUCACGUAGGCCUGCCGUGAAGGCUUUGAGGGCAGUCUUGUCGUCUGCCUCGGCACACCGGGAGUAUUCAUGGCUGAAGCGGCCAGCAUACAUACGUAAUGACUCGUCUGGCUUCUGGCGGAUAGUGUACAAGUCAUCUGCAGAGUGCAAGCGAUCGGUUUGGAAAAUGUGUUGGGAAACAAAUAGUUUCCUCAAUUCCUCAAAUGAGUCUACCGUCUCAGGUGUAAGACGACAAUACCAAUUUAGAGCUCCACCAGAGAGGGUGGAGGGGAAGAGAAGACAUCGCUCGUCGUCGGUGUGCAUCCGGUAUGCCAUGGUGGACACAAAGAGGUUAAGGUGCUCAAUCGGGUCCUCUUUUCCAGUAUAAAGUUGCAAGCCAAGCUUUUGCUUUGUCUUUGCUUGAAGGGGGGUGUUGAGGAUCCUCCUUGUAAGAGGGCCAGGCCUGGGUUGGUUCCAGUCAGGUAUUUCAGCCUGACGUUCAGCCUUCAACUUGUUUACUUCCUCAAGAAGUUGUAGGACAAGGGGGUCCUGAGCGGAGUUAUGUGUCACUGGAGCUUUCUUUCGUAAAUCUCCAUCUCCUAUUGGAAUUAGGAAGGUUUGAUCAAGGGCAUGUGAUUUUUCCCUGGACUCGCUGUACUGGCUUCCAGGGUAUGUCUGUCGGAACACCUCUGAGUCCCCUGUACCCCUCAUGUCUCUCUAGGACUUGUUGCCCCUUCCCCAAAUUGGUGGCCGGCUUGGGCCGUGGCAGGGGACCGAGGUCUCUCAGAAAUCCUUGGGUCAUUGAUCUUUGAGCUUAUAUGGAUGGAAUUCUCUCGACGUUGCUUCAGGAAAUCCCGACAAUCGCGAAAGACGGCUUUCGAUCCUUCUGCCCCUUCAGCAAAGAGGUGUCUCCCUCCACUUCUCAUGGUUCGGGUCGAAGCAACUGGGUUAAGAGAAGCCUCAUGUUGAUUAUCAAGUCGAGGGGUAAUCUGUUCCCUAUCAGGGAUAUCUAUGUCGAAUGCAUGUGACCCUCCAUGUUGGAGGGCACCCAGUUGAUGGUUGACUUCCACGGGGGCAACAAGCUCGCGUGUCUGAGCUUGCCUAGCUUCGUGGAGUGUCUCGAAGAGCUUCUCAUAUUGCUCCUGGAGGACCUCAUUCCUCAUUGCUAUCUUGUUGUUCUGAGCUUCCAACUCAUCGACUUUAGCUUGAAGAAGAACUCGUUUUCCUUCCCUUCUUUCGUUGUUUCGCACUAUGUGCAAGGGGGGUGUCAUUCUGUGUGCUGUGGCUUCCUUCGCUUCCCAUGUUGGAGAGGGAUGCCUGAUCAAAAGAAAGUGUACGAAUGAUAGAAACCAGCUUGACACAGCUGAAGAGAGUAGGAAUAAGUGUCGUUUCCCACAGACGGCGCCAAAUGUUUGAUGCACAAAAUCAGCGAAGACUUUGGUACAACAGAAAGUGUCAGGUUUUGUGACCUUCGCUUGGUUGCUUGGUUGCUUCAGUCACUAGUGAGGAUAAGUACGUAAAUGAAUAGAGACAGAGAAGCAAACACAGGAUGUACGUGGUUCACCCAGAUUGGCUACGUCCACGGAGUAGAGGAGUUCUUAUUAGUAGUGAAGGGCUUACACAAGUAGAAAGGAUCAAGCUCUCAAUUUAGUGAGUUCUUGUGAAUGAUUUAACACAAAAUGGCAUUAGGCAAUAUUGUGGGGGAAUGACCCCUAUUUAUAGAAAAACUUGUAGCUUUGUCACAUUGACAUGUGUCAUGUUGUGAUUGGUUCUUGAUGUCGACACGUGCUGCGCUCUGAUUGGCUUCUAAUCUUGACACGUGUCGAGUAGUGAUUGGCCUCCUGGUCGGAGGGGAACUCUUCUGGGUCCUUGACAGUAUAGCGUUGGCCGGUGCUCGGUAGUUUCGGGAUUGGUCAAGUAUGGUACAAACAAAUUCCUUGCUAAUUUAUUGGGUGCUAAGUAUUAUUGGAUCGAGAACAUGAUUUGUGUUAGUUUUACAUAUAUAAAAUAAAUGGGUAAACGGUUACCCGUUUAUAACCGUGGUUAAUACUCAUAACCGUCCAUUUAAGUUUCGUGAGUAAACGGUUAUACCCAUAAUUGUUUAUUUAUGUAAACGGUUACCCAUAACCAUAACCGUUUAAUUUAAAUAGGCGGAUAACCGCGGUUACCCAUAACCAAUGGGUAUUUGCUCAUCCCUAGUCUUGACCUGCAACACCUCCUCCGGCGACGCGCUGUCGACCACGGGCAGUGCAGCCCAUGACUGUCCGAAGACAAAAAGAUGAAGAUAUGUUGUGUGUUGAGCUAUGGGAAGCUCUCAGUAGAGACUUGCGUACUCCUUUCACAUAACACAAAGUUUUCAUCAAAAUAUGCAGUCCAAGCUCUUGUCUAUCAGCAAUCCAAGCUCAAAAGGUUACUCCACACAACCAACAAUCCCAAGUCCUACACCGACUCCCCUUAUAGCGCCAUAACUGAGGCCGAAAAUAGAGAAUUGAGGAAAGAUGAUGCCAAUGUACAACUUGUGCUUUAUGCUGGGAAAAUCGAUCUCUCAAAUGACAAUGAGAAGCUCAGAGCACAUCUGCAAGGCAUGCAGUGCAGGGUCAUGGAAUUGGAAAAACGUUGCAAGAAAAUGAAAUCUCAAAUGGCGAAGUUUUCGAAAUCGAAAACACCAAGCCACACCCGGGCGAUGCAGCCCAUGACCCGGUUCGAAGCAACCCGACCCAAGACAUCAAACGGCUAGAGGAGAGCCGCGUAGUGCAACAGGCGUUUAACUUUGUUGAUUGGUUGAGGUAGAGAUUGGAACUCGGAUAUCAAAGUUUGGAGUUUUAAGGGGACGAGCUCGGCGGUUUUGGAGGAGGGGGAGAGGGUGAGGGCGGAGCAGGAGAAGAUGGAGGCGGAGCCAGGGUUUUGGGGAGGCGGCGACGGGUGCUUUAAUGGGUUGGGAUUGGAAGACAGUAGCGUUUGGAUGCAUUUGAGGGAUUUGAAGGGUGUGGGCUGGGGAGUGGCCGGAAAGUGGUAUUUUCUCUGUCAAGCCUAACGGAGGAAUGACAAAAGAGCAUAAAUCCUAAUAGACUUAGACCACAAGGGUUUAAAUCCAAAUUUUUUUACCACAGGGGCUAUCUUCCGAAUACCUUAUGACCACGUGGACCAUUUAUCCGAUUAGGUCUUAUUUUUAUUUUCAACAUAUCUCUUCACGUGUGGUAAAUUUUCAAGCCUAGUAUGUAGAGCACGUGCAACCGUUGGACUUCACACAACAACUUGUUCUGAUACCUUGAAGAAAGUUAAGAUUUCACCAUAAAACCCUGACUUAUAAGUCCAUGCAAAGUCCCUCCUAUCUAUGUGAGAUCCAUUCUCAAUAAAAAUAAAUUACUAGCACUAUAGUAUAGGAUGUUGGCAGGUUGGGCUGGGGACAUGUAGAUGGGUCCAAGAAGGGCUGCAGGCCUUCUCAGGAGUUGGGCUAGGCUGCGUGUCACGCCCCGGACCCGGGGUCAAUAGGAAAAAUAACUCUGAAUCCGAAACGUGAGAUAAAAGCUAACUAAUUAAAAUAAAACUGAAAUAACGGAGUGAAAAAUAAAAUUCUUCUUAUUUAAAAUAACUCAAUAAUUAUUUACAAGGCUAAAUAAAUAAAUACAAAAUUAUAUCCUCACACUUAAUCUGAUCUCAUCCUGUCUACCCUUUUUUUUACUAUUUAGUUCUUAAACCUGCAUAACAAUAGAGGGGUGAGCUUCAACAGCUCAAUAGGGACAUAACUUUAUCACAAUAAAUUGAAAAUAUUAAAUUAAGUGUCAUAAAAUCAUGUAAUCAAGUACCAAAUCAUUAUCAUCAACAAUGCAUGAGUGCGAUACAAUACUCUUCAUCUCUACCCGUUAAUUCAUAUAAUAAAACACGCGGACCUGCACAUCGCAUACCAUGCAUUUUACCUCUACAGUAGUGGUUCGAAUGUUCUAAUAUACAAAUUAACCCCCUGUAACUCAAUCAUCCCAAUUUCCCUUUUUGUUAGUCAUAUUGCCAAAACCUUCGUCGCCAGUCCCGAAUUACCCUUAAAGAAUUUGUGUAUUGUGGGCUCGCCUGAGACCUAGUACCUGCUAAGAGUUUGGCUAAACUACACAAAGGAUCAUUUCCAACUACCCUCAUUUCCAGUUCCUUUCUCAACAUCGAACUUCCAACUAUUCUCAUACAUGAGUAAUGCACAAAUAAUCUCAUUUCAUCAUUCACAUGUACCACAACAUAUUCUCAGCGAAUAGCAUUUCACCAAUAAUUCUAUAACCAAUAACAAAUAAACACACAAGAGCAGUAUUUGUCCAAUUAGUAAACCAGAUCACAUUAAUCAACCAACAAGAUCAAUAACAAUAAUAAUAUAAUGUUUCACGAAAUUUAAUAAAGCCAGUCUCCGUAAAGGUCUGCCAUAUUUCCCCUACCUGGAUUCCAAAGCAUAGCUCCGAGAUAAUAACACAAAGAAGUAUAAGAAAAUCACUAUAUGCAAGACAAGAACUUUAAUCCCAGUCAAAGCACUUGAGAUUACUAACUUAACAACACCCAUUUCAAAUACCCUUUUGAUUGAUCUAAAAUAAUGACAUGGUCAUAAGAGAACAUUUGAAUGAGUACAACUUGCAGAAAAAGGGACAGGUGAAAUACAAAUAUAAAUAUGCAUGCUGUCUUCUUGGUGUAUAAGCUGGGAACAUAACUUUAGCCAAUAAUUAAAUAAAGUCUUACAUAUGAUUAAUGAAUAAGUAAACUAAACCACAUAUAUAAGCAAAUUACCAAAUGUAUGACAUGAACUCUAAUCCUAAUUAACAUAUUUAAGUUUAGCGAUUCCGCAAUACUAAUUCACAAGUUAUUAUAUAUACAUCAACUCCAAACACAUGCUUUACUUGAUACAGUUGAAACUAUACCUAUGAACAUAUGCGGAUAGUUCCAUGCCGAGAAAGCUAGCUUGGUUUACUCUGGCUUGUGCAAAGUUAUAUGCAUGAAUACCAGCAUAUACGUAAAUAGUUUCUCUCAAAACCAAUAAGAAAGAUAUAUGUGCGAAUUAAUAUGCUCAAGUCCUCUUUUAUACAACAACCUCUAAUAAAGGGAAGAUAUAAUAUUUAGCAUGUGAUAAUUAUAUAUAGGCUCAAUCUUAUCACUUUUGUGUAGGUAAGAUGAUCUCCAAUUGUAAAGUCUGAUAGCCAAACGUCUAUGCAGAUAUACUUACAUAUAUACUACAAACCAACAGAGAUGAAACACGACUGAGUUGUACAAUAUAUAGAGCUAUGGAAAGACUAAAAAAUAUGAGAAUCAUUACCCAUAUUUACCCUGCUACAGAUUUGACACCGCCGAUUAAGAAGCACCUCAGCUUCCGGUUUCUUACACCCUUCUCUUUCUCUCACUCUCUUUUCCUCGUAAGAUACUAAUGUCCAAAACGAAAUGCAAGUGUAGCUCCCUAUUUAUAGUCAGAGAAGGCAGCAACUUCUUAGAGUGCUGAACAAGCACUUAGAGCACCUUGCUGGCAACACCCCAGCCACCCUUAUCCAUAUAUUUCUUUGGCCAUCUAUAAACUUCACACGUCCAGCUUGAAAGAGUGCUUAGCAAGCACCACUAAUGGCUGCCUUAGAAAUUGAGACACCUCAUAAGACAAAUAAAAUAUAAACUAGUAAAAAGAAUAUAAACCAUUACAAAAUUAAAAUGAAUAAUUUAAAAAUAUAGUUUUUAAGUCAAAUAAUACUGAAAAAGUCUAUUAGACUUAUUUGAUCAAAAUAAAUAUUUUUUUUAUAUAAAUAUAAAAUACAGGUCUUCACAACCUUCAAUUCCUUAGUUUCUGGUAAGAGUGUGCUAAUAACGUGUUGUAGGCAUAUUUGACUGAACUAUAUUUAGGACUAGAAAAGGGAGAGAGGCCGGUGGCAAGAAAGAGAGAAGAGAAAAAUUUAAUUGUGAGGUGUGUGUUGUAUCACCACAUUGUGCCUUUAUUUAUAGCAAUAUGAUAGAUUAAAUCCUUACCCUAAUAGGAUUACAACUAUAAUAGGAUAAUAACUACUAAAGGGAAUAUUCAGAGGUAUCACUAAAUACACUAGGAUUUACACAACACAUUCCUAUUCUAAAUAUGAUUGCAAUAUUAUUCAAUUUUUUUUAACAAACAAUAUUAUCUACACUAAGAGGGAGCAUGUGGGCUUAGCCUCAUAAUGGGCUAGCAAUAAUGUGGUUCAAAAUCGUUUUUAGUGAGAAUCGAACCUAAGAUGUCUAAUUUACAAGUGAAGAGGAAUACCACUAGACCGUAGUACUAAGUGACGUUAUUCAAAAUUUAAAAUAGAAUUCUCAGUCAAGUAUUGAAUUGUCCUUAUGAAAAAGAUUCGCGAUUGUAUUUUUUUUCUUUUCAUUAGAAAACAAAAUUAGGGGAAGGGAGGUUAUUCCAUUCCAAGACUAGAGCGUAUCACAAGAUUUUUUAAGGAUUCACAGAGGGGGCUUCAGUCUUUUUUUUAUUUAUUUAUAAAUUAUAUAGAUUUCACGCAAGAGGGAUUGUCGGCAACAGGACUCGAACCUAAGUCUUGAUCUAUUAAAGAAAAAUAUCUUUAUCAACUCAAAUAAUUCUGAAUAAAAUUUGUGUUUAUAUCUUACAUUUGAUAACUAUUUCAAUUUUUCGUUUCAUGUGCAAGUGAAAUUUCACUUGGUGGUCAAAUUGUGAAUUCGAGGUCAUAAUGAAUGGGCAAGUGAUAAAUAGCAUGUAGCAUGUUGAUAAAAAACAAAUCGAAGGUAUGAUGAAUUUUUGGUUGGCAAACGAAAAUUAAAAUUGAAAUUGGUUUUACACAGAUUUCAAAGAUUGCAUUGAUUUUGAAAUUGAGAAAUGUUAAGGAGAGUUUCUCGAACUCUCCGUCACCUUAUGUUUUUAAUUGGGUUCUUUAGAAAAUGGCCCUUGAAACUCUUAUUUUCCAAACAAAAACCCACCUAAUAUUAAAUAUCCAAAUAAAACCCAAAUUUCAAAUAGAGUACCAUGUAGACAAAUAUGUAACCAAUUAUUAUCACAUAUUUACAACUUAUGCCACAAAACCCUAAUUAUGUCAAUAAAUAUUAUUACUUACCCUAAUUAUGAUUAGUAAUUAACCCCAUAUGGAAAAUUUCACCUUUCUUGUAUGGUAAAUAUUAGGAAUAUUAUAAUAUAUAUAUAUAUAUAUAUAUAUAUAUAUAUAUUAUAUGUAUUAAUUUAACCAUGUUCAUAAACAAUUAUGGGCACAUUUUUCAUAUGAAAAAAAAAAUCCUUGUACAAUCAGUUAUUUUGCAUCAAAUAAUAUUGUUGGAUAAAAAACAAUAAAAAACCAAUUAAUAUUCUUUUAUGUUGUAGGUAAAUUAUUUUACCUAGAUUAUUACAUACGUUAGGCAUAUUUUGUUUGUUAUCAUAUAUGCUUGUUAAAAAUAAUUUAUCUAUAUUUGUAUGUAAAAUAUAAGUAAAUUAAUUUUGAAUCAAAUAGCAUUUAUUUUGUAGGUAAAUUAAAAUAGUAGUUCCAUUAUUUUGGUAAAGUUAAACAGUGCCUAAAUUAUUUCGUAAGAAUUAAACCAAGACAAAUUAUCUCUACUAAAAUAAAACAGUAGAUAUUCGACAAAAAAUAAAUAAAAAAUAAAACAGUAGAUACAUUAUUUUCUUAUAAGAUUAAACAAUAGGUAAAUUAUAUUGUAGGUACAUUAUGUUUGUAAUAUAAAAAAAAGAAAUUGAAAUUUAUAAACAAAAAGUAGUAGAUAUAUUAUUUUUUAAUCAAAUUUCCUUUAUUUGUAGGUGAAUUAUUUCAUCAUAUAUUUUUCAUUUUAUGCAUUAUUAUAUAUAUUGGGCACAUUUUACUACUAAUAUAUAUGUGUGCAAUAAUUUACCUAUAUUAUUAUAUAAAAUAUAGAUAAAUUUAUUUUGAAAUCAAAUAACAUUUUUUAUAUUACAAACAUAAUGUACCUACAAUAUAAUUUACUGGAUAUCCGAUCCCGUCCUACACCUAUUAGGACUAUGAACCUAGUCCUUAGCUAUUAGGACUAUGAACCUAGUCCUUAGCUAUUAGGACUAUGAACCUAGUCCUUAGCUAAGCUGGAUUAAUUUCCUGGAUAUCCGAUCCCGUCGAGACUCCCCAUUGCACUAGGAUUCGUCUUAACCGCCCUAGGUUUGGACUCCCACGGGUUGACCGAUCCAUGGUCCUUUUGCCGCCCGGCCUCCUGGGCCGAGAGUGAUCCUACCCUCGGCCCAAACUAUUAUUUUGGGCCCAAACACAUCCAUACAUAACAAUUGGUGUGGUAUAUUCAUAUCACAACAUAAUGAACAGUAAGAACUAGCAUUCUUGAGACUAGAACUCGUAGGGAUAAAAAUAGAUUACGGAUAGAAUCAAAUUUGCGAAUACAAUCUCCUUAGAAAGAAAAUCAUGUCUCAUAUUAGCCUGCUUUGGUUUCCUUGCGAAACUUUUGUUAUCGGGCUAGCAUACACUCUAUAUGUUUCUAGUGAUUCACAUGAUAUUAUCAAAUGAAAGUCUUGGAUAAGAAUUUAUAACGCACUAUGACGUUCUUGUUGACGAUCCUUUACUCCGAUAGCAUCUAGAGUUCAUCUCUUUGAAAUUGCUUUCGUUUUUCAAAAACCAACGGGGAAAUUCAGUUUUCAAAUCAUAAUUGUCACAAAAAUAAAUGUUUUCGUUCAGGAUUGUGGGUGACUUGUAAUACCAAAUCAUGUUAUGUGCCAGCGUAGAGUUUUACGUGGAGGUAAAACUAUAGUCCCAAUAUAUUUUCAUAUAGCUUUUAUUAAAGAACGAGAUCCACGUGACUUUUGGCAUCACCUAUUCUUCCUAGUCCCUAAAUUAUAGACCAUUAUUUAUUUAUGAUUGUGACAGUUUGUCACGAAUCAUUACGCUCGUACAAGGUUCUUACUCUCAUUAUUAAUGAGAGACUUAUUUUCUACACAUCUUUUUAUAUGUGGUGAAUUUUCAAGCUUAGUACGUAGAGCACGUGUAGCUUUUAGAAUUCACAUGACAACUUGCUCUAAUACUAUGAAAAAAGUUGAGGUUCCACCAUAAAAUCUAUUGGUAUAGAGAGUAUGCCAACUUACUUAUAAAUUCAUGCAAAGUCUCUCCUAUCAAUAUGAGAUUUAUUCUUAAUAAGAAUAAAACACUAGCACUACGGUGUAUUGAUAUUGUUCUGCAACUUGUAAGUGAUGAGUCUCAUAUUCAACUUCUACAAAUGAUGAAUCUAAUAUCUUAUUCUUGUGGCUAGUAGUGCGCGUCUUAUCUCAAUUCUCACACUAGCACUAUAGUCAGGUGAAGUUAUUCUCCAACUAUAUGUAAGGUGAACUUUAACUCUUAUAAACUAUAAAUUCAAAGGAAAAUUAAUGAAAAUGCUUGAAAACUUAUAGUUUUAACGAUAAGGAUAAAAUAAAUGGUAAAAUGAAUAGUACUAUGAUUGAUUUUUAAGUAUAAUAAUAUAAUUUUUUAUUAAAGUAAACAAUACCAAGAACUUUUCGAUAAAGUUUUCUAAAUUCAAUACCUAAUUACUAUGAUUAGUUAGCGUGCGACUUAGAACAUCCUUCUAGAGAAAAAGUAGAUAAUAAAAUUUUCUCCAGCAAACUUAUUCAAACUCUCUGACCCCAUCUUAUUUGCUUCACCAACUUAAAAAACCUGACUUAAUUAUUAGGCACAAUGUAUCAACUGACCAAUCGUCCACUUGUUGCGUAAGAACAAAACCACCAAUAUCAGUUUGUCAACCGUUUGGAUUUGAGAAUCAAAUUAGUAUUUAAUUAAUGAAGUAAUUAAGUUUACAAUAGUACCUGCAUAAUCCUAAAUCCUUGCGUACACUUCCGGAUUACAAUGUAUUAGUUCGUUCAGAUCAUAUUCUUAUAGGAGUCCUGGGUUGAUAUGUAAUUUAAUUUCUAAUUUACUCAAAAGGAACGAGUAAGAUGUGAUGUAGAAUAGAAGGUUGAGAGAAUCGAAGAACAAUUAAAAAUGCGUAAGGCCCAAACACUACAAAUUUAGACUUCAAAUUUUUAUUUGUGCCCAUAAUCUAUCGUUUCAAAGACAAUGGCGAGGUGAACAAGACACAAUGCUCGACGUAUGAAUAUUUUUGGCCAAAUUCCUUUGUUUACUAGCCUCAAACGAGAUUUUACAAUUUUUUGGACCCUUAUGUAAUUUGGUUUUCCCAUUUUUACUCUAAGAGCAACUUCACCGCUAAACAAACCCUAGGCAAUAGGCAACUCAAUCUCCCAAAGUGAACAACAACUGUCCUUAGUGAACCGUAACUGUCCAAGUGUAUCUCCACUCCUAAAUUGAAUAGCCCAGGCUAUUGGAAUUAAAAUAUUUGUUUAUAAAAUAAUAAAAGAUAAUUUUGUUUUUAAUUUUGGACGUUUAACCAAAUCUCGGUGGAAGAGCAAUGUUAGGUAUUUAUAGAACUAUAAAUUUUUUUGUUAACCUUUUCAAUAUUUUUAAUAAAUUUUCUGUAUUUUUUUAAUAAUUUGUAUCUAACCUAAUUAAUAUGGACCAUUUGAUUACAUUGUAUGAUUAAUCCAAAAGCCCAAUUUAGACACGUAAUUUCAACGGUAAUAAUAGGAUUUUCUCUUUUUAAUUUUUUUUUAAGCUCGAAAAAUUUGGACCAAUAUCUAACAGACCAGAUUCCGCCACGUGGACAAGCCGUUAUUUCGAAUCCAAAUUUUUUUAACCAUAAGAAAUCCAAUGGCCGAGAAAUUUAACGGUUGAAAAUCCGACGGUAAAGGUGCCGUAGCCCCUAAUUCUAAAGCACUGGGUGCGCCUGCAGCGCGAGCCCGCCCGAUUUCUUGUCGGCUCACCCACCGAUUGUUGCACGUGUAGUUCGCGAGCCCAGCACAUAAAAAAAGAAGGCUAAUAUGGCUGACGUCACUCUAUCCAGUCGUUGGGCCUGGAGAUUGAUAUGGGCCGGAGUUGCUCUAAAAACGUUUUAAGGCUAAGGGGCACUUUAAAAGUAACAAAUUCAACAUGUGGAGGGUCAUCAUUGCAAAUGAUUGUUACUUGGCCACAAAUGAGGCUUUUGUACCAAAGUUUCAAACUCUAAAGAAAAUGGAAUGAAAUUGUUGCCACGUGGCACGUCACUAGCUAGGUGGUUCAUAAAACUAAAGUCACGGCAGGUAAUGGGAUAACGAUUAGAAAAUUGCCUUUUGAAAUUGUUGCCACGUGGCACGUCACUAGCUGGCUUGGUGGGUCGCCAUUGCCUUUUGAAAAUUGCGCAUAAGGAUUUCAGACUGGUGAAGAAUUUGGGCGCGUUUGCCGUUCGAAAUCCAGUUGAUUGAUGGAGAAGGAAGGAAUUGGAUUCCAUUCAAAUUUACUUUAUAUAGGAAUUUUAAGAAUCCUUACAUUUUAAUCAUUCAUCGUAUAUCGAGAAGAUUAGAAAAUAUUUUACUUUUUUAUUUAAAAUUCAGCAUAAAUAAUAUCUGAUAAAAAUUAACUGUACAAUGUACGAUAACCGUUAAAAUGUGGAGAUUUUAUUUUCGAGAAGGGAGGGCCCAACGCAACGCACGCUUACCCUGACAGCGCAAUAUUCCAAUUUCUUCCUCAACUGCCUCUCUUUUUUCCAUUUAUUUAUUUAUUUUAAAUUCAUAAUGUUCUCUUGCUGUCUCUACUAACGUAAGCCGCAUGGUUGGUUUUUGUAAUCUCACGAUAUUCUACUCCCAUUUCACCUAGUCUCGAGAAGAACUCACAUCUAUUAACGCAUGUGCGAGCGAUCGCCAGUAAUAUUUGCCGGUAACAUAUUGCCUUAACAAAAAUCUCCUCAAGUACGUUGGAAUUAGAAAUUAAGGCAGACUAAAAUGCACCGGUUCUAAUUAUUUUCGUAACAAAAAAACCGAUAAAUGAAAAACUAAUUUGUCUUAAAAUCUUGAUUAUCAUCUCACACGUUAUCGGUUCAUUUUAGAGAUGAAAAUGCUAUUUACUCUUCGAAAAAUAAUAAUUAAUUUUUUCGCUUAAUCGCAAAUAAAUAAAAUAAAAUAAAAUACACAUGUUUUUAGACAAACAAUGAAUACCAGACAGCGAUUCUCUCUCCUCUCAUCUCACUCUCUUGUUUCCAGUUUCCACGCCCAGUUUUCCAUCCUGUCACGAUUUCCCCAAAAUUCAUUUUUCUGCAAUUUUUUGCUGUUAUUAUUUUUGAGUAAAUAAAGUUUCGAUUUUUUACCCAAGGAGUAAGACCGUGGAGGAUUGCAGUUAGGGUUUCGUCGUUAAACCUCCUGCAAAUCUCGUUCGGAGGCGACAGAAGCUGUGGAGUGUUUCGGAAUCGUAGAAAGGGGGAAGGUUAGGUUUUCUUGCGGACUCGAUUUGGGAGGGGUUAGUCUCUGGCGACAAUGGCCAGCAACUUGCCGAUGAGCCCGCAGUUGGAGCAGAUCCAUGGCGAAAUCCACGACAAUUUUCGAGCCCUCGCGUAUGUCUCUGUAUUUUCGAGUUAGCAUUUCGAUUUUCAUCGGUUACUGAAUAAAUUUCAGAGCUUUGAUAUUUCUUCAAGUGUUUGAAUUUUAUGAGCAUUGUUGAUUGUGUGAAUUCGAUGAUUUCUGAGAGUCCUAGAAUGUUUGACAUUUGACGAAAGAAAUUAGAGGGAUGGGAAAAUCAAUUUGCUUGUUUUGUAAUUCGUUUGUGUAUUCUUACGAAAUUUAGUUAGAUUGAUGACCGUAAACUGUAGUUGAGCAUUAUUGAUUUACCGUAGAUUCAGUUGCUAAGGCGAUUCGAAGAGGAUAUGUGCUUCCUCAGCUGUUCCAAUAAUACUCAACCUCUUUUCGAUGUUUUCGGGAGUGUUGAGUAACAUUGUUUCUCUUUGGAAACUUAAAGUGGGUGUCUUUUGGAUAACACAAAUAAAUUUACUAGCUUUCAAGACUCGAGUUGCUCUAUCGAUUUUGCACAUUGAUGCAUAAAGCAUUGGCAUUGGUUAUGCGAGGGAACCAAAUACUGAAGUGAAAAAAUUUAUUUUGGCCAUGCUCUUGAUGAUUCAUUACUACUCCCGUGCUACCUAGAGGGCAAUAAUGUUAUUGCUUCCACAGCCGCUUAAAUUUUUUUUGGCAUCCAUACUUGAAACCCGAGGGCAGCAACAACCAUGAUAUACUAUCUGGAAACUGAUGGAUAAUGAGGGAGAUAUUAGUCAAAUAGUAGCCAUUGCUUAGUAUUUGUUCUUUAUUAGAGUCUCAUUUAGCUUCCACUUGUUUAGGUGGUUGCUGAAACCAGAUGCCAUUGUUGUAUCACAGUUCUUCACUGCCUCCGUCGGACCCAGUGUACUCUUUAUUAUCACUAACCAUCGUGAUUGUGCAGUGCAUUUUGUUAAUCUCUCAUGUUUGUGUCACCAACUGCACAUGAUACUUCUUGUUGUGCACCAUCUUACGUGUUAACUGUUUGUCUAUUUUUCUUCUACAAGGUGUAGUCACUUAAUGAAAGAACAAUUCAUCUCUUUGCGGACUAUUUCUUUGUUUCAUUUGUUGGGGGAAGUGCUGGGGUUGUUGCACUAGAUACAUGUAUUCCACUUUCCGUAUUAAACUGAUCACGUUAUAAUUAUUGUGAGUUCGUUUUUUGUUUCAGAAAUGGCUUCCAGAAGCUGGAUAAGAUCAAAGACUCCAAUAGACAAAGUAAACAGCUGGAGGAACUUACAGGAAAGAUGAGGGAAUGUAAAAGGUAUGCCACAUAUGGGAUUUUACUCUCUGACCCUUUGUCUGAUACUUUUAGUAACUGAGGAUCUUGGACAAUCUUAAUUUUCACAUUCUUUGAAGAGAGAAAAUAAGACAGACAAAAUGUUGUCACAACAUCCAAUGCAAUGUCCAAAAUUCAACAAUUCUUGCUCAAAGACUUCAUUAGGUUACUUUGGAAGUUUGAAGAAUUAGUAACUUAUUAACAAAGACAAAUUAGGUUGGAGCCAUAAAAGUUUCCUCAAGUAUAACUAGGAUCUUGAUGUGAGCGACUUUAAGUCAUGCUUAUAUACAAGCCCCACAUCCUGUUCCUGGACUCCCAUGCAUCUCUUCAUUUUUUAUUUUUUUGGGGGAUAUUGGAAGAAUUCAGGCGUGCGAUGAUUGCCGUUAUGCUACAUGAAAGAAAAAAAUAGCUAAAAAGGGAAAUAGAAUCUCAGUUAUUGAGGUAUUUUGUUUUAGAUAAAUUGCAGAGUAUGAUCUUGUAAAUACUUUGUUUCAGAUUAAUUAAAGAGUUUGAUCGUGAAGUCAAGGACGAGGAGAGCCGAAAUCCUCCUGACGUGAAUAAACAGCUUAAUGAUGAAAAGCAAUCUAUGGUAAGUUGUUGUGAGCUUUUGUCUUUUUCCAUCACAUAAAUGCACAGGUACACUGUACCACUUGCAUUUUUACAAACUCUGUGACUACUUUUGACCGGUCUAUUAGUGCACAAGACCUUUCCGGGUACACAAUAUCUAUUAGUUUCUGCUAGUGUAACAACUCCAUCUAAUUAUCAUGCUUCAUUUUGCAGAUCAAAGAGCUGAAUUCAUAUGUGCAAUUGAGAAAAACGUAAGUCCAGUAUGCAUUCUAUGUUAUUGUCAAUACUAUGGAGUCUAAUUGGUUUAGCAUGUUGCCUUCAGUCCUAAUAUUCAUGGGAUAAAUAAAUUAAUCGACAAACACAACAAAUUAUUGUAUAUUACAGUCCUUGAAUUCUAAACCCUGUCACUCUUCGUGCUCUGGGUAUCUGUGAUUUUUUAAAGUGAUUUUCAUACUGUAGCUGAACUGCAGGUAUAUGAAUAGCCUUGGUAACAAGAAAGUCGAACUCUUUGAUAUGGGAGCAGGAAUUAGUGAACCCACUGCUGAUGAGAAUGUUCAAAUGGCUUCAGGUAGUUUUGUCAUUCUGCAUAUCUUUGAGCUUAGUUUGAAUUUGUAGAAAUGAGCUUUUUCCUAUAUCUCUUUCAAGCUUUAGCCGUUAAUCAUGCUAUGUUAAUCAGCAUGCGGUCUUUUAAUGAUAGUACAAAGUAAAGGUGUAUCAAACUUUGUAAAGAUCAAUCUGCUUGGACCAUUCUAUCUAUGUCUUCUUGUUUUGUGCCUGAUUUGAUGAAAAGAUUUGUCUGACCACCUUUCUAAUUGGCAUGUAUUUCUGAUAGCUAUGUCAAAUCAAGAACUAAUCAAUUCUGGGAUGAAAACAAUGGAUGAGACUGAUCAGGUCAUUGAACGCUCUAAAAAGGUGAACAGCUAUCCCAGAAAAAAAAACCUUCAACUUUAAGUUUGAGUAUUUUAUUUUGCCGGCAAUUUUAACUCGAUAGUUUGUGAUAGGUUGUUGAGCAAACAGUUGAAGUGGGAACUCAAACUGCUGUUACCUUAAAGGGCCAAGUCAGUGUGUUCACCUAUUGUCUCUAUACCUCUCAUUUCAAGAGUUUAGACUAACAUUGUUCAACUCCAUAACUUGUAGACUGACCAAAUGGGCCACAUUGUAAAUGAGCUGGACACAAUUCAGUUUUCAAUUAGGAAGGCCUCUCAGCUUGUAAAGGAGAUUGGUAGACAGGUCAGUGAGAUCUCACCCCUUAGAUACUCUACUUGUAUAUUUUUCUAACAAACGCUAUUUUUUUCCUCUAUAUUUUCAGGUGGCAACAGAUAAAUGCAUCAUGCUUUUUCUUUUGCUUAUUGUAAUUGGUGUAAUAGCAAUUAUUGUUGUGAAGGUAUGCUGUUUGAUUCAUUUAUCUAUUGCCGUAGAUUUGCUACCCAUUUUACACAUUUUUUUUAAUACUCAGGAAGUCACACAUUUAAGUUACAGAGAUAUCUGCAGAGUUGUAUUAUAGGAACUUUUUCCGGAGGAAAUUUGUUGAUGAGUUUGGCAAGUUAUUUCUGACGGAUUGUGAACCCUGCUACCUAUUUUCCUCUCCCUGUUAAAUUGUUAGUAAUGCAUGGGAAAAUUGAUGCUUUCCUUCUCAGGAGUGUGUUCAAAUCCUCCUGGCAAAAAAUUCAAAGUUGAGAAAUGACUACAUCUGUUCCUAACUGUAAUGUCUGUUUAUAUUUCAGAUUGUGAACCCCAGCAAUAAAAACAUAAGGGAUAUCCCUGGAUUGGCGCCGCCUGCUGCAAGGAGGCUUUUGUCAACGAGUCUUCUGCAACAGUUCGAAUAGUUUCCUCCUCUUUUUCAGGAUUCAAUUUUUCCGACAUAGGUACUAUGAUUCAUGUUCUGGGGAUGCGGAGGAGGCUCAGAGGAAUACUUGUGCAUUGAUCGGUCUUUUCUUUUACUUAUACAUUAUUCUUGCCCGAGUUGUGCAUAUUGUUUGUGAUUCUCUAUGUAAAUCACGCGUGAGUCCUUUUUUUUUUGCUUUGGUUUGAAUGGCCAUCCACGGUUCUUUCUGUAAUCUUUCCAAGACUGUUUUAGUUAUAGAGAGAUGCACUUUGCUCUAUAUCUACCUGCGAUUUAGAUGUAUUGCCUUCCAAUAUGUAUUCACAUUGUUUUAUUCUAAUUUCUAGUGAAUAUCGAAGCGCCUUGUUGCAAGUUCUGUGCCAUUUUCUGCUCCGUCACAGGUUCACACAAUGUGGGAGGGCCUGCGUGUUUCGAGUUCCAGCAAUAAACGGUAAUUACAACAGUAAACGAGAUUGAAGUCCGUAUCGAGCUUCAUCAACAGCGCGGUAAGUAGCAGUUUAUCCAAAAAAAUAUAACUCGCAAUUGAGAAUCAAUUCGUAACAUCUGAGACUACUCAUGAAUCAGAGCUCAUGUUCUAACCACAAAACUCCAGCAACAGAAAAAAUACAGAGAACAGACAGACCGCCGCAUGAUAAACUUUGGGUUUCUCCAUUACUACCUGGACUACAUAUAACAAGGAGAAAUGCGUAAUUCGUCAAGGCUCUUGACAAAUUAAUGGUGAGCUUGUUCACCCGAUGACCAUGGGUCAUAAGCUACCAUCUACAAAAUUCAACCGGCAAAUCAUGCAUUCACUUCCUAAAACCGAAAGUAAUACAACGAACUGCCCCCGUGGUUCAGCGCUUUAAAGUCUGUUCCCUGGAAAGAAUUAAGGGUCUAGAGUUUGAAAAGAAUCUGCAUACUCCGUUUCUGGACUUUCCUUUUCCAAACAUCAAUCUACACGCGAGUUCGUGAAUCAUGCGGCAUAGUUGCCAGCCUGUGUUCGUCCAAUGUGAGACAACCUUGUUGAUUGAGUUAAGGGUGUUUCUUCAUCAACAUCAUCAGAGGCUGAACCAGCCCCUCCAGGGAUAAAAAUAUCAGAGGACUUUUUCUCCAUCUUCCAAUCCUGUAUUGGCCAGCACAGAGAACACGUGUUACAAAAAAAUUAUGGGAACUUUAAUGAAAAGCUCCAGAUACUGUUCACUUUAACGAAAAACACAUUUUAACACUAAAAAGUCAAUCAUAAUACUAUUCACUUUACCUUUUAUUUUGUCUUUAUCGGUUAAUACUCAAAGUUUUCAAACCUUUUUCAUUAGUUUUCCUUUUUAUAAGGGGAUCAAGGACUCCAAACAUUUUACCGGAAAUCAAAUUCUAGAGAAAGCAAACCUUCGAAAUUCUCUCAGGAAUGCUUUCAGAAGGUAGCUGAGAUGCACGAACAUCCUUGACCUUUAUGUAAUUGUACAUGACAACACCACACAGCUGCAGGCCAAAUUGACUGGUCAGCCAAAACUUCACAUUUAAACAUGUAUAAAAUGCAGUUGUAACUUCGAAACUUUCAAGUUAAGAUAUAUGGAGAGCUACCUAUGGCAUAACCGAUUAUGUUCAGCCUGGUUAUAAUAGACUCUGGAAAUAUAACAGUUGAAAGGGCAAUCAAUAUCCAGUCUUUCAGAACACCAGCAACCCGGAUGGUAACUGCUCCAGUUCUACCAAUUACUAAGAAUAUGGAGAAGUUCAAAGCCAAAGCACAAAGAGCAUUGGAGAAAAAGAUCCAGAAGUUGAACUGAAACUGUGAAUAUUCUAUUGCAGACUUCUCAAGUAACAACCAAGGCACAAACAGGAAGACAAAACUGCAAAAAUAAAUGAAACAAUAAUGGUGAGAUGCUGAAGCUAUGGCAUGCCUGUCAAUAGUUUACACUUAAUUUUGAUUUUCCUGUUUCUACUUCCACAAGCAUCAAUGGAAAAAGUCAAUUGAGUACAGAACCGUGUUUAAAUCACAUGCAUCCAUCAAUAAGGAGAUGUAGAACUUCAUCAGAAUAAGGGUGUAAACAGAAGGAAUGGAGAUUUCCCAUGGUACAGAUGGAUCGUUCUUAUACUGAUAGUAAGCUUACCAAAAUUGUGAAUCCCAGCCAUAUACCAUAAGUUACAGAUUCAGAAACUCAAAAUUACGAGAAAUAGUAAGUUAAAGAAUAAUUGGCGUUCACUAUCAGAACUAAAUUCUAGAAAUGAGUCACUAUUCUCUAUCAAGAUUGUUACGGAUGCCAAAGAACUAAUAUGCUACUUAUUCAUACUUUGCAAUUGGAAAAAGUAGAGUUCAUAUAUUGCGAUUGGAAAAAAUAGUGUUUGCCUAAAUUCCAACUCCUAUGAUGCAUACAAGUCCAAGCAUGAUAGUAUAAUACCUGCAUGGGGCGAUAUAGUACAAACUGGUGAUUGGAUUUAGAGUCAAGCCCUUCUUCUGUAGAAGGACUUGUGUUAAGACCAGUCUAAGAGCUUCUGCAAAGAUGCCCGUAACCUGGUACACUGUACCAACUACAUUAAAAUGAAUCUCCCCGUAUGAGGAAAUGACAACUCCAACACUGACCAGCAACAUGUUUGUGAACACAUCGCACCUUGGUUUGUCAGUGCCACACAAUACAGCCAUGAUAAAAGUAGCCACUGGCACUGCAGUAUUGAAUGUACAUAGAUAUAAGCAGUCAUUUGCGUUUAAAAGCAUCAUUAUUGUAGUAAAAUAGAUAUCAUGAGUCUCUGCAUCAGCACACAUACUUAGAGCUUUAAGCAUUUGGAUGAACGCCACUGAAAUAUGCAAGUAAGCAGUGUUUCCAAACCUGUAAUGACAGAAAAAGAAAAGUUCAAAACAAAAAAACUUGAAUUCUCGUCUUGAAUCUUGAUAAGUGCAAUUUACAACAAUGCAAAACUUGACAAGCAUACAAUUCCUAAAUGUGGGCAUUGCAUUUGAGCCCAAAUCUGGACAACUCAACCAACAAGGGACACCAAUUCUUGAAGGAAGUUCGGACAUUCUACAUCAGGGAAUCUAAGCAUAAGUCCAUUGUUUACCACAAAAUGAGAAAUUGUAAGAGAACAGAUUGGCACAAGUAACAUUAAGUCUCUACGCAUUUUAGUAUUUUCAUCGUUGAGAGGCAUGAGCCUAGUUACAGUCAAAUCUGAAAAUUUUGACCGUAACCUUUACAUAAAAAUAUGACAAUAACCAUCUCAGCCAAAACAAUCCAUGCCCUUAUUAGUUGCAUUAUUAGCCAAAACACCCAAUUACAUUUCAAUUCAGUGCUUACCAAAGACUUGAUGCAAAGAACGCACUGAUUGGAAUUACACAUGUUGCAUAUCUGCCAUAUAAAGGGAAAAAAAAAAUAAGAAAAACAAUUUGGACAAAAAAAAUUAAUAACAAGUCGGAGCCUAAAUUCAGCCUACAUACUUACAUUUCAAAUGUCAUUUUGACAGGAGCUACAACCUGCAAAUUCACAGAGGAAUAAAUAAGGAGAACAAAAGCAAUAAAUGAAUACAACAAAAACAAAAAUAUGGAGUAGUGACACAUGCAUAACAGAAAACUGAUACUUGCAUAAGAUGCAGCCAAAAAAAAAAAAAAGGAAAGAAACUAGAGCACACCGUGUGUACCCUAACUCUGCACAAUUGAUGACAAACUAUAAAUUUUGAAAUUCAAUAAAAUUUCAAAAUUGGCUUCUAUAGCUCCAGUUAAAUCCUAUUUCACUCUGGCCAUAUAGGACAUCAGUUACAUGCCUUGUCCCGCUAUAGACUAACCUAACCCACUAUCUUUUUGGCAGUCUCCCUUCUCAUUCAGAGUUGGGUAGCAUCAGUUUCGAAAUCAUUCAUGUAUUAACUACUGAUAAGAGCAAAUUCAGGAAAAGCAGAGAAGGUAAGAAUCCUAAUGGACACAAACAGCAGACAUCAACUCAACCAAGAUCUCAAGGUAAUCAAAGUGAUGUGAAUCACAGAUGAGUUCCAGUCAGAUAAAGUUAAUAGCGAGGAUUAAUAUGUCAGGGAAAUUAUAUGAUAUCACUUCGAUUGUCAACUAAACGAAAAUCCACUACCUGUCAAUACGUUAAACUGGCUUGACAGAGAUAUCAACACCUAUGUCAAAAGUAAUUUGGAGAUACAAAAAGCAUAUCCAAAAAUAAAGAGUCAGUCAUACCUUGAAAACACGAACAAGUAAAAAUGCUACUAGUCCAGAAAAUCCCAUAUGAAUCAUUGUAAGUGAUGGGUAAUGGAAAAUUGAAGUAUUUUGGAGACAGAACCCACUGCAAGGAAAUUCACCCAGAAAAUCUUCAGUAAAACAAGGAGGAAAAUAAUAGCUCAGAGUUUCAGUUUAACCAAUAAAGACUAUCGGUAACCCGCAAUAUAGAUAUAAACAUGCAAAUCAGUAAUGGCAAGAUAUAAAAAUGAAGUACUGAGGAGGAAGGACCUUGUUGUACAAUAUAACGCCGGACGAAAGCAGAAUGUAGAUGAACAGGUAAAAAUAAGUCAGCAACAGCGGUUUGCUGAUCAUCUUGGGCAUUUUUUCUUUUAUCAAACGACCUAAUGUAUGAUUUUCUGGCCUUUAAACCAUCUUAUUCAACAUUUUUCACUCCGCAAAUGUUAUGCAGUCCUAAACCCAGAACCGGAAGAGGACCUCCUCGUGCCCUCAAUCACAGAUUUGUGUGAGGAUCAAAUAUUGCAAUGGCUGCACCGACUCGAAUGCUUAAAUCCUGAAAGUGAAGGCACAAAUGAGAGAAACAUACUACAGUACCAUACACCUUAACCAAACAACAAGGAAAGCAUCAAACAUUUGUUUAUUAAAAUAGUAGGAAAUGGUACAAAAAUUAAAAGUGGAAGCUGCAGAGAAAUUGGGGAAAUGGGCAAGCACAGAAUCUGAUCCAAGACACUUAGCAACAAGCAUUCAACAAAGAAUCACGCCAUGGUUUCUUCAAGAACUAACAAAACCAACAUUUCGCAAUUGGAAACCGAAAAGGGCAGAUCUAAAAGGGACCCAAAACAACAAAGCGAGAGAAGCCCAAUUCAGAUUCUGAUCCAAAACACAAAACCCAUGUCGAAUUCAAGACGAACGAGCUUACCCAACAGUCGAAAUCAACUGGAACUCGCUUCGAAUCUGAAAAACCCCCGCUUAAUUUCAGAGAUCUACCCACUUGGGAAAGAAGACAAAGCGACACGGAGUAAAGGAGAAAGAGAGGGAGAGAGGGAGAGAGAAAUGGGAUCAAGGACUGGGAAAUGGUUGGUGACAGUGGGUGGGCAAAUGAGUACAAUAAAUAAGGCUGGGAAAGCUAAGAGAGGGAAGAAAGUGGGGUUAUCGAUGAAUCACAGAGAGAGAGCACGUGGGGUAGCCUGAAUCAGAAGAAAGAAGGGAAAUUUACGACUAGCAACAAGCAAACCAGCAAAGAGAGCAAGAAAGAAAGGGGCCCGCUCGCCUUGCCCUCCUUCUCCUACCUAGUGAGAGAGAGAGAGAGAGAGAGAGAGAGAGAGAGAGAAUGCAAGACCAAGCGUUAUCUGGGCCUUCCUCUCACUGUCUGAUUGCGACUUACUGGCUUUGUUUGCCACAGAAAGAGGAGAGCGAAGAAUAAUAAGCGUUUUUCUAUAAAUCCCGCGUUUUUGUUCUCUCUCUCUCUCUCUCUCUCUCUCUCUCUCUCUCUACUAUUUUACCGGACGGUUUUGUUUUAUUACGUGUUGUUGAUUAUGACUUUCAUAAAACAAUUUCACUAUUAGCGUCACGUUUUGGUUUAAUAAUGUGUAAAUUUCUCUCUGCACGUUAUUGGGUUGUUGAAACGAGAUUGAAUCUUUGGUUUAAUAAUGUAUAAAUUUCUCUCUGCACGUUAUUAGGUUGUUGAAACGAGAUUGAAUCUUUCAGUAAAUCUGUUGCUUUCAUUCUUAAGACUUCUCUUUGGUCAGUCACUCACUCAUUUUCUAACUGAGUAUGCAUGUCGAAUUGUCAAUCUCAUAAUCAAAGACUAAACAUCACUGCAAUUGCGUAGAGUUGUGCACUGUACGAUAUAGUGCGCCGUCAAGGUUCCUUCAAUGAACGGUCGCUCAUGCAUAGCGGGUAAGUGAUUCUUUAUCGUAGACGUACGUGAAUUUUACAAUAAAUUCCAUAUGCAUUAGCAGUUACGUACACCCACUAACGACUGACUAGCAUUAUCAUUCUUCCCAAACCGUACAAUUGAUGGAAAGAUUAACCUUCCUAGUUGUUGUGCACGAAAUAAUACCACGUGUUUUAUAAAGGAAGUGUCGCAAGUUGGACGUAGGGACACAUAUUACACGAUGGUUAAAAGCUGGUAUGAGCCAAAAAAAACAUUUCAUUUACUUGUCACUUUAGUACUAGGAUAGAAGCAUAGAGCCAUUUCAAAUCGACCUGGAUUGUCGGCCCUCUCCUAUCUCAUCUUAUUCUAUUUAUGUGGUCACGAUUAAGCCACGUUAAUAUUUUAUAUUGAUUUUUUUUAUAGAAAUAAUAAGACAAAAAACAAUGAGAAUAUAAAAUGUUGACGUGGUUUAACCGUGACCACAGAAAUAGGAAGGGAUGAGAAAGGUAUGGGAUGAUGAGGGCUGACAAUCCAGAUCCAUUUCUGAUACCCGAAAGGUUAUGGGUGCCUCCAAAGUUGUCAGGCUGGAAUGGCUAGAACCUAGAGAGGUUCCCCUUUAUAAUAUAUAUUGGAGUUUGGAGUCUUUUGACCUUCCUAAUAGUGGUUAGUGUAUAUUUUGGCUUUGCCCUAGCUGUAUAUGAAUUCUGAUGUAAUGACAUUCUAACCACAACAAACUCAAUUAGUAGUUUUUAUCAGAAAAAAAAAAAAAAAAAACUCAAUUAGUCAAGCUAUAAUCUAAAUAUUUUAUGGUGCUCCAUAGUAUAUUUAAUUUCACAGAGUACUCUAGAGUUGAUCAUUGUGAUUCUCCAUAACUUUUCAACAAAUUGAAUUGAUUUAGUCGGCAAAAACUUGAGUGUAAUUGGGAAUAUAUUUUGAUCAAGGAGUAUUUUGUAUGAUCAAUUUUCAUGUAAUGAUCGGGUGCAAAAUACAAUUUUCUUAGCUAGGUAUGGGAUGAUAAUUGACAUUAGUAUAUUGUUGUGAGUAUUGUUGGAUAUAUGUCAACAAUCCGUAAUAAAAUAAAUAUGCUAAUAAUAAAUACGAAUAAAUGUAUUCCAGAGACUCAACAAGAUGAAAUAUUAAUUAAGCAGAGUAAUAAAAGAUUGAGGCUUGCGUACCGUAAUGUCCUUGAAACAAAAAUUUCGCCCCUACUCAGUGCUUGUAGUUCUACGGACGUCUGCUUCACCAGGAUUCAAUGAUCUAAGUCAGAAAUUCCAGCACCGGAAAAUUGACUUCUGGCGAAUAUUAAUGUGGUUCUCUCAUAAAGGAUGUUUAUGAUUGCAGGAGAAGAUUUAUGAUUUUUUUUUUUUUUUGUAUUCUAAAUGUCAUGCAGAUGAAUGUAUAUAUAUCAGAUAGAUGCAUGUUUGCAACAGGUAUGAGAAUGGGGUGUGACUGUUGGGAGACAUCUCUUCAGAGGGGUGCUUUACUCUGUGUUCAGAAAGAACUCUCAGACUUCAUCUGAAAGGAUGAAUCUUUUCAUAAAAAAUAAAUAAAUAAUUAAAUUCAAAUUUAAUUAAAAAUAAUUAAGUAAAUCCAAAAAAUAAUUAAUUAAAUAAUUUAAUUAUUAGAGCCCAAGAGCCCCACCCAUCUUUUGACAAUUAAAUAUAUAUUAUUUAUAAUUAAUUAUAUAUUAAUUACCAAUUAAUUAGUACACCCCAAAGCCCAACCCCAAGGAUGAGCCCAAUUUUAGUCUCCAUGCCUAUUACUCCAAUCACUUUCUCUAAAGGACGAAGCCUUAUAAAGUGAUAAAAUCUUUUGGGAAUGGCCAAUGUGGGACAAAGAAAUUUAUACUCAAACUACUCAAAUUUCCAACAAGUAUGAAUUCUAUAUUUGAAAAGAGAAGUUUUGCUUACUGAUUUAAAUAAUCCUAAGAGACUCUCUUGUACUGCCAAUUGAUUUUAGGUUGGAAGAAAAGGAAAGUCUUGCCUACUUAUUUAAGUAAUUAUAAGCCUGUCUCUCCUGAUUUGAAAAGAGAAGUCUUGCCUAUUGAAUGACUAAAUGACGUUAGUUUUAAUUGAUUUUUUGUAGAGAACAUAUUUACAUAAUGAUUUAUAAUAUAAACAUUUCUUAUUAUAAACACAAAGUUCUAUAAAUCGAUCUCACAUUAGUUGGUCAAGUGUAAUGUGACAAUAAUUAACAAGGCUCGCAGCAUGAAUGAGUCAAAAUCAAAUUCGAUGGCUCAAUGAAAGUAAUGCAAUUGAUAUUUGAUAUUCCUGCCAAAAACUCUUGCAAUUUGUAUUAUGAGGGGUCUUUUUUCAUGAAUAUUCAUGGACAAAGACAAGAUGAUGGAAUAUAUACAUCUAACUUUCUAUUCACUAAUGGGAUUCAAGCGUCUGUAUAGACAUUUUAGAUGUAGCUGUUGAAAUCCCUCGAGCAAUGCGUGCAGUUUGAUAAAUUUUCAUCAACAAAUUAAUGGUCAGAAAGUGGAUGGGACUAGAGAAAUUUAGAAUAUAGGGUUUGGACCACGACUGAAAACAAAUUAAAUUAACAUCACACAUCACAAUUAAUUGGAAUCAUCGGACAGGCCAACUACUCUAAUACAGCUGCAUAAUUACUAUUUUUAAUCAUUUUUAGGUCACAUUAUUUCUCUAAUCCCAUCCCAAAAGCCUUCUUAUGGAGAUAUCUUAAUAAACGCUACAAGAAGAAGCACCAUUUUUGGCUUCUAACCUGAAUUCGAUACAAUUAAUAGGAUAUGAAAUGACAUUUGACUUGAUCUGUUUACGUGUCUAGUUGAAUGAUGGUGUAUAUAGUUCUUGGCAUAUGAUAGAGAGGGAAUCCCAAAGUGUACAUGAUGUCGUCGAAUAUAAUGUAAAUACUCUUAACCACUUGAGUAACAAACUUUUUGAAAACAUCUUGCAAGACAUUGCAUUAAAACAAUUCGAAAGGAGUUGUACCAACCAUGCUACUUAGACACAUAAAAUUGACCACAUUGCUGACUACUUUUUUAACAUAGGUGAAUUCUACACACAACUGUGAAGUCCAUCUAUAGAAGAAAGGUGGUCGACAAUAUAGUUUUUUUAUGUGUCUAAGUAGUAUUAUUGGUUUCGAGCUAUUUGUGUCCAUGACCACAUGGUCUAGUGGCACCUCAUAUUUCACUUUAUUGAAGGAAGUUUAAGUUCAAAUUUCAUGAACAAUAGUUUGUUAAAUUCAGAAUAGAAAAGAAAACAAGUCUAGAAUCCCUUUAUUUAAUUUGGGCCUUACUAUUUUUGGGCGGACUCAAACACAUUUCAAAUUUUGGGCCUCAAGAACUUUGAACACAUCCAACGGCCACAAAAUCAAGUGUCUUUCCCAACACAGAAGUAGUAUUCUGGGGUCCUAAGUUGUUCCUCUGUAUCUUUCUAAACAGAAGAAGUUUAUCUUGAAGUAAGUGCUCCAAGUCCAAUUUUUUUAGCCUUCAUCAUUAAGCUGGAAAAAGGGAGUGUGACACAACCAUAUUGAAUUCAUAUGGAAAAUUAGGAAUCACUCUUCUACAGUCGGAGAAAAAUUGAGUGUAAUACCAAUUUAAAGAACUCACGAGUUCGAUAUAUCAAACUUAAGAGUGUGUUACCAAUGAACUCAUACUAGUGUAACAAUAGUAUUACAGUAAUCAAACUUAGAUAUUUGAUUCUUAUAUAUAUGUAUCACACUCACCUAAAUCACUGUGGAGGGCUUUACAAACCAUAAACAAAAAAUUAAGUGAUUAUGUCAUAGUUAGGCCUAAAAAUUCUGUGAGAUUUGCAAUUAUGGUGUCAAAAGUUCAAUGGAAUGAGCCACAUCAACAACAACGUUGGAGAUUGGAGGUUAAUAGAAAAUUCCAAAUAAUAUAAUUAGGGGAAAAUAUAAUUUCAUUAGAAAAAUUUAUUUCAUUAAUUAUUGCAUUAAAACUGCAUUAAUUAUAAAUUAAUCAAAUCAGUAACAUAAGUUGAUGCUUCCCAGCUAACAACCGUAUAUUAUCUAAACAGAAACAGAUGUUGCUGUUUCAACAACUGAUGCAAUAUGUCAUCAGCUGCAUAAUUACUAUUUUAAACCAUUUUCAGGUCACAUUAUAUCUUUACCAAUUGUACACACGUUAUGUAUGUGCUUAAUAUUUUGAGAAUAACAUUUACAAUGAGAGAAAAUAUAAUAUGGUCACUAAAGUUUUUUGAUGUCGACCUUGAACAAUUUUUCGUUGCUGAAGAGAUUAUUCACAUCUUUAGCGACUAUUUCGUCACUAAAAGUUUAUUUUAUUUGGAAGAAAAACUUGGAAGAUAAAAUGAGGGCAACUGAUAUAGUUACCUAGCUAUGAGGCUUUAAAAAAAAUGAGUUUUAACGAAAAGCCCACGGUAUUGUUCACUUUAACGAAAAACCACAUUUUAACACUAAAAAGUCAAACUCAAUUUACCCUUUAUUUUGUCUUUAUUGUAAAAACUCAAAGUUUUCAAGCCCUUUCAUUAGUUUUCCUUUUAAAAAAACAAUAAAAUUUUUUUGUGCUUAAAUAACUAUAUUGCCCAUAAUUUUUAUUUUGGUUAUUUUCUUAGUUUUAGUCUCUUUUGGUUGAUAAAGAGAAUAGUGUUAAUAAGUUGUUUAGAUAAUUAAAUGUACAAGUGCAUAAGCAUGCUAAUUUAAACAUUAUUCUUCUUCCAUGAAAAUUCCAAGAGCAUGCAAAUUGGGGAUCAUGAGAAUAAAUUAGAGUUUGAAAUGCCCAUUGGCUUCUUCCUAUCAUCCUGUCCAAGCCUUGCUCUAACUACCAACAUCAAAGAUUCCUUUUUAGUUGAUCAAGUUUGGCUUCAUAAUAUAUUGGGAACCAAAUCUAUAUAAGAAAAGUUGAUUGGGUUUGCCACUCUCAAUUCACUCAAAUUAUAACACACGUAUUGACCUUUGAGCUCGUAAUUUUAGGCUGUUUAUAAUUUAGUUUUUUAGAUACAAAUAAAAAACAUGAGUUAUAUUGUUAGAUAAACUGAUACAUUAUAUUAACAUGUCUAUCACAUAGAGUAUCAUAUAAAGUAUAUAUAUUAUUAGUUCACUACAUUUAUCUUUAUGGUAAAGAGCAUAUUCUAUUUCGAUAGGGUCAUCUACUAAUAUUAUCAAUAGCUUAUUAUCAUAUCGACAAUUUAUCAUUUAGUAAAGAAGUAUAACUAGAAAUAAACUGAUCGUAAUAUUAUAUAUGCCAUGCGGAUCGUUGUAUAUACAGAAUUAUUGUAAUCCAAUCCAAAUUUUUUUUUUUUUUGGUAUGCUUUAGGUUAAGAGACAAGUAGAAGAUUUAAUUUGGACCAUCGUCUAUGUGACCUGUAUGAAACCCUAAAGAACCUGUUAAGCUUUAAGAUUUGGGACUAUAAAAUAUAUGAACCUGUAUAUAUAUCACGCUUGCCCUCAAAACAUAGGACAUUGAGUUCCCUUGAGGAUUCUGUACAGCACAUUCUUUUUCCUACUUUUUCAUUAAAAUACAAGGCAAAAUGCAUGAUCAAACUUGACCUUGAUUUUCCUUGCUGCUACAAAAUUGCAAAACCUAAUUAUACUGCCGACGAAAGAGAAAAAAAACAAGAAAAACCUGACUUUAUAUAUUUUUAGCAUCUGCAUCAAGAAUUAAGAAUAAAAAUAGAGAAAAAUGUUUCUUUAACAACCGAAGAAACUUUGAGAGUCUCUUAAGUCACUUAAUAGUACGGUUUAGUGAUAAUUUUUUCAUUUGUAAACGAAUGGUCUUGAGUUUGAAUCUCGUAAAAGAUGAGUUCGAUAUCAAAUUAUUCUUGUAAUGCAAAUAUGUUGUAGUAUAAAUAAAAAAAAUAACACAUUGUAGCUAUCUACUCAUGUUGAGAAUAUAGUUACUUAAGUUUGGCUGUUUAGUUUUAGAAACCCUAACCACUGUCUUAACAAUUUCUUAAUUGGAUGAUUAUAUUAUAUUAAACAGGUGACCGACACCUACUAGCUUACAAGAUGACAUUGUUAGCAUCAUUCGAUUUUAAGUUAACAUUUGAACUGUUAGAUAUUUUCCUACUUUUUCCCAAUUAAGCAUGAAAUUUAACACACUUUUGUGAGAAGUCAAUAAUAUUUGCGUGUGGGGAAGAACUAUGCCAACCUUUUAUUAGCAUAUUCAAUCUUGACGGAGCUGGUCCCAUAGGAUAAGUUUUCCUGGAAGACAACAACACAUCAAAGUAGUUUCUAUUUUAGAGAUUGAAUAAAAAUUUUAUUAACAACGACCAAUAAUACAUAAGGUGAACAUGUUAAACGUAAUCAAGAGAUUACAUACGCUAAAUAAAGCAUUACAAAUUUAUAGUUACAAACUCAUGAGCGUCAUACAAUUCCUUAGUUACGAAGGACCCUACCACAAAAAAGAUAAUGCCCUCAAGGACUAAACCUUGCAAAUUGUCGAACUACCGUAAAGGUACCAUGAGAAAAAGACUGCACAGACCUCUGAUGAUCUUGCAACUGUCCGCAAAGAAGCACUGCUAUGAGUCACCUCUAACAAGUAUCAAACUUCCUCUUCACAAUCAUUUGACAUGUGCACAAUACCACACAAGAAACCCAAAACCAACUCCCUCGACUCUGAACAAUAGCCAUCACUCAAAGAUUUGAGUUUGAGCAGUAAGUCAUAGGCGCUACAAAGACUUUCUCAAGAGAGCGAGAGCGAUCAUAACCAAAAAAUAUAGAUAGUCAGAAGAUACGAUAAACAUAAAGGAAAAGGGAAGGAAGAGAUUGUCGCUAAGACCAAACAGGGUCCGCGACGAAGGGUUUUUCUCUCUAUCGGCUAUAUAUCGCAUGAGUUGAAGUUAACACAUGCAAUAAGAAAAUCACUAGCGAAUGCACUACGACUAACUAAACUGAAAUAUUGGUUUUUUCAAUAUUUUGUUUCACAUAAUUUUUUUUGACCUUACGUGGUUAAGAACAGUUAUUCAGGAGUUCUUGGUACCGGCCAAGCAAAAAUAAUAUGAAUAGCGAGCCAUCUACACGAGGCAAAUGCUUGUUCUUAUGCUUUUUUAAUAUAGGGCGGUGACUAACUAAAACAUUGAUUUAUAGAGCCAUAUUUUGCUAAGAUAAAACACACCAUUAAGGCUUGUUUAGUCAGUUGUCUCAAACUGACAAGAAAGGCAGUUGAGAUGUAAACAUGUGAGUUUUUAGGUGGAAGCUUCUAUCAUAUAUAUGUUCACGAUUUAAUAUCGAACUAACUAUAAAUAUAUCGGCAUUGCAUUCAUAUGAGCUGAGCUUAAGACCAGCGAUCAACUAAGUGAAGAUCGGAUGUUGCUUGACCAACUCAUGAUGUGCAUAUUGUUUAUGCUUGAUUCACAUUUUCAUUUUUCUGGAAAAUGAUACGAUAUUCAUUACAAUGAAGAGAAUACAUAAAAAUGAUCAGGUGUAAAAAAUAUCAAUUCGUUAAAACCUUGCUGGGAUUCCUAAACCCUAAUUCACACUUGAGAAAAAGGGUUUUUCUUGUUCUUUCCCCCCAGGAGAUUUUAGGGUUUCUUAAAGUUCAUUUGGGAGUUUGAUUUAGUAAUUGUCAAGGUAUUCCUAAAUCUCAUUGGAUUCUAUUUAAUCAUAUUCCAUGCUUGGGUGACUAAUCUGAACUCUUUUAAACUUUUUAAAGUAGUCUUAAGGGGCCAAAGACAAAGGCUUAUCUUCCAAAGCACUAUUAUCUUAUUCUAUAUUCUCCACUUUAAGCGAAGCCUUGUGCAAUGCUCAAAAACCAAGUGCAAAGUAUAUGAAAUUUGAAAAACGAUUCUGUAUAAGUAAGCUAAUACAAGCUUAGAAUUCGUUAUCAAUCAUUAAAUCAUCCCAUAGAAGUUAUUAUGUGCUAUUUAUACAAAAACACUAAUUUUUUAAAUCGAGCCUUUCACGACAAUCAAAUUGUCAAAUCACAAUGCAUGUUUUGUACUUCCAUACCCUAAUAAUUUAAAGGGGUACCUAUAUACAAGCGUGUUUACAAUACAUACGGUGGAUGACCAGAUUCAAAAACCAAUAAAUUCAAGUACAACAUUUUAAUUAUCAUUUUUGUGGAUGACUCCCUCAUAAUUUAAACUUAAGACAUUUUUUAAUGUUGAGAAGAGAAGUAUCACUAAAUGAAUAGUUGAACGAUAACUUAAUUAGCUCUAUAGUACUAAACAUUGCCAUAUAUGAUCAGGAGUAAGGCAUGAAUUCAGGUGUCUGUACAGGUAGGUUCACAAAACAAAACAAUAAAUGAUGAACAUGGACAACAUGUGAAGUCAUGCAGAUGGAGAUGGACUGUACAUGCAUUGCAGUGAGCAGAUAAUAAUAAUAAUGAAUAGUUUAAGAAGCAGAGACGUGUUAUGUAGUCUAUGUAUCUGAAAUGUGAAGCAAUCUGACAUUUCAACCUAUAGCUAGGUAUAUGAUCGAGUCCUCAGCCUCCUGCAUUCACUGUACCAACCAAUCCUGCUACUGCUAAACAUGAUUGAUCCUGCUCUAAGAAAUGGAACUGGAUCCUCCUUGAGCUCAGGAUGAGGAUCCUUCUGAGCAGUCCAUUCGGACCGUUGAAAUUUAAUCCAACGGCUUCAAAUAGGGGGUUCCUCUAAAAGUUAUAAUAAUUACAGCCGUUGGAUCAAGUUUGAACGGUCCGGAUGGGUUACUCAUGAAGAUCCCCAUCCUGAGCUCAGAAGAGGAUCCAGUUCCCUAAGAAAUGCAAAUGCCGCAAGCUGACAUAUUAGUUGACUAUAAUAUAUACAUACUCUCUCGGUCUUUCACCUAUAGCUAGUAGCUUAUUGGUUCUUGUAUUGUGAAACCCUAAUGAGAUAUUUACUUACAUAACGGGAAGUAAAAAAUCGAGAAACUUAUGAAUAAAAGAAAUGUGGAAUGAGAACUGGAUACAACGUACUACUUUCCUUAGUUGAUGUAAUUAUUGGUUUUGACGAUAUUGGGUUAUAGAUUAUAAGAUGAAAUUCACGUACCUAAUAAAUGCUGAAAAGUCAGGAAUUGUAGUGAUUUACUUUGCUCGAGUACCAAUUCAUGAUAAGUAAUAACAUGCAAUAGGUUAAACAUCGGCCAUCUUGUGAACGAGAGUUUAUACAAACACUUAGGUAUUGUUUGGUAUGCAGAUGGGAUGAGACAAAAUGGAAUCGGAUGGGAUAGGACGGAACGGAACGGACAGGAAGCAAAGAUGUCCUCGGAUGGAAACAAGGAGGAAGAAAAAGGAGACGGAGAGGUUAUAAUUUUGUGUUCCAUGGAUGUGGAACGAGUCGUUCCAGGGGAUGAGGGCGAAUGAAAAUUCACUCAAAAUUAGUCCUGGGAAACAACGCGUUCCACCCGUUUUAGGCGCACCAAACGUGGGACGGAACGUCUCGUUCCCCUUUAUUCCGUCCCGUUCCACGUACCAAACGGUACCUUAAUCAACAGUUACAAAACAAAAAAUCAACUUCAACGGAUCCAUGCCCAUGCACGGUGCACCCAGAUUGCAUUUUCCCCCGAGAAAUAAUUUUCAAUUUUAUUUUCAAAAACAGAUGAUAUAUUAGUAUAUUAUCAGGGGUAUUUUGGGGUCAGGAGCGUAUACAAUUUGGUACGGAGUUGCAGUCUGUUUCCUUGACUAUUCCGACCUACUAAAUUUGAACAUCCCAACCUCAAUGAUUAAAAAAAAAAAUAGAAAUUCACAAAGCUCAAGGAAAGAAAAAUUUGCAAAUUUCAUGAAAUGAUUAAAUAUUCAUAAAUAUGAGAAAUUUUUAAUUAUGAUCGAAAUACGGAUGGUACACCACGUGUUUUUAUGUAAGUGAUGAAAAAUUUUAUUUUUUAAGUUAUUAACUUUUUAACACAUGUAUCCCACCAUUUAUAUAACGACAUGUAACGUAUCAUUCCGUAUGACGAUCACACUACAAAAUCUUUCCAUAACUAGGGCAUCAAAAGGUCUUUGGUUAAUUUGCUGUCCAGUCUGUUCAUUUGACCUUUGAACCCCCCCCUUUUAUGCUUUCCUUUCACAAUUUGUGCUCAACAUUUCUUCAAGGUCACCUGAUUAAUUGUCCCCCAUGUAAUCAUAACCCCUUUUUGUAUUUAAAUACAUUUAUUUUAUUUAAAAAUGGAUGUUUGACUAACAAAAACGUUUUUUGUCGUAAGAAAACGUUGUUAUUUCUUCUUAAAAUAAUGCCAAGAAGGGAAUACGAAUUUGUAAACUCUCAAGUUCACACUUUUUUUUCGUAAUUUGGAAUAUAAUCAUGUUGAACAAAAUAUUAUAAAUUCUCUAGAGAAAAUGAAAAUACCGAAAAUAGGGUCUUGUGUUAAAUGCUAAACCUGAUUAAGUUUCAGAUUGUCUGUCACCCUCGGCACGCAUUUAGACAUCACUAUAAAGGAUUAAAACAAAUAAAAAGAAGGGAAAGAGAGAAAUUUGAAGAAACAGCAAAAGAAAGCUUCAAUUUUUUUCAUGCUUCUGUUUUACUGUAUGUAAUGUUGUAAGGCAGUCUCUCUCUCUCUCCCUCCUCCUCAUCACCUACCACUGACAACUCCACCCCUUCUUAUUAACCCCACCACCACCAUUUGCUCUCUCCAGAAUUCCAUGUGCCUCUUCUCUUCUCCAUUCCCCUUGGACUGCACAGACACACAUUAGCCUCUGUUCUUGUGAGUUGUGAACCCCCAUUUUUGUUUGGAGUUUUUCAAAGGGGCAAGUGCUUGUGGGGAAGAGUGUUGCUCUGCCUCUGUCUCACCAUCUGAGCUUGGAUACAAAAACCUAUUUCCCAAUUGAGAAAACCCAGUAAGGAACCCCACCAAUAUUUACAUUACAAAUAAUGGGAUUGAUUUGGUUCUGUGGCAGCAGCCCCAUUUCCAAGCUGGUUUUUUCUGGGUUCUUUGGAGAUCUAGAAGAUUGAGUUGAAGAAGCCUUUCAAAUUGAAUUUGAAGAAUAAAGGUACCGAUUCAGAAACUUCCAGUGUAUGGAGCCUCUCUAUAUGGUUACUUUUGCUGCAUUUAUAUACAUUAUAUAUAUAUAUAUACAUUAUAUAUAUAUACAUAUAUAUAUAUAUAUAUUCCCUGUUUGUUUGCUGAGCUAAAUGUGGAAACGAUUAGGAAAUGGAGUUUCUGAAGAUUUUACUGUUCUUGUUGUUAACCUGUAGAAUGUUAAAAGUUCAUGCUUGUUUCAACUUUUGUGGGUAAUGUAGAACUGGACUGAGCUAAGCCAAGCGGUUGUUGUAUUAGGCUUAUUGGGUUUCUGCAGUUAUUGGUUUAAUUGGGUUGGGUAAUAAAUGUUUAAAGUUUUGGUCUUUUCGAUUGUGUAUAUAUUGGACAAUAUGGAAUGAUGUGGGAAAUGCAUUAGUUGGUCCUGUUGUUAAUAUGUUUUCACUGUAUGAAAGUGGGUGGAAUUGGAAAGGAGAAAUCUUUGUGCAUUUUUUCCUACUUUUCCUUUGGUUUGUAGUUUGAAUGUCAUAUUGAGGCUGAGUUUGUUUCCGUGAUCACUUUGGUGUUAUGUGAUCUGCGUAGUCUUUGUGAGAUUGUGGAUUGUGGUUGAGUCCGUUUCCCUGACCAUGUUGGUUUUCCGCUCUCUCUCUCUCUCGCACUACAUAUUUGUUUCGUAGCACACUAACUUCUACCGCUUUGUUUACUUUUAUUAUGUUCCCAAUUUGUGAAUAUGUGUUUUGUCUUUGAAAAGAAAAAAAUUGAUGGCAUUGAAAGAGGUGAAAUUUUACAUAGACAAGCAGUUAAAUUCAGUAACAAAAUGGUAGAUAUGCAAAAGAUAGAGUUUUUUAUGCAUGGAAUUGGAGUUUCUAAUUUCUUUGUUUUGAACUCUGCAGGGUCCUUUUUAUCAAGAGUAAAUGGCAUCUGGUCUUGAUACUGUAUUAACCAAGAAGACAUUUGUCUUCGGUUUAAAGGUUUGGGUAUUAACGGGGAUCAUUGUGGGAGUUUUUAUAGUGAUGAUUCUUGCGGUGAUAUCAAUUUGUCUUACUUCGCGAAAGAGAUCCAGAAAGUCUACUGACAUGCUUCCUCUGCGCAGAAUUCCAAAUGAUUCAAAGGAAAUCAAAGAGAUUAGGGUAGAUCAAGCUUGUGCAAAUAACUACGUACCCCGUAGUAGUUCUUUUCUCACCCUUGGCGAUAAAUUCAGUGACAGAGAGUCUGAGAAAGUUUUGAUCCAUAAGAAUGGAGAUGGUAGCAGUCGAUCAGGCUCAUUUAACAAUGGGGAGAAGGAAAAUGUUGGUUCUCAAUCUGGAGAUGAGUGUGGUGCAGCUUAUAUGUAUGAGCCUUCUUCACAGCCUAUAACUGCACCUUCACCUCUAUCUGGUCUACCUGAAUUCUCUCGCCUUGGUUGGGGUCACUGGUUUACAUUAAGGGACCUUGAGUUCGCAACAGGUCGGUUUUCAAAGGAAAAUGUCAUUGGUGAGGGUGGAUAUGGAGUUGUUUAUCGGGGUAAUCUGAUUAAUGGAUCUCCUGUGGCUGUGAAGAAGCUACUCAACAACCUGUAAGAUGCAUCUUAUUUCAGUAGCUUUAUGGAUUUCUGUUUUUUCUAUCUUCUGUUUUCCUUACAAUUCAAUUGCUUGGGCUUAUAACAUAUAUAUUUUCAAUCAUCACACAGAGGACAAGCAGAGAAGGAAUUCAGAGUGGAAGUUGAGGCUAUUGGGCAUGUACGACACAAAAACUUGGUUCGACUUUUGGGAUACUGCAUCGAAGGAACCCACAGGUAUUUCUCUGUAAUUUUAUGUAAUGACUUCUACAUGGUAAAAUACAGGCAGUCAUGUUAUUAUUUGCUGAGCACCUUGUUUGGAUAAAAUAGAGAGUACUAUGUCACAUCCUUAGUUACAUGUAUAAUCCAUUCAUACUUAAAACAUGUGUGUUUUGUUCAGGUUGCUGGUUUAUGAAUAUGUCAACAACGGAAAUUUGGAGCAAUGGCUUCAUGGAGCGAUGCGUCAUCAUGGAUAUCUCACAUGGGAGGCACGCAUGAAAGUUCUCCUUGGCACCGCUAAAGCGUAGGUCUUCCUAUACCUUUGUUUGAGUUUUUCAUCCUUGUGGUUUAUCUUUUUCUGACUCUUUUUUUCACAUAUUUCAGGCUGGCUUAUUUGCAUGAGGCCAUUGAACCCAAAGUUGUGCAUCGAGACAUUAAGUCGAGCAAUAUCUUACUUGAUGAUGAUUUCAAUGCUAAGAUAUCUGAUUUUGGUCUGGCAAAGUUGCUAGGUGCCGGGAAGAGUCAUAUUACAACUAGAGUUAUGGGUACCUUUGGGUGAGUACCUUUUCUCCCUUAGGAACAGUUGCAAUUUCUUGUACGAAGAUUCUUGUGUUGGUAGAAGAACACUAUAUCAUAAUUCUAGAGUAAUCCUUUCUUAUCGGUUCCUUUCAUCAUUCUGUUUUUCAGAUAUGUGGCCCCAGAAUAUGCCAACUCUGGCCUUCUAAAUGAGAAGAGUGAUGUUUAUAGCUUUGGGGUUGUGAUUUUGGAAGCAAUCACUGGAAGAGAUCCGGUGGAUUAUGGUCGGCCAGCACAAGAGGUAUGACAAAAUUGUUACUGUUUUGAAGUGAGAAUUUGGAGAUCAAAUAUGCAUCUUAGUUUUGCAUUCGUAUAUUGAUUAGUUAAGGAUGCAUGUCAUAUUCGAUAAUCUGCUUUUAAAUUCAUUUUAGUUUGCACAGGAAAAUUCUUUGCUUCCGAACAAAUGGAUACCCCAAAAAAACCUUGGAGUUGUUUGAUAUGUUCUGUGACAGCUAACUAUCUUUAUAUCUGCUUCCUUUAGGGGAACAAAAAAGAAGAAAAAGGAAUGAUACCUGUGUAGUAACAGUUGCCCUUACACCUGCUGUGUGCAUCUUGUAGGUAAAUUUGGUGGAUUGGCUCAAGAUGAUGGUUGGAGGCAGGCGUUCAGAAGAGCUGGUAGAUCCGAACAUUGAGACCAAGCCAUCUACGAGUGCCCUUAAACGAGCCCUCUUGACUGCACUGAGGUGUGUAGAUCCAGAUUCUGAUAAAAGGCCUAAGAUGGGUCAAGUGGUUCGCAUGCUUGAAUCGGAGGAGUAUCCCAUACCUCGAGAGGUACGUUUCUGAAAUCAUCUUUGAAAUAACAAUGCUAAACAGACCUUAUAUCCAUUUGACACAAAUAUAGAUUUCAUUCGAAUUUUUGGCUUGCGUGGCUUGUUUUUUCAAUUCAUCUCAUCGUUAUACUCUGAGGAGUUCAUAAGUUGAUCUAUGUAAUGUAACUUGGCUGGAAUUCAGGACCGAAGACGCCGCAGAAGUCAAGCAGGGAACACAGAAGCCGAGUCUCUAAAUUCUGAUACAGAUUGGAGUGAGAAGCCAACUACAAAGACAGAUAGCAGAAGGAACCGUCGAACAUAGGCAAAUGGCGAAUCAAUCAUAGAAAUGCAAGGAAUACAAAUCAAAGGGGACAUGUUACACUCGUUUAAAGCUUUCAUAUUCUUCAGCCUACCAUAGUUGUGAUCAAAGGAAGGAACUGAAACGAGAUAAAGGAAAGGACCAGAACGAAAGGAACUUUUUUUUACUUGUUUUUUUGAAUAUAUAAACCUACUUAUAGGUGUUGAGAGAUGGUUUUUGUGUAUGGAGUGGCACUAGAAGGGGAUGCCUUAGCCAUCGAGUGUGUACAGUUAUCGGUUUUUUCUCUUCCUUUUUUUCUUUAGGUGAUUGUAAUUCAUGAGAUUUUUUCUGAGACAUGCUAAAGUUUACAGGAAGAAACGUUUUUGGCUUGCAUUGUGUGUUUCUACUACCAGCAUUGUGUUAGGUUUACGACCGCGACGGGAGCUUGGUUGAAUGUCAAGCCAUGUUGCCGUGCAUUUGAAGCAAACUGUGAGAUGUGAAACUCAGCACAAGGAAAGGCAGUCAUAUAAUUGCCAAGUUCAAUAUAAGGGUUGCGUGUCAUGUGAUUUUGGAGGCUAAAAUUGCACAUCAUGUGCUUUGAUUUAUUGCUAAGCACGGGAAGGCUAUUUUUCUCCUUUCAUGCUCCCAACUUUUCUUGAGUAAUUGCAGACACACAGUACCAACACAUUUAAUUGUUCGAUUUGAUUUAACGCUCGUUGGUCAUUCAGUUUAAACCGUUGGAUCAAAUCCAAGGCUUUGUAUUUUUACAGAUAGGAUUGAAUAUGGCUAUGCAUUUUUUGUUUUUUUUGUUAUGCUUGGCAAUAUUAACCAGACAACGCUUCAAAUUAAAAUGGUGUUUGAACAUGUUAUCCAACAACCAAAAGGGGUCAUGAGCAUUAUGGGAUGAUUUGUUCCGCCGAAUCCAUGGACUAAACAAAUACGCAUAUGUGAAUUAAGCCAGUUGAAAAAGGCUCCGUGUCUAACCCGUGCAUCCAAGCUCAAAUCACCCUCCUCAUAAAUUAGAAUAAUUUAAAAUAUCAUCUCGCCAAGAAUAAAAACAUAAAUACACUGUUUGGUCCCCUCACAACAAAAAGCUAUAUUCUGCACUAUGUUUGGAAUCUUAUUCUCUGCAAAUUUAUGUGCUGUUCCAGGAGACUAAACAGACACCCAAGAAAAGGUUGUUGAUUUAGAAAAGUCGAAUAAUCCAAGGCUCCAAUAAGGAACUUUUGAACAGGUAACAGAGUCACCGUGAAUUACAUAGGGGAUCAUUAAGAUUUUGAUGAGCAAAAGGAACCGAAGAAUGGUAUGAUCUACAGAAACUGUGUUUACAAAACGAAUCUCAAUAAUGUUGUCUGCACGAACGAUUGACAGGUCGGGAAUCCAGAAGCUUGUUGUUUCAAUGGUGGGGAGCGGACCGAGCAUGCAAAAGAGGCUGUAGAGCCUUGACAACAAUGCUCAUAUUUGGCCGGAAAUCAGCUUCAUAUUGGACGCACAAGGCGGCAACAGCAGCCAACUGUUUCAAGCACACAAAUUGUGAUCAGUGGAUUUGAAGUAAACCAACUGCCUGCCUUUUCAAUUAGUCUAUAACUGGCCAGACCAAAAGUAUGUCGUGUUCUUGUCCAUCCAAUCAACAAUUUAAAGAUAACAUAAUUAUAUAUGUGUGUAACUGUGUAUACAUAUUAAGGAAUCGCAGCAAUGGCAAGUAUUUCUUGGAAUCAAGUAAACUGGUGGUGAAUAAUUACUCAAUGUGUUCCCGAUUACCUUUGCAACUGCCUUGGAAGGGUAUUCUCCAUUGAGUCUAGCAUCAACACACUGCUUCACCUUAUCCUCACUGAGUUUUGGUGUUGCCUAAUAGAAUCAAAAAUUCGAGAAAAAAACUCAGCGAAAUGAAAGAUGAAAACCAGUAACCAAUAAAAUUCUCCGCUUCCACCCGUCCUGAAUGAAUAAAACAAAAGAUGCAAGAACCAAGCAUGAGUUACAAGUAGACAAGAACUAGGAUGAAAUUAGUACCCAUGUCACAAGGCUCUGCUGCCCACGCGGCAAUGUGUGAUCAACAGGUUUACGCCCAGUCAAGAGUUCAAGCAACACUACACCAAAGCUGUAGACAUCACUUUUUGAACUCAGCUGUCCAGUCAUUGCAUAUCUGCCAUUCGGAAUCACAGACAAGAAUUACAAGGGGAUAUAUGCCAAAUCAAAAUUUUGGGCGUACAUCAUAACGUGAUUAUACGGUACAUCAAGGAAGAAAUUACUCUGGAGCAUGAUAACCAAAAGUCCCAAGAACACGAGUAGAAUGAAGACGUGCUGCCAUAUCAGGUGCUUGAUUUGACAGAUCAAAAUCAGCAAUCUUUGCAACAUCAUCAUCAAAAAGCAGUAUAUUGCAGGACUUAAUAUCACGAUGGAUUAUAUGAGGCUGCGCCUUUUCAUGUAGAUAUUCAAGUCCUCUCGCUGCUCCUACAGCAAUUUUAACCCUUUGUACCCAUGACAGAACCGGACCUGGCUGUGCUCCCUUAACACCUUUCCGACCUAUAGCCACAUAAAGAGAAACAAAUUUCUAUUAGCAUAGAGAUGAAGGCGAUCUUACUAAUUAUCAAAGAGAUAAAGCUCAAAAAUUUGCAGCUGAUGAGCAAUUUUCUAUUGUUUGGAGGCCAACCCGCUCGUUUCGCAGAUUACAUGAAACACUAGGCGUCAUUAAACACAAACAACUAUCAUCAACUAAUUGACCUUCAACCUAUAAGUUAUUAAGCCUCAUUCAAAAUUUGUAAACCAAAAAAAAAUUCUGUGUGCAUAAAGCUUCACUAAAAAAAGAUCUAUGUGGUACUUGAUUAAAAAUUUACAACUUUUGGAGGCUGUAAAUAACACCACACGAUAGGAAUGUGGAAAUGUUACUUACCAUGGAGAAUAUCAUGAAGGGACCCCUUAGGAGCAUACUCAUAGGCAAGGAGACGGAGAGGGCCAUCAAUACAAUAACCAACAAGCUCGACAGCAUUCUCAUGUUUUAGUCUUGAAACCAUGGAGACCUGUAAAUUUAUGCUCCAAGCAUUAAAUAAAUUUGAGUAUCAAAUAGCGUACCAUGUCAAGUAUCAAACACAAAACAUUCCGCAGACUUAACCUGCGAUAAGAAUUCUCGCUCCGGUUGUUUACUGGAGUCUAACUUCUUAAUAGCUGCAGCAGGCCCACUUUUCAGAACACCAUGAUAUACUCUUCCAUAUGAACCCUCACCGAUUAAAGAUUUCGUGCCAAAGUUAUCUGUCAAAUCUUUCAAUUCAUCCACUGGAAUGGCAGCGACAGCGAUGGGGAGGAUAUUUACAACCUGAGUAUCCUUGGGUGCAGCUUCUUUCUGAUAGUAACCUCCACUAUUGCCUAAAUUUCAAAUGUCGAGUUUUGCAUCAAUCAAACAAUAAGCCGUAAACAGUGGAUAUCUAAAAUCAAAUGGCAUAGAAGUUGACCUGACUAAUUCCAACUGAAAAAGUAAUGGAAUAUGUCAUUAUUAUCAAUGCACUCAGAAUAAGAACAUCGUAUAUAUACACCCACGCGGUACCUGCUGAGUGAUUUGUCACAUGCGGUCGAGUCUCAGAAGCUUUACGGACAUCAUCUUGUACACAACAACUGAAGCAGCUCAUGAUGUUUUUAUCUGAAGAAACAGUUGAAAACCAUCUUAAGCAAUCUUACGUUGACAGACCGCGGGCGAUAAAAUUUAUCUAACAAAGAUCAAUGGUUUCUGGAUAGUUAUAAAGUCUGGCUUAAUUUCAGACUAGUUCAAUCUGUUAUAAGUUACUAAAACCUCAAUGAAUUAACAUGCUUUAUUCUAAAUCAAUGUUAUUCAAACAAGAGAAACGAUGAAGAAGCACUUGGAUAUCACCCAAAAAAUUAAAAAAACACAACCAAAAAUCUGUAUCAAAAGUUAAAUCCAUCAAUUUAUUCAUUUCACAAAUUAAACCAAAUCAAAGUAAAAAUUCAAAAUUCCCAUUUAAGAUCCAUCAACAAGGAGAGAUUCAUUUUUACAACAGAACAUAAAAUUCAAAGCUUUCUAUUUCUACAUGUUCCUCUUGAGUCCUGUCUCAAAAAAACAAAACAGAUACACAAUAAAUCAAAAGAAAAAGAAGCCACAAUUAGAAAAAAGUGCAUCUAAAACAAAUAAAUUUACAAAAAAUAAAAAAUAAAAAAAAAGUAGCAGAAUUGUGGGGGAAUGAUAUCUCUCACCUUGGUAUGUUUAUAUGGUUCUUCUGGCAAUUGGGUUUUUUGAGUUUUGAGUCAAGUGUUGGGAUUGGAGUGAUGAGAGUGAUCAGGCCGGCUAUGGAGGCCCGCAGGAGAGGGAGAGGGGAAGGAGGCGCACGUCAGCAAUGUACAGAAGGCAUGCAAAUGGGGAGGUUGGGAUGUCUGUCUGUCUCUCUGUCUCUCUGUUCUGGCUUUGACUUACGUUAGAAGAGAGGACACAAAGACAACAACCGAAUUUUGUGUUUCCACUCUUAAACUCCUCGGUCUUCACGAUCUUCUGCGCAUUUCGAAACUGUCAAAAACCAGUUGGGAUGUUAAAUCUUUUUAAUUUUUUUUUUAAUUUGAUAUAAAUAUCUCUUCACUCAAUUGCGUUCUUAGUUUAAGUUCUCUGAUUUAUUUUUAAGUGUGCAUUAACGUAAGAUAUCGCUUCUAAACAGUACAAGUAACAACGCCAUUUACAGUUAUUAAUUAAAAUUUUAAUAAAUAAAAAUAAUAGUGCUGUUUUCUAAAAAAGUAAAACAUCAAAAGUAUUAAUCAUACUAAAAACUAACAUUUGUCUACAUACUUUGUAUGUAUGUACAUAUUUUUUUUUUAGAAAAUAAGAAGGAGAGAGAAAGCGUGUAGGGUGAGAGAUUUUUGUUUUUGAUUUUGAUUUUUUGAUUUUUUGAUUUUUUUUAAAUAUUGAAGGUAUUUUAACAUCACAUGUAGGUGAUGUUUUAAUAAAAAAUAAUAAAAUUUGGACCUAUGAAAUUACAUUAUUGCCUAUCUUUUUUUUUGGUGUCAUAGAAGACUAAUUUAUCUUUUCACUCUCUUUUGAUUGACAAAGAGAGUUUUAUUAAUUAGUAGAAAUAUUAAGGCCAUCUCCAACCGAUGGCUGGCCAGAUGGCUCGUCUCAGCCCUCUGGCCCUCCAAGAUUCUCCAAGAUAUUAAUAAAAGGGGAUGAAUAGUGAGAACAAGUUCAACCCAAAAAAGAAAAGCAAUAGAAAAAAAAGAAAACUAAUGAAAAAUGUUUGAAAACUUUGAGUUUUAACGAUAAGGGUGAAAUAAAGAUUAAAGUGAAUAGUACUAAUAUUGACUUUUUAGUGUAAAAAUAUUAUUUUUUAUUAAAGUAAACAGUACCGGAAACUUUUCGUUAAAGUUCUUAAAAAAAAAAAGAUGAAAACCCAGUUGACGUGUUAUUUUGAUGAAAGUGGCUGGCACAUUGUUUGUAUAUAUUACUCACGUACUUUCUAUACAUAUUAAACUACAUAAAGCAGAGCAAAGCAAUUAUUCCUCUCCAAAAUUCUUCUACCCAAUCUCAGUUUAUAUGUGCAUGUUACGCCUCGUUGCAACGUCAUCUUGAGUCAUGGGUUGUUCAUUUAGAUUAGUAAAUUAUUUCGCUCCUUAGAGGUGUGCGAUGCAAGAAGAUUUGUAACUAACUCGUUUAAUUACGAAUAUUUACAUUUGCAUCGGAUGAUUUACGGUAUUAAGUUCAAACCUCUCCUUGACUCUUGUCCUUUGAUUUUAAUAUAUGUUAAUUCCAGAUUAAAUUAUGUUAAUGUGAUUUGCAUUACAUUUUUAUAUGCACCGCCGUUUUGAAGAUGUGGAUUCUGGAGGGAUUGUUCCUCUGUGUAAGUAUGUCUUAAUGGGCUUUUAAAUUUAGAUGCUUUGUUAGAUAAUUUUUCAUUGUGGCUGAAACGUUAAAGCGUACUCCAUAUAUUAUUAUACAAUUAGAAGGACAUUUAAAAAAAAAAAACUUUCUACUGAUGACAUGUGAUGUAUUGUACUAUGUUCUAAAUAUGCUGAAAAAUUUCUCGCCUCAUUGACCGUUUUCAUUGACUAAACAUCGAUUUCUUUUAAACUUUUGAUUAAAAUGCUUUUUUCUAGUUAAUUAAGCCAUUUUAUGUACAAAAUUACACUUAUGAUAUAUUUUCUUUGUCAAAAGAUAAAGUUUUAUUGAAUUCCAAUAUAAACGUUUUCAUUUUCAGCAAGAAUAUUAAAAAAAAAUCUGGAUCAAGAACAUCCCACCGGAAAUCACCUCCAUGCGAGGUAACAUAUGAGGCUACAGCAUCCAUAACGACAUUUCCUUUUCGCUUUACAUACAAAAACCUCACCUCUCCUUGUUGAGACACCAAACAUAUAAUGUCACGAAUAAAACAUUCCAAACUAGCAUCUAUAGAAUACGCUUCUUGAAGCAUUCGAAUCAACGACUGAGAAUCAGAUUCGAUUUCCACCAACGCAGCACGAAUCGCCGCAGCUUCAGCCAUAGCCGCGUUGUUGAAGAAUAAACCCCCUGCGCCACCCGCCAUUUGCAACAACCCUGCGAAAUCCCUCAUAACCCAUCUGUAUCCUCCCUGUAAAGACUUCCCACACCAGGCACCGUCACAAUUAACCUUUAGUACACCAUAGGUGGGCCUCCUCCACCGUACCUGCUGCUCAGCAAAAAUAGCACCAUUCGUUUCCACAUAGGAGUCAGCAGCCUGCUGAUUGGUAAUAUGGCAUGCUUUAAAUUCUAGGAGUAGAUGCCGCACCAAAUUAACCCCAUCCAUAGGAUUAAUUAAUGUACCUUUGAAAACCAUUGCAUUUCGACUCUUCCAGAUUCUCCACUAGACAAACACGCACUCCUGCAAAAGAAGACAUACCAUUGCUAAAUGAAAACGUACCAAUGCCAAAUUAAAAUAUAUCGACGCUAAAUCAAAAUGUAUUGAUGCGAGGUGAAUAAGUCUCAACACAAAAUGAAAACGGUCAAAUUAAAAUGUAUCGACCAAAUUUAUUUACCGGUAUUAGACAAAGUACGGACCUAAUUUAUUUACCCGUUCUAUACAUGUCACUUCAAGUAAUGCUUAGAAAGUACAUGCCUACUAACACACAAUUAACUUUAUAAAUUAAAUAUGAAAAUAGACGUACAAAUCAACAAUAUUAAUAAAAUCGCUUUGAAAAAUAUGUAUAAAGUUAAAUUGAUUAUAGAAACAAACGUACCAAUCAACAAUAUGAGUAAAAUUGCUUUAAAAAAUAAUAUAUAUAUAUAUAUAUAUAUAAUCAAACGAUUGUGGUGGCACUAGUGGCGGUUGUGACAUUCGCUAAAUUGCUCCGGUCAUUAGUAUGGAUAAGUAUGUAAAUGGAUAGAGAUAGGGAAGCAAACUCAAGAUGUAUGUGGUUCACCCAGAUUGGCUACGUCCACGGAGUAGAGGAGUUCUCAUUAGUUGUGAAGGGUUUACACAAGUACAUAGGUUCAAGCUCUCUUUUAGUGAGUACAAGUGAAUGAUUUAGUACAAAUGACAUUAGGGAAUAUUGUGAGAGAAUGAUCUCUAUUUAUAGAAGAGAGUUUCUAGUUUCAUUCUGACUUUGACACGUGUCGUGUUGUGAUUGGCUUCUGAUGUUGACACGUGUCGCGAUAUGAUUGGCUUCUGAUGUCGACACGUGUCGCGCUGUGAUUAGCCUCCUGGUUGGAGGGAAACUCUUCUAGGUCCUUGAUAGUAUAACGUUGACCCGUGCUCAGUAGUUUCGGGAUUGGUCAAGUAUGGUACAAACAGUGCUCCCCUAAGUUCCUGAGUGAGGGAAGCUCCUCGGUUGGGGACUUGCAAGAUCCAAGCCAUUGAGUAAUCACGAAACUUCUAAGUACCGAAGUGUGGUAUCAUUUUCACUUGUCUUAUCUGUCUCAUACGUAGAUGUGGCAUCUUCUCUGGAAGUACUUUUCCUCCAUCCAGGGGUGAUAUCUUUAACCGAUGAAGAUGCACAAGGUAAUGUAUCAAUUUCACUUGAAGCUUACUUGUAGUUUUGGGCUUGGUCAAAUGCGAUACAAAACCCUAUAGUAGGAGCCCCCCAAGUCGCCGAGCUAGGAGAUUUGCCGAAUGAGGUAACAGACAAGGUAAGCAAUCAGACUUCCAAGCAAGCAACCUGGAUCGGAGGUUCGUCUUCGGAUUCCGGUUGAUUGUUCUUCUUCUCCUUAUGUCGUAAACAACAACAAGGAUAAGGAGAAGCAAAUGGAGAAUAGAUGAUAUGAGAUACUUUUACUUUUGAAGAAGUAUUUUUCCACAUGCGUAUUCUUGAACUGGGCUGGAGGGUUUUCUAGUUUCUUUCAGAGUAUAAGGCUAACUCAAGAAUUUGAGGGUCAAAACAAGUCCAUCAAAUCUAGAGUACGUUUGACCUUGAUGAUAUGUGAUACUUUUGUUGUUGACAAAGUAGUGGAUGUAUCGACACGUGUUCUGUUACGCUUGUCUCCACAUGCUUCCUUGUAUCCUUCUCACUUGCCCUAUCUGUUCCUCAGGCAGAUGUGGUAUCUUCUAUGGAAGCAUAAGAUGUUGAAGAUGAGUACUCGAGAGCAAUGUCAGGUAAGUAAUCAGGCAAGGGGUUCCAGGCAGUCAGUUCCUGACUGGAAGCUUGAUUCCAAGUGCUGACUGAUUGCUCUCUUUCUCCUUGUCUUGCAGGUAAGAACAAUGCCAAAGGAAAAGACAGGGAAAAAGCAUGAUAUGGGAUACUCUUGCUUUUAACCCUGAUGAUAUGAGGUACUCUUGCUCUGGUGUGGCUUGUUUGCAUAGGUAUUAUCGGGAGGAAAAGAAGCUGAGUAUUUCGAGAGACUUUGCUGAGAGUGCCCUCUCGGAUGUGAAGAAAAGUUGAGCAUUUUUUUUAUUUGCAGGUCUGCCUAGCUGUGGAGGAUGGAGGUCGACAUAUAUAGGAGUCUCCUUAACAACAAGUAGUAGUGCUAUUCAUUUACCCUUCUUGGUCAUAGCAAUGUAGUGGGAGCUGCAAGCUUCACGUGUUUUAACUUUGUCAAAGCACUUUGAAAAAGUGGUCUGUGGUAUCUGGAAAGCUGAUGUUGCGUGUGAAGAUUGCAGACAAGCUUUAUCCAAGGAAAUCAGGCUCUCGAAGUUCGGAGAGCGGUGCCUCUUCGGUUUUCGAACAGGCAAUCUUGUCAAGGAUCUGGCUUUCGAGAUUCAGAGAACGGUGCUUCUUCAAUUUUUGAGAACGCAAUCCUGUUUGGGGUCUAACUCUUGAGAUUUGGAGAGCAGUGUCUCUUCGAUUUUUGAGAAAGUAAUCAUGUUGGGAGUCUGGCUCUCGAGAUUCGGAUGGCGGUGCCUCUUCAAUUUUUUAGCACAUAAUCCUGUUGGGAGUCUGGCUCUCGAGAUUUGGAGAGCGGUGCCUCUUCGAUUUUUGAGAAAGCAAUCAUGUUGGGAGUCUAACUCUUGAGAUUCGGAUAGCAGUGUCUCUUCAAUUUUUUGAGAAAGUAAUCCAGUUGGGAGUCUGGCUCUCGAGAUUCGGAGGGCGGUGCCUCUUCGAUUUUUGAGCACGUAAUCCUGUUGGGAGUUUGGCUCUCGAGAUUCGGAAAGCGGUGCCUCUUCGAUUUUUGAGCAAGUAAUCUUAUUAGGAAUGUUUUCUCGAAUGUGAGUAAAGGUUGGGCAUUUUUGCCAGUUUGCCUUGCCACGGAGCACGGAAGUUGACACACAUUGGGACUUUCUACUUAUCAAGGAGUGGAGCUGUUCCUUUACCCUUGUGGGUAAUAGUAGGGUAGCUGGACCUUCAAAAUUUAUGUGUCUAAACUUUGUCAGAGAUUUUUGGCAAAGUUAUAUAUGGUACCCGAGAAACUGAUGUUGCGUGUGGAAAGUGGUGCCACUUCAAUUUUUGAACCAAUUACCCUAUUGCCCUUUCUUUUAUAAGGGCACCAAUUGUGUGCAAGGAGUACAUUCAGAGAGUUAUUGCUUGUAGGAAUUUUCCCCUUACUUCAGAGAUUUCUUUCACCUAAUUUUUCCUUCAUCAUUUCUGAGAAUGUCUGACCCAUAUAACCGUCGUUUUGACUUGAACUUUGGUGAAGAGGUAGCCAUACCUUCUCAAGACAACAUAUAACGGCCAUCUUUCUUAUCCUCUACUGGUCCUCUUACCGUUGGAGACUCUGUGAUGAAGAAUGAUAUGACCGCUGCGGUGGUGGCCAAGAACCUUGUUACUCCCAAAGAUAACAAACUACUUUCCAAACGGUCUGAUGAGUUGGCUGUUAAGAAUUCUCUGGCUCUUAGUGUUCAGUGUGCAGGUUCUGUGUCUAAUAUGGCCCAACGCCUAUUUGCUUGAACCCACCAAGUUGAAUCAUUAGCGACUGAAGUGAUAAGUCUCAAACAGAAGAUCAGAGGGCUCAGGCAUGAGAAUAAACAGUUGCACAGGCUUGCACAUAACUAUGCUACAAACAUGAAGAGGAAGCUCGACCAGCUGCAGGAAUCUGAUGGUCAGAUUUUAGUUGAUCAUUAGAGGUUUGUGAGUUUGUUCCAAAUGCAUUUAUUGCCUUUGUCUUCUGGGGCUGUACCGCGUAAUGAAGCUCCAAAUAAUCAACCUUUGGUGCCUCCUCCUUUUGGGAUUCUGCCUAGUACCGAGGCUCCGAAUAAUCAUCCUAUGGUGCCUCCUCUUUUUAGGGCUAUGUCGAUUGCUAAGACUUCUCCUGAGCAACCUUUGUGAAGGCUCCCUCUUAUUUGUUUAUUUUGAUUCAUGUAUAUGUACAUAUUUGUAAUUUAUCGGAGAUAUCAAUAAACAAGUUUUGCUUCAUUUCAACGUAUUGUGUUAAAUACAUCAAGGCCUUCUUCACUUAGUUCUUUGAAUUUUUCCUUUUGUUGAAACUUGUAUGUUGAAGCUUUGUGAGUGAAGCAUGUAGGUUGAGGUAGUGCUCCCCUAAUUUUCCGAGUGAGGAAAACUUCUCUUUUGGAAACUUGAAAAAUUCAAGUCACUGAGUGGUCGUGAGACUUCCGAGUAUCAAGGUGCAGUAGCAUAUGGUAGGAGUCCCCCAAGUUUCCGGUCGAAGUAGUUGACGAAUGAGGCAUUUCCUUUCUAAGUGGUAGCUCAAAACUCCUUCUUCAUAUAUAUUUGUUAUGAAAGUUGUUAGACUCAUAGAAUAGGAGGCCUAGGCAAUUUUUAUUUUAUUUUUUUGAAUUUUUUUUUUUCGAUUUUUUUUCGAAUUUUUGAAUUUCCAAAAUUUUGAAUUUUUGAAUUUUUGAAUUUCUGAAAAUAUAUAUAUAUAUAUAUAUAUAUAUUUUUUUUUUAAAGCUUUGUAAGUGAAGCUUUGGUGUUGAAGCUUUGAGGUUGAAGCUUUGUUGGGCACCAUGAAUUGAUUUUGCUUCACACUAUCUUGAUCAAGAUAGUGUGAAACUUUUGUAGGUGAAGCUUUUGUAUUGAAGCUUUGUAGGUAAAGCUUUUGUAUUGAAGUUUUGUAAGUGAAGUUUUUGUGGGUGAAGUUUUUGUGGGUCAAGCUUUUGUAGGUGAAGCUUUUGUAUUGAAGCUUUGUAAGUGAAGUUUUUGUGGGUGAAGUUUUUGUGGGUCAAGCUUUUGUAGGUGAAGCUUUUAUGGGUCAAGCUUUUGUAGGUCAAGCUUUUGUAGGUCAAGCUUUUAUGGGUCAAGUUUUUGUGGGUCAAGCUUUUGUGGGUGAAGCUUUUGUAGGUGAAGCUUUUGUGGGUGAAGCUUUUGUGGGUGAAGCUUUUGUGGGUGAAGCUUUUGUGGGUGAAGCUUUUGUAGGUCAAGCUUUUAUGGGUCAAGCUUUUGUGGGUCAAGCUUUUGUAGGUGAAGCUUUUGUGUUGAAGCUUGCUUUUGUGGGUGAAGCUUUUGUAGGUGAAGCUUUGAAGUUGAAGCUUUUGUUGGGUACCAUGAAUUGAUUUUGCUUCACACUAUUUUCAUCAAGAUAGUGUGAAGCUUUUGAGAAUUUGUAGUUGUCCUCCAUUGAUGAAGCUUUGGAGUUGAAGUUUUAUAGGUGAAGCUUUGGAGUUGAAACUUUUGUUGGGUACCAUGAAUUGAUUUUGCUUCACACUAUCUUGAUUAAGAUAGUGUAAAGCUUUUGAGAAUUUGUAGUUGUCCUCCAUUGAUGAAGCUUUGUUGAAUUUCCACACUGUUGAGCAAGAGAUUGUGAUGCAAGCCACACCUUGUAUUAGUCGAAGGUUUGGAUGAACCAUAUAAAUUGAAUUUGCUUCGAAGGUCUAAGAAUUGUAGUUGCCCUCCAUUGAUGAAGCUUUUGUUGGCACCAUAAAUUGGUUUUGCUUCACACUGUCAUGAUCAAGAGUGUGUGAAGCUUUUGAGAAUUGUGGUUGAACUCCUUUGGUGAAGCUUUUUUUGGCACCAUAAAUUAGUUUUGCUUCACACUGUCUUGAUCAAGAGUGUGUGAAGCUUUUGAGAAUUGUGGUUGCCCUUCAUUGAUGGAGCUCUUGUUGGCACCAUAAAUUGGUUUUGUUUCACACUGUCUUGAUCAAGAGUGUGUGAAGCUUUUGAGAAUUGUGGUUGAACUCCUUUGAUGAAGCUCUUGUUGGCACCAUAAAUUGGUUUUGCUUCACACUGUCUUGAUCAAGAGUGUGUGAAGUUUUUGAAAAUUGUGGUUACCCUCCAUUGAUGAAGCUCUUGCUGUUGGCACCAUAAAUUGGUUUUGCUUCACACUGUCUUGAUCAAGAGUGUGUGAAGCUUUUGAGAAUUGUGGUUGCCCUCUAUUGAUGAAGCUUUUGUUGUCACCAUAAAUUGGUUUUGCUUCACACUGUCUUGAUCAAGAGUGUGUGAAGUUUUUAAGACUUGUGGUUGAACUCCUUUGAUGAAGCUCUUGUUGGCACCAUAAAUUAGUUUUGCUUCACACUAUCUUGAUCAAGAGUGUGUGAAGCUUUUGAGAAUUGUGGUUGCCCUCUAUUGAUGAAACUCUUGUUGGCACCACAAAAGCUUGACCCACGAGGCUUAUGUAUUGAUGAAGCUCUUGAUGCAUAAAAUCAGUGAGGACUUUGGUACAACAUAAAGUGUUAAGUUUGUGACAUUCGCUAGAUUGCUCCGGUCACUAGUAUGGAUAAGUAUGUAAAUGGAUAGAGAUAGGGAAGCAAACACAAGAUGUACGUGGUUCACCCAAAUUGGCUACGUCCACGGAGUAGAGGAGUUCUCAUUAAUUGGGAAGGGUUUACACAAGUACAUAGGUUCAAGCUCUCCUUUAAUGAGUACUAGUGAAUGAUUUAGUACAAAUGACAUUAGGGAAUAUUGUGAGAGAAUGAUCUCUAUUUAUAGAAGAUAGUUUCUAAUUUCAUUCUGAUAUUGACACGUGUCGUGUUGUGAUUGGCUUCUGAUGUUGACACAUGUCGCGCUAUGAUUGGCUUCUGAUGUCGACAUGUGUCGCGCUGUGAUUGGCCUCCUGGUUGGAGAGAAACUCUUCUGGGUCCUUGAUGGUAUAACGUUGACCGGUACUCAGUAGUUUCGGGAUUGGUCAAGUAUGGUACAAAUAAAAACAAUACCAAACGAAGCAUAAAACCUAUUAACAAGAAGUUGAGGAAUCUAAUUUCCUCAUGUCUUAAUUAGCAUCUUAACACUAAUUAGCUCGCAAAGAUUUGACUAAUAUACAUAACAAUAAUCAAUCUAACCGAUGAAGAAGCCAUGAAGCCACUCUUCAAUGUUGACCUUCUCCUCCACGUCAAAUUCUCAAUGUUAACAAUAGGUCUUAGUUCAAUUGCGAGAAUAUUCAUGGCUGAAGCGACCGGCAUACUCUCGUAGUGACUCGUCCGGCUUCUGGCAAAUAGUGUACAAGUAAUCUGCAGAAUGCAAGUGAUCGAUCUGGAAGAUGUGUUGAGAGACAAACAGUUUCCUUAAUUCCUCAAAUGAGUCUACUGUCUCAGGUGGAAUACGGCAAUACCAGUUUAGAGCUCCGCCAGAAAUAGUGGAGGGGAAGAGAAGACAUCGCUCUUCGUCGGUGUGCAUUCGAUAUGCCAUGGUGGACUCAAAGAGGUUAAAGUGUUCAAUUAGGUCCUCCCUUCCUGUAUAGAGUUGUAAACCAAGCUUUUGUUUUGUCUUCGCUUGAAGGGGCGUGUCGAUGAUCCUUCUUAUGAGAAGGCCAAGCCUGGGUUGGUUCCAGUCAGGUAUCUCGGCCUAACGUUUGGCAUUCAACUUGUUUACUUCCUCAAGGAGCUGUAGGGCAAUGGGGUCCUGAGUGGAGUCAUGUGUCACUGGAAUUUUCUUUCGUAAGUCUUCAUCGCCUCUUGGAAGUAGGAAAGUUUAAGCAAUGACGUGUGGUUUUUUCAUGGACUCGCUGUACUGACUUUUAGGGCAAGUAUGUCGGAAUACCUCAGAGUCCCCCAUACCUUCAUGUUCCUCUGGGACCAGUCAUUCCUUCCCUAGAUUGGCAGUUGGCCUGGGUCGUGGGAGGGGAUCGAGUCUUUCAGAAACCCUUGGGUCAUUGAUUUUCGAGCAUAUGUGGAGGGGAUUUUUUCGACGUUGCUUUAGGAAGUCUCGGCAGUCACGAUAAAUGGUUUUCGAUCCUUCCAACCUUUCUGCAAGGAGGUGUCUUCCUCCACUUUUUCUACUUCGGGUCGAAGCAUCUGGGUUGAAAGAAGUCUCAUGUUGAUCAAUGUUUUGAUGAUUAGCUCGCUCCUCAUCAGGGAUACCCAUGUCGAAUGGAGGUGACCCUCCGUGUUGGGGGGCACCCAGAUGAUAGUUGAUGUCCAUAGGGGUAACGAGCUUCCGUGUUUGAGUACGCUUAGUUUCGUGGAGUGUCUUAAAGAGCUUCUCAUACUGCUCCUGGAGGACCUCAUUCUUCAUUUCUAUCUUGUUGUUCUAAGCUUUUAGCUCAUCGACUUUAGCUUGAAAAGCAACCAUCUUUCCUUCAUUCUUUCGUUUCUUCGCACUAGGUGCAAGAGGGGUGUCAUUCUAUGUGCUGUGGCUUCCUUCGCUCCCCAUGUUGGAAAGGGAUGCCUGGUCAAAAUAGAGUGUACGAAUGGUGGAAACCAGCUUGGCAAAGCUGAAGAGAGUGGGAAUAAGUGUCGUUCCCACAGACAGCGCCAAAUGUUGAUACACAAAAUCAGCGAGGACUUUGGUACAACAAAAAGUGUUAAGUUUGUGACAUUCGCUAGAUUGCUCCGAUCAUUAGUGUGGAUAAGUAAGUAAAUGGAUAGGGACAGGGAAGCAAACACAAGAUGUACGUGGUUCACCCAGAUUGGCUACGUCCACGGAGUAGAGGAGUUCUCAUUAAUUGUGAAAGGUUUACACAAGUACAUAGGUUCAAGCUCUCCUUUAGUGAGUACUAGUGAAUGAUUUGGUACAAAUGACAUUAGGAAAUAUUGUGAGAGAAUGAUCUCUAUUUAUAGAAGAGAGUUUCUAGUUUCAUUCUGACUUUGACACGUGUCGUGUUGUGAUUGGCUUCUGAUGUUGACACGUAUCGCGCUAUGAUUGGCUUCUGAUGUCGACACGUGUCGCACUGUGAUUGGCCUCCUGGUUGGAGGAAAACUCUUCUGGGUCAUUGACGGUAUAAUGUUGACUGGUGCUCAGUAGUUUCGGGAUUGGUCAAGUAUGGUACAAACACAAAAUGUAUUGAUGCUAGGUGAAUAAGUCGCAACACAAAAUGAAAACGGACCAAUGCCAAAUUAAAAUGUAUCGACCAAAUUUAUUUAUUGGUACUAGAUAAAGUACGGACCCAAUUUAUUUACCCAUUCUAUACAUGCCACUUCAAGUAAUGCUUAGAAAGUACAUGCCUACUAACACACAAUUAACUUUAUAAAUUAAAUAUGAAAAUAAAUGUACCAAUCAACAAUAUUAAUAAAAUCGCUUUGAAAAAAAUGUAUAAAGUUAAAUUGAAUAUAGAAAUAAACGUACCAAUCAACAAUAUGAGUAAAAUUGCUUUAAAAAAAUAAUAUAUAUAUAUAUAUAUAUAAUCAAACGAUUGUGGUGGCACUAGUGGCGGUUGUGGUGGCAGUUGUGACGAUUGUGGUGGCGGUGCAGUGGUGGUGGUGGUGGCAGUGGCGGUGAUGUAAGGUUAGUGUUUAUAGUGGUAAGUGGUGGCAAUCAUUUUAUUCUCCAAGGAUUAAAUGUGUGUAGAAGGAUAAAAUAUGUUAUUUUAAAAAACUAAUGAAGGUAUUACAAGAAUUGAAAAUUUUCAUUAAAUGCUCAAUUCCUUUUAAAAACAACCUAUAUGCUUCUUUUAAAAAUUGUUGUAUGGAGACUAUUGUUUUUAAAAUAAACAGAAUAUUUUAUUUUUACCAAACACUUUUUACUGCUUAACUAUAAAUGAAACAAAUUUCGAUAAAAAAAAAACAACACCAAACGAAGCAUAAAACCUAUUAACAAGAAGUGGAGGAGUCUAAUUUCCUCAUGUCUUAAUUAGCAUCUUAACACUAAUUAGCUCGCAAAUAUUUGACUAAUAUACAUAACAAUAAUCAAUCUAACCGAUAAAGAAGCCAUGAAGCCACUCUUCAAUGUUGACCUUCUCAUCCACGUCAAAUUCUCGAUGUUAACAAUAGGCCUUAGUUCAACAAUGAGCAUAUAUUAUUCCGUUAUACUUUCAAAACCAAUAUGAACUCAAACAUUCGGCUAAAAUACACCUCAUAUUCGAACAAUAUAUUUUGUUAAUUGUGAAAGGUGAUUUGGAAGAUAAUUGUGAUACUUGAUGCCAUGCGCGCUCUCGAUUUCUAACUACUCAUGCCGCCAUUGUCAUUGGGUAUGACCGGUGACAACUUGGUGGAAACGUAGCAAUUCGACACGAUUAUUCUCCAAACAUAUGAUUGUUGAGAGCCUGAAUCCUAUGUAAGGGUGGGCAACGGUUAUGCCAGACGGGUAACCGCGGUUAUUUACUUAUAACUGUUUAUGCUCAUACUCGCAUAACCGUUUACCCAUUUGGUAAUUGCCUAAAUUGUUAUACUCAUACCUAUAACCGUUUAUAAACGGUUAACCAUACCAAUAAUCGCAUACCCAUUUAACCGUAACCGUUUAAUACCCGUUUACUCAUUUUUAACUUGUUUAUCUUUUUCCCAUUUUUAACUUGUUUAUCUUUUUUUUUUACCAUUACCCAUUUUUCACCCAUCUACAUGUUUUUUAACAAAUUGAAAUUUUAAAAAAAAUUUGUCAUAAUUUUUUUUGACAAUUAAACACCGUUAUAGGGGUACAUUCAUUAUACAUUUCCUUAUUUUAAUUUUUUAAGUCCUUAUACCGUUUCAAUAAUUGAAAUAAUAGUUUACAGACGAUAUUUUUAAGGGGUGUGAUAUCCACACACCCCAUUUUACUUCUCACACACCUUUUUAAUUUUCGACCGUCGGAUCAGAUGAAUUGAAGAAGAUCAACGGACAAUAAUUAUUAAAGGUGUGUGAGAAGUAAAAUAUGGUGUGUGGAUAGCACACCCCUAUUUUUAACUGUUACCAAUGAAGGUAAUAUAAUAUUUGCUAAGUAUUCUUGGGUUAUGAAAACUGUUUAGAAGACAGUAUUUUUGAGUUAUUUAACCCAUAGUGCAAAGUAUUAACAUAAUAUAUAUAAUGAGCUACAUUAUUUUAUAAUUAGCUAUAUAAACCAUGCACUAUAGUCAAUAGCAUCAGAGGUGCAAUUUGGGCUGAGCCAACCCGAACCCGCCCAUGUCUAACCUGACUUUAAACUCGAAUAAGCGAAUUUUGUUGUUGUUAUAACCCGCCUGAACCCAACCCGAUUUCAACCCGUUCAUUGAUUGGGUUGGAUUGGGUUGAUCAUUUGUCCAUCCCAACCCAAUCCAAUUAACCAAACCCUAUUAGGUUGAGCUGUGCAACAUACUUCUCAAUAACCUUUGCACCUUUGCACCUUUGCACCUUUGCACCUUUGCACUUUCAUGAGAACCUACUGAUAUGAUAUACAAUUUGACUUGAAAGGAAUCAUAUUAAGUUUAUUUUGCUUUUCACAUCACAUCCUGUAGAACAACUUCCUUUAUUAAAUUAAUAUUGCAACUAUUCGACCUCUCUUUGAGAUCUGCUUCACAGUUUGAGUUGUGAUUGUUUCUUAUGCUGAUUCAGACGAAGUAGGCUAUUGAGCAAGUAAAUUUGAGGGAAAGUGAUUUUAAGGUCAGUUGUUUGCUAAUACAAAUAGGUUGACAUCAUUGUUGAAAAACAUUAAACACUACUUGAAAAAGUUAGGCAACCCAAACUCAACCCAAGUAAAUCCAAACCCGAUUAAACCCGAGCCCGACUAAACCCGAUUAAAACCCAAUCCGAACCCGAACCCGAAUUGUAAAAGUUGGGUUAGGAUUUGGUUGAUUUUCCAACUCGCCCGAGUUGCACCCCUAAAUAGCAUUGAUCUAAGUUUUGUCCUAUAGAGAACAUGGUUUGUGUUAAUUUUACAUAUAUAAAAUAAAUGGGUAAACGGUUACCUGUUUAUAACCGUUAUUUAUACCUAUAACCGUUUAUUUAUCUAAAUAGUUACCUAUAACCAUAACCGUAAAGUUUAAAUAAGUGGGUAACUGCGAUUACAAGGUAUUUUACCCAUAUUCCCAUGUCAGAAAGUAAAGCAUUGCCGUAUAAUUUAAAUUAUCUUAGAUCAGUUGAUUUUAGACCGAAUGUUCACAUUCUAAAAUUUCUAAUAACGUCUGCGUUGGUUGUGAUAUGAGUUCUGCACCUCCGAUAUUGUAAAGCAUUAAAUAAAGGCCCAAUUACAAAUUCAUAAUUUUGGCCCAUGGUUUUUGGGCCCAGAGUAAGGUUGCGUAAUUUCCAGGGUCAAGUUUUAAAUUUGAUGCUUAAAUAGCAAGCCCAACCUUUUGCAAUCUCUUACAUGGGCAUUUUCCAGUCUUUACUUUUCAUUUUCAUUUUUACUUUGGAAUUCUAAUCCUGUAUAACAGUACAUGUGGAAAAUCUAUAUCUUUUUUUCUUUUUCUGCAUAUUCCUGUUUAGUUUUGUUAUUUGAUUUUCUAAUACUUUAUUUCAUUCAAAGGUUAGAAAUGAGCAAGAUUUGUGUGUGGGAGAAAAAAGUGUGUGCGACAAUCAUUUCUCAUUUCAUUUUUUAUCGAGGAGAUAAGAGAUUCAAACUUAAAAUCUCUUCUAACAUUGAGAAGUAUCACUAUUGUACUAACGACUAGUUGGUAAUCUUGCACAUGUGUUCAAAACCAAAAAAUUUCUAUUUUGUAUAAUGAGAUGCAAAAUUUAGAUUGCAACGAAGUUCUUCUUUUUAUGCAUGUGAGAGUGAAAUUGCAAUAAAUCGAACAACUUCAAUUACAUAUAUAAGAGUUUCUUUUCUUGUUUGUUAGAAAAUUUUGUGCAGAACGGUUUCAUAUUACAUAUGUAUCUUUUUACUUUUUAUCACGUAUCUUGUCAGGUGACUUCGCAAUGAGAGAUAGAAACACGUCAAGAUACAACGAUUGUUCCAAGAAAGUUUUCUAGUGGUAUGAGAAAGUUAACGAAAAGGGUUGGGACUUGGGAGGCGUUACGUCGUUAUCUGUAACGGUCUUAACAUGGAGCCAAGAUGGGAUGGUAGGGUUUUCGUGUGCAUGAAGGAUGCAGAUGACCUGAUCUGCCUUUCCCUUUGUGCUUGUGACCUCCUGCAAUUUCCAUAUCGACAAAACUUUUGCCCCUUGAUGGAAAUAUCCAACUUUGUGGGGGCCACCAGUCCAAUCCAUGCAUGGAUCCGGCCCGUUCAAUUUUCAUCGCCAGAAUUCAGUUGAUCACCUUGAUAUCAUGACCUAAUUCAAUCAUCAUUUGGAAGACUUUUUUGUCAAAUAAAACGAAAUAAUUGAUUAAUAUGAUUACAAGAUUAAUUCUUCAUUUUCAACAAUAUUGUAGGAUUUAUUUACUAGAGUGAUAGAAGAUUUGAACUUGAAUCCAGACCGCUUUAAAAACUCGUAAAAAAAUAGUAUCAAUGACCAUUUCCUCCUGUUUUGGAGGCAAAUUUGGUCCACUGUUUUUGUGCAUGAAUAAUGGUUGCCUUUAGUAUUAUUUGCUACUUUUUCUUCAGUAAAACAAUAAUACUGUCACUUUCUAUGAUGCCCAUUUCACACUAGCAUGCCCUGGAAGAACUAAAUAUCUUUUGUCAACAAAAAUCUUCCAUAGGUUGUUCCAAUCCAAGCUAGCCUUGGGUUGUCAUGAUGAUUUUGGUUUUAAUACAAAGUAAAUGGUAUAUAUCAACCGACCAACUGUAUAAGUUACUGUCAGUCGUUAAUAUAUGAACGUUGGUUCAUAUAAAUCUCAUAGGUUCCAUUUGGUGUACGAAAUGAAAGGUUGUGAGUAACAGUUAUAUCCUUAAAGAAAAUAUUGACAAAUUAUGUAAUGUACCCAUCCUGCAGUCCUCAUGUUGGCCAUAACCCUACCCAUGUGCAAAUACAAGUGAACAUAUAUCUCUUUUAAUGUAAUCAAAAUUAAAUUGAAACUUAAAACUUAAAUAAGAUUAGGGUUUUGAAUAUUCUAACGUGCAUGGGUUUGGUGACAUAGCAGGUUUAUUCGGUCCCUCGUACACUAGCAAAAGAGCUUGAAAUUAAUUAAUAUAAUUUUAAUUAAAUUAAAUAAUAAUGAUUAAGCUGAGUAAGAAGGAAGAAAGAUCUCCUAAUUAAUCAUCUCCCAAUUGGAUGCAUGACAGUAGCAUUUGGCCCACGUUCCGGAGUAGGCUCCAUCCUCCAUAACAUGCACAUGAGCUGCCAACCAUUUGGUCUCUCUGGGACCGCAUCAUAUUCAUCUGCAGUUAUUUGGAUUCUCAUACGAUCGACACAGAGAGAGAGAGAGAGAGAGAGAGAGAGAGAGAGAGAGAGAGAGGUUUGCAUUGUGAUGAGUGUGAACCCAUGAGACGUUGCAUAGUAUUAUCUUCUGCUACUAUCCCUCCCCAUUGGUUCUGCAAACCCAACACCAACCAAGAUAAGCGUUAGGCUAGUCGGUCGCCUUACCGCUUCUGGUGACGGUAUACUGUUGAUGUAUGUAUAAAUAAUGAACGACUGAGUUUAGUAUUCAUCUAUCUCUUUUGAAAUACCAAACGUACAAUAUGUGACAUUUGUGUAACAAAAGCCGUCUCCUUAUUCUUAUACUUCCAACACCUAGAGUAGUACGUAGCAGUGGUAGUCUUAUCGCACUUACUGACCUUUUUGUUUCAAUUGAUUCUCUCGAUUGAUAAGUGGCCGGUGUUUGGUCCUAAAUAGAAAUUAGGUUAAAUUAUAAACAUAAUCUUUUUCACAAAUGUAUGUUUUACAAUAAGGUAGAAUAAUUAUGUUGACAAAAUUGAAGGUUUCAAUGUACGAUAGAUUAAUUGGAAUGUAGAUGAUUCUCAGUUGUUGAGGCAUUCACUUUAUUUGGUGCGGAUGUAUAAUUGAUGGACAGUCGUUCAUGCACGUGUGUUUGUAUGAAGAUAUGUAAAGCAACCCUCUAGAUAUGAAUAGACAUAAGGUCUUUGUAAGUUGGGCUACUACUAUAUAGCGAAUUAAUUUUAUGUUGAAACCUCAGCUUUAUUCAUGAUAUCAAAGUAGGGUGUUUCAUGUGUGAAGCCCAACGGCUACACGUGCUUCACAUCACUCAUUUUAUUUUGUCCAUGUGCUAAGCUUAAAAAUUCGUCACGUGAUGAGACGUGUUGGAGUAUUAAUCCUACAUCGAAAAGAAGGAAACUUGCAUUGACAAAUAAGAUACGCUAAUACCCAUAUUAUCAAUUAAUUUUAUAAAUUUUAUAGUAAAACCCAAACAUUUUUCAUAAUUUUCUUUGGAGUUAACUAAAGCCAGAAGUUUGUGGUGUUGUUAACUCACUACCUAGGAGUGGACAUUUUAACCGGUAAAUCGGGUCGAGAAAACCAAAAGAAUCGGGUUUGACAUUGUCACAUUCUUGUUGCAUUUUUUCCCAAAUACCGAAUGUAAUGUGCCAUUCUUGUUACGGACAAGGAUUGUCUGCCCUCCUAGUUGUGGUGCCCUUCUAUGCCCUCCUAUUUUGUGCGGUCACGGUUAAGCCACGUCAACAUUUUAUAUUAAUUUUUUAAUGAGAUAAUAAGACAAAAAACAAUAAAAAUAUAAAAUAUUAACGUGGCUUAACCGUGACCGCACAAAAUAGGAGGGCAUGGAAGGGCACCACAACUAGGAGGGCACCUUGUCCUUCUUGUUACAAAAGCCUCUUUAUUCUUAUCCAAUAGAAGUAGUACGUAGUCUUAUCUCACCUAAUGGUCUUUUCUGUCAAUUGAUUCUCUCAGUUUAUAUAUAAGCUUUGUUUGUUUCAAAAUACAAAUUAGCUAAAUCAUAAACGUAAUGUGUUUCUGUUUGGAUCUUACUGUACACCAUUGAUCUGUUUAAUUGAGGCUGUUGAAUUUUAAUAUUUUUCUUAAAUAUUACUAUUGCUGAUUCGAAUUCAAUAGAGAAAACCAGGCAUUAUCCAUUGCUGGUUGUUUGUUGGAGAUCCAUUUGUUGAUAAAGACUUACUCAAGUGAUGGCAAGGAUUUUCCAACUUGGCUUGAGUAAAGAAAAGAUAAAAGAAGGUACCAUCCAUUUGUGAUAUUAUCCCUUUGGCCAAUUUGAUAAUUUAUUCUUUUUGGCCAAUUUGAUAGUAUUUCCUAAUAGAAUGCUCAGUGUUCAUUAAGAUAAAGAUGGCCAUCAAAAGGCCUUUGGUAGCCACGGUAUGGACUUUACAACACGUUCAAGCGUAUUAGUCCUAUAAAUACAUAAAACCGUGUAAUGAGAAGGCAACCUUCAACUUAACAUACAAAUAUGCCUUGCACAAAUCUCGCUCUAGGCGAACACUUCUCACACUCAGAGAACUAACUAACUCACAUUUUGAGAAAUCACUAACUCUCCACUUUCCUAACUACUUAAAGCUCGAUUGAUUAUCUAUCCAAGUCUCAGCUGACGAGGAGUCCUUGAUUCUUUAAUUGAACGAGGUCACUUUACUAGCUUUCCAACCAAAUUAAGUGUUUUAUGCUUGGUUACUUCUGGUACAUUUUAGAGUUCGGUAUUCUGACGGUUGAACAACAUUUACCAUCAAGACAUUUAUCUCUUUCGAGUACGAGUAUCCUUACAGUUUAACUCCGAACUGAUCAGAGCACUUAUAUUUUCACAAAUAUAGUCGAGGCGGCCGAACCUGGUGCAAAAGAUCAUGAACUUCACAGUGACUAACAACCUUUUUGACAUCACCACCACAUUCAUUCUACUAACCGACCGAGUUCGAUGGCAAGUUAGCACGACCGCAUUCAUCAUAAUGACGUAGUUAGCUUUUUGUUAUUCAGUCUACGUGUAAGUAAACUUGAUAGUUUUUAAGGUCAACAAUUUCACAAAUUGUGCUUUACAUUCUAACAAGUUUUACGAUCUCAACUUAUACUAGACGAAGGCGGACGAUCGAUUGUUAGUUGUUGCUGCGAGUUUCAUUGUGAUUGCGGAUGUAUAAUUGACAUACAAUCGUAACGUGUGUUUGUGGGCAAAGCAACUCUCUAGACAUCAAAAGAUAAGGUCUUUAGUUUUAUUCAGAAUUUGAGGUGUCUAUAUAAGUCACAAAAACCAAGAAACCUCUCGAACUCGUACCUUGGAUGCAGUGGAUGGGUUCCUAUCACAUGGUUGUCGCCAAAGGCAACAGAAGAGUACUCGCUAUAAUACUAAAUUAACAUGGUCCACUAGACGGUGGCUUUCCACCCUUUUUGUCGAUCGUGAGAGUAUGAUUUGGCCAAAUGCACUGUUAUUCUCCCAAAGUCGAGGUCAAUUUAGUAAACUAAUAUAUAGAAGUUUUUAAAAGUCACUAGUCUAGUAGCGGGUAGAGGCCUGUCGCUUAGGGGGGCCUAGGUAAUUUUUUAUUUUUAAUUAAUUUUUUAUAUAAUAUAUAGAUAAAUAUCUACUUAUAUUUUUUUUAAAAUAUAACUGUAUUGAGAUACAUUAAUUAGAAAAUGGAACUAUAUAUAAAUUAUAAAGUAUUAGAAUUGAAAACAUGGGGAAUAAACAUAUAAUGAGUGUUCAUCUCAAUAUUUAACAAGUUUUUUACAAUUUAUUGAAAAAAUAAAAUGUAAAAUGAAAGUUAUCUAUUUUCUAUCUAAAUGAGAGUUACGAUCUAGACGAGCGCCUACGCAGAUCUAGACGCUCUUUCUUAGUUUUCAAACGUCUAGUGAUCAAUCAAAGCGAUGACUACCUGCUUAGCGCCUAGGCAGGCUUAAGCGAAGCUAGGCGGUAAUUUUUAAAAGAAUGUGAUAUAUAGUUAGUAAUGAUAGCUACAAGGAAGAAAGAAACAACCCCACUGUACGAAACCAAAAACACUAAGCUACGAUGUGUUCUUAUCAUCUUAAGUUGUCCUACGAAUAAGUUAUGAAACCUAAUAUUAUGUUGUUGACCUAACCAAGUAGCUAGUAGCUAGUAUCGUUCACAUCAUCACUCCUAAAGUAACUUGAGGUAAAUUAGUUGCAAGAUAGCUAGAAUACAGAUCCGUCAAGGGACAUUUUUGUAAGACACAUUUUUAUUGAAAGCGCUACAAAUUUUUAUCGAAAAUUCAAGUACAUCUUGUUGGAGCAUAACGUGGUAUUGUUUGCAUACAUCAUGUAAAACUUUUACAUGUUAGGAUUUAACAAAGCAAGUAUUUUACGUUUUCAUCUCUCACACUUCAUUGUGAUCGAAACUCAAAAGAAAGAUGAUAAUAAGGUCAACUAGUACCCUAAUGAAUAUGAUUUUUAAUUUUCCGUGUAUUGCAUUACGGUUAAAAUGCAAGAUUUUUCCAAUAUUAAACUAUCAUAAGUAGUGUGUGAUGUCAGAGAUAUUACGAGACGAAGAACUUGCUGGUUCUAGUAUGAAAAUUGUUUUUGAAAUUUUGAUUUAAAAUGAUUCAGUCUUCAUAGGUGUCGGCGGGUUGGAUUGGUUUUUAGCUUAAAAGACCAUUUCUGUCCAUUAAUGUUGGUAGUCAGUUGAAUCAAUUAUUUUUUCUACGUGUUUAAUCUUAAACAAAAUUAAAAAAACGGUUUGUUUGGGGAAGGCUGUUAUUUAUUUUUAUUAAUUUUGAAAAAGUCGCGGUAAAAUCCCGGACAACUGUCAGCAGCUGGAGUCACUGUCAGUCGCGCUUGCACGCCGCCGUAGCUUAUUAAACUCCGGUCACUCACUUCCGCUCGUCUUCCGCCGGAAACGCCCUUUUUUUUUUGCUCGAUCAAUAAAAAUUAAAGUUAAAAAAAAAAGAAAAGAAGAAGAACGUUUCUGAAUUACCAAUCAGCUCUUCAACUUCCAUUGGCCACAGCAGUACAGAGCACUGUGUCUCUCUACUUUCUCUCUCUACACACUCUCUCGUAUACUUUCUCUCUCUAUACAGAGAGAAACACAGCACGAGAGCUCUCUGUUGGUAUUUUUUACGGACGUACACGCGGUUGUGUAGGCGUAGAUUCCUUUGCCCCCACUGCGUCAUAUAAUUUUAUCAAUAAAUAAAUGCCAAAAAGCUCUCUCUCUCCCCGCUGAAACCGCAUUUAUACACAGAGAGAGGGCCUAUUCCUAACGUUUUCCUCAUUUUUAUGUGCUGCUUUGGUUUGCCUAUAUUCACUCCUCCUCCGGGGAUCUCAGCCGUCCUCCGCCGCUCUUGCGAGAAUUCACCGGCUCAGCUGUCACCGGCAAGUUUCUCUCUUUGCUUUGGUAUUUAUUUCUGCUGAAAUUUUAAGCUGUUUUUUGUUUGUAAAGUUGGAAACUUUGCUGUGAUGGAAUUGAUGGGUUUUGAGUAUGUUGAUUUUGUGCGGAUUUUGAGGGCAUAAGUGGGUAAUUUGUGGAUUUUGGGCAGAUGGGCAGAUGGGCAGCUGUUGUUUUAGCCCAGUGCAUACGUGGUCUACAGUGUACUGCUUUUGGAUUUCUGGGGAACCUAUAGAGAAUAAUUGCCAGAAAGAUAUGGUCUUGUAGUGUAAACUUAUUGAUUUCUGGGUGAAAUCGAAGGUUUCAUAUCUGGGUUUGUUUUAAUUCGUUGAAUUGGGGAUUUAUAUCUCGUGGAAUUGGACUAUUGGCGUUAUAAAAUUCUGGAGUUUUUGUGGAAUUUGGAUUUAUGGAGGCUUUUGGAGGCAGAGCUCGGAAUUUCUAUGGUACGAUGGUGCCGGAUUUGAAGGGGGCUGGGAAAAAGAGUUUGGAAUGGGAUUUGAAUGAUUGGAAAUGGGAUGGUGAUCUUUUUACCGCUAGUCCUUUGAAUGCUGUACCAUCUGAUUGUAGGAGCAGGCAGUUGUUUCCGCUUGGGCUGCCGGAAACUCCCUCCACUGCUGGUUUGUCCAACAGUUCUUCUUCUGGUUCGGACGGUAUCUGUCCAGGGAAUGAGAAAGGUAAAAGAGAGCUGGAGAAAAGAAGAAGGGCUAGUUUUGUAGAAAAUGAAGGGCUAACUGAUGAAGUUGGGUCUCUUAAUCUCAAGCUUGGCGGGCAAGCUUACCCAAUCAUGGAAGGAGAGGUACAACAUGGGAAGAAGACGAAGAUAGUUGGGACUACUUUAAACCGAGCAGUUUGUCAGGUGGAGGACUGUAAGGCUGAUCUUAGCAAUGCCAAGGAUUACCACCGACGACAUAAGGUCUGUGAUAUGCAUUCUAAGGCAACUAAAGCGGUGGUGGGAAAUGUUUUGCAGCGGUUCUGUCAGCAGUGUAGCAGGUUAGUUCAAUUCUAUGGUUGUCCUUGUAUGGUGAGAAAUAUUUCAAAUUUUCUUCAGUUAAGUUCUACGUCGUUUAUUCGGUGCUUUCUUAUAGACAUUGUUUCUAGAAGAUGAAAUACAGAGUUUGAUUUGUAAGUUUUAAAAAAAUUAUUUGUUGCUCUCAUGAUUUGGGUCCAUAGUUGUUCAUCACUGUGUUUGGUAUAGUCGAAUUUUGAAGAACUUUUUUGUUGAAUUUGGAAUGUGGUUAUACUUAUGGGCAGGUUUCAUGGCCUUCAAGAGUUUGAUGAAGGAAAGAGAAGUUGUCGUAGACGUUUGGCAGGCCACAAUAGGAGGAGAAGAAAAACACAUCCUGAUACUGUAGUUAAUGGAGGCUCAUUGAAUGAUGAAAGAGGAAGCAGUUAUCUAUUGAUUAGUUUGCUGAGAAUACUCUCCAACAUGCACUGUAAAUCUUUGUGUUAUUGCACAUUCAAUUUUUGGCUGCUUUGCCUGACAUUAAAUUGAUAUGCUAAGUGUAUGUUAAGUGGUUACCGGAUUGUGUGUUGAUUGCCAUAGACUGAUGUCAAAGUUCUUGUGGUCUUUUGCUCUUAGGUUUUGUCAUUAUUUGAUUGAGGCUUGUAGCAAAAUGAUUAUGUCAAUUAACAUUUAAUAACUCCACUCAUAAAUUUUUAUUUGUAAACAUACAACAUAUUACUUGAUGAGUCCUUAACUGCUUAAGGUGCUCUAUUUUUGUGUAUAAAUGACAAAGUGCUAGUUUCUCUGAAUUUAAUUUGAUGAAAAUUUGAAUAUUGAUGCUUACGCAUGAAAAGUUUUCAGUUUUUCAGAGGUUGAUUUGAUAGAAAGUUAGAAUUUUGUGCAGACCUUCAUGUCGAAAAAUAUUUCAAUUUUUAUAAUCCAGAUUACACCUUGUGUGCUUGAAUUUCAUCCCUUGAACCCUUGUUUUUUGCACUUUCUUUCUCUGAUUGUUGGACUGUCCAUAUUUCACAUUCUAGGAUGCAUGAAGGAAGGGCCUAUUAAAGGGAAUUCUAAUUAGGAAUUGUUAUUUAGGAAAUUAUGUCUCAGUGAUCAUGUUAUUAUAAUAUUUAUUUGAUUAUGUUUGUGUUUGUUUUUCUUCUCAUAAGUGUCUUACUCAACUCCACUUUUGAUGCCUAAAAUGCAGCUAAUAGUUCAGAUCAAACAAAGGAUCAGGAUUUGCUAUCUCAUCUUUUGAAGAAUCUAGCCAAUCUUUCUGGUACAGUUGAUGGAAGAAACAUGUCUGCAUUGCUUACGGCAUCUCAAGGUUUAAUAAAUGGCGGGGCAUCAAUUCAGACUGCACAAAAGGUCCCAGAUACAGUUUCCAACGGCUGUGAACCAAGUAAGCCUUCUGUUUCAGCCUCUAAAAUGGAUGAUUAUAUUAAUGGUGAGGACCCUUCAAGACCUAUACGACAGUGUUCUACGGUACCUGCAUCAGAUUUCAGGAGAAUAUCUUCAGUUGAUGCAGAUCAUGGAGGUCUACAAGUUGUUUCAGGUCUAAAUGCCACGAAGCCAUUUCCUUCAAGAGACAGUGUUCCAUCCACAUCAGUUGCACCAGAAGCUACAAUGGGGAGGAUGCAGUUAAAUGGCAUUGAUUUAAAUAAUACAUAUGACGAUUCCCAGGACUAUUUGGACAACCUAGGGAAUUCGCAUGCCCCUGUAAAUUCAGGGACAGUGGCUCAUGGUUUUCCCUUUUGGAUGCGUCAGGAUUCGCAAAAGUCUAGCCCACCUCAGACAAGUGGGACUUCAUGCUCAACUUCAUCAAGUUCUAGUGGAGAUGCUCAGGUAUAUUCUUGUUGUACUUGCAUCUCGUUCCUCGUUAUUGCUUGGUAUAUUAAUGCUUGUAUAUGCCAUAACCUGUCCUUUUCUGUUGGAUAAAAGAAUAGCUUUGUUCUCACUUUAAUUUGGCAUUUAGGUGACAAUGCUUUGCAUUCGACUUGUCCGUUUGUCUAGCCAAUUGAUUGAAAAAACAUGAAGUACUCGGCAUACCUAAUAAAUACUUCUGUUGUGACGUAAGAGUCAAGAUGGAUUCUCUUCUUUUGUAUAGUGCUUUGUAUGUAUAAAUGUGUGCGUAUGCUUCUGCUUGAUAAGGUUUAUAGAGUUGUAGUUAAACUACAGGAGGUUGCAGGCUAUAUCAGUUAGAGUUGAGUAUUUUUUAAAUAUUUUUUAUUAUGAAGGCCAGUGUGUAAAAUGUUACUGCACUGUUACGUCUCUUAACCACUCUUUUUCUGCCGUGUUUCAGAGUCGCACAGACCGUAUUGUUUUUAAACUCUUUGGAAAAGAUCCAAAUGAUCUUCCAUUUGUUCUACGAGCACAGGUAAUAUUUGGUGCCUUGAUUUAAUUCUUCACAAUGUAACUUGUGUUUCCUUGCACAUACAACAAUUUUAUGAAAUAUUUUGAAUAUCCAGAUUCUCAACUGGUUGUCCCACAGUCCUACUGACAUUGAAAGCUACAUAAGGCCGGGAUGUAUCAUUUUGACAGUUUACCUCCGUCUAGAAAAAUCCACGUGGGAGGAGGUAUGUUUCUGUGCUGAUGCCAAAAUGUUGAUUGCUGACCUUGUAUCAGGGAGAUCUCUUUUCUUGUCCUUAAUUGUUAUGUUUGCCUGCAGCUCUGCUGUAAUCUGGGAUCCAUUAUAAAACAACUUUUACAUGCUGCCAAUGAUCCUUUUUGGACAACAGGAUGGGUGUAUACUAGGGUGCAACAUUCUGUAGCAUUUACGUACAAUGGUUUGUUCUCUCUCUCUCUCUCUCUCUCUCUCUCUCUCUCUCUCUCUCUCUCUCUCUCUCUCUCUUAAUUAUUCAUUCAUAUAUUUUCUAGCUCAUUUAGUGAUUUACCAAUAGUUGUGUUAUGAAAGAAAAGACAUUUUAAAUAGUUAUGUCUGUACUGCAGGUCAAGUUGUCUUAGACACACCCUUACCUCUGAAAAGCCAUAAAAAUUGCAAGAUAUCAUGCAUCAAACCAAUUGCAGUUUCUUUAUCCGAAAGAGCUGAAUUUGUAGUAAAGGGGUUUAAUCUUUCUCGUGCCACCACAAGGUAUCCUUAUCUUUCAUUCAAGCUUCAUUAUGUAGACCACUCCAGUGUCAUAUGUUAUUUCUGAAUUAGUAACUAUCAGGAUAACUGGGAAGGAGGAAAGUACUAAGUCCUAGCUUGUGACAGGUUGCUCUGUGCUCUGGAAGGGAAGUAUCUAGUCCAAGAAACUUGUUAUGACUUGAUGGAUGGUGCUGAUACAACCUUUGCGAAUGAUCAGCUACAGUGCCUCAGAUUCUCCUGCUCUAUACCCAAUGUUACUGGCCGAGGACUCAUUGAGGUGCUGUUCCAUUCUUAAUAUAUGUUUUAUAUUUCCUUUGAAGUGUGCUUAUCAUUACUUAUUUAUUUAUUUUUAUUUCAGGUUGAAGACCAUGGUCUCAGCGGCUGCUUCUUUCCAUUUAUAGUUGCCGAGCAGGAAGUAUGUUCAGAGAUUUGUACCCUGGAGGGUGCGAUUGAGGUGGCUGAGACUGCAGAUAACAUCCAGACAGAACCUGAAAAGUUGGAAGCCAAGAACCAAGCGUUGGACUUUGUACAUGAAUUGGGUUGGCUCCUUCACAGAUGUCACACUAAAUUUAGACUUGGUCACGGGGAUCCCAACUUAGAACUAUUUUCUUUUAGACGGUUCAGGUUGCUUAUGGAGUUUUCCAUGGACCGUGAUUGGUGUGCUGUAGUGAAGAAACUCCUGGGCAUUCUGCUUGAGGGUACCGUUGACACUGGAGAACAUCCUUCUAUUGAGCUUGCGUUAUUGGAUAUGAGCCUCCUCCACGGAGCCGUGCAAAGAAAGUGCAGGCCUAUGGUGGAACUCUUGUUAAGAUUUGUCCUAGACAAAGGGUGGCAACAAGUUGACGGGGACGGCAGCAACUUCUUAUUUAAACCCGAUGCAGUUGGGCCCAUGGGAUUGACUCCUCUUCAUGUUGCAGCCAGUACUGAUGGAUGUGAGAAUAUAUUGGAUGCCUUAACUGAUGAUCCUGGAAAGGUAAUUUCUCAUUGUCUUCUUUGACAGUUUUCUUUCUAAUUGGAUGUAAAAAUCAGAACAGGUCUGCAUCAUUAUCCAUUUUUCUCCGUACGUGUUUGACCGUUUGCUCAUACAAAUGACUCAUGUCAGCUCAUUCUGUGUCUCACAUGAAUGUUGAUAUUUCAAAUCGUUGUAUUUUCAAGCAUACAAAUGUUGAUAUCUUUGCUUCUUUAGGUGGGAAUUGAAGCGUGGAAAAAUGCUCGAGACAGUACAGGAUUGACACCAAAUGAUUAUGCAUGCCUGCGAGGCCGCUACACCUAUGUCCAAAUUGUCCAGCGGAAAAUCAACAAGAAACAUGAAAGCGGGCACGUGGUGCUUGAUAUCCCUGGCGUUAUCUUAGACAGCAGCAGCAAGCAGAAACAAUUAGAUGGGCAUAAGUCCUCAAAAGUCUCCAUCUUGGAGACCGAAAGGAUCGAUAUGAAAGCAAUGCAGGCACAUUGCAAGCAAUGUGAAAUGAAACUAGCAUAUGGAAACACAAGGUCGUUUGUGUACAGGCCGGCAAUGCUGUCAAUGGUAGCCAUUGCUGCUGUCUGUGUUUGCGUGGCCUUGCUCUUCAAAAGCUCGCCUGAAGUCCUUUAUGUCUUCCAGCCCUUCAGGUGGGAACUCUUGGAGUAUGGACCGAGCUAAGGCAGUUUACGCGUCUCAAAUUUUAGUUACUCUGGCUUUAGGCCGUUUGUGUUAAUCAUAUGUAUAAACGGAUAACUCAAAUUUUAGUUACUCUGGCUUUAGGCUGUUUCUGUUGAUCAUAUGUAUAAACCGAUAACUCUAUAGGGAACAUAAUGUACCAGUUUUCGUAUCCGUUAAGAUUUCCACGAGAGGUGUUGCACUGUAUGUAUUAAUGAUAGUUCAUAUAAAGCGUGUAUAGGGAAAGAUUGACGUAAAUAGUACUAUUGACCAAUUGUUGAGGCAAUAGAUUGCUGCAUUACUUCCAAAAACACAUACAAACAUUGUAUUCGAUGAGGCGGAAGAUUCGGACUUGAAAAUUCUUUCGCUUUUAAGUCAGCUUUCUUAAACAGAAGACAAUAUUUAGUAGGGCGGCCUGACUAAUAAUUUCUUUCGCUUUUAAGUCAGCUUUCUUAAACAGAAGACAAUAUUUAGUAGGGCAGCCUGACUAAUAAGUAGGUUAGACUACUCUUGCUAAAUUUUAUGCAUUGAGAGUUGUAUUUACGUAAGACUGGAUGGUGACCAAAUACAUAGAAUCACGUUCCUUCAUGAGGGGAUAAGGCUGUCUCACAAAGGUUGGAGCUUUGUGCUUACUUAGAUACAUGAAUCUCGUUCUUUCGUGAGUCAACUUUUCAGGUUAUUCAACUCAAAUGUUAUGAAUAAAAUUGGGCCAAAAUUAGAUCAAACAGUUGUUUUUCUCCAAAUAUUUUUAAUUUGGUCAAAUGCAUGAAUCUCGUUCUUUAGUGAGAUAACUUUUCAUGUUAUUCAACUCAAACGUUAUGAAUAAAAUUGGACCAAAAUUAGAUCAAACAGUUGUUUUUCUCUAAAUAUUUUUAAUUUGGUCAAAUCCAAUCCGAGUCUAAUAUUAACUAGCAAAAAAAAAAGCAGAAAAAUGGAUUUUACAGGCUAAUAAAAUAAUAGGAAAAGGACUCCAGUCACAGAGACACGUUGACUCAUAUUUUGACAUGAAAUUGUUUUCCACUUCAACAAGUCAUAUUCAUGGUCCUUACAUAGUGUACACAAUUAUUACCUUGUUUAAUCUUUUUCAAUUAUUUUGUCGUUUUGAACCUUUUUUCUUUGGUUUAAUUGCCAAUAAUUCAAGCAUUAAAUCUUGAUCUCGAAAUGGAACAAUUUUCCGGUGUACUAAGAUCACGUUCACGUAAAAUUACUGGUUCAUUUAAAUUAUAUUACGUAGAUUUGUUAAUAUUAAGUUUAGGUUAAAUCUCACAAUAAUUAGUAAUAAUAUGACGAGAAUUAAACUUGAAAUAUAUCACUUAUAAUAAAAUAAAAUAUCAUUAGUUUAAAUAUUAAAAUGAUACACCUCGUAACUUGUAACGCUGUUAAUUUCUAAUCGAAAUCAAAAGGAGACGCGUCAUUUGAGGCCACCACCUCUCUCCUCUCACUCUCCCCACUGAAACCGAAUUUACACAGUAAGAGAACCCUUUUCCUAACCUUUUCCUAAUUUUCAUGUGCUGAUUAGCUUUGUCUCGGGGCCUAUAUUCUCUCUGCCUCAACUGCGAUCUCAGCCACUUCUUCGUCAGCUCUCAGUUCUCAGCUCAUCUCCCAACAAUUCACCAACCUGCCGGCAAGUUUCUCUCUCUUUACUCUCUCGCUCUCCUCUUUAUUUCCACAAAAAAAGAUUGGGUCUUUCAGUUCUUUCAGCUCAAGUUUCUUUCCAUGGAGUUGAAAGCAUUGACUAGGAUGUAAUUGUGGGCUUGCAAAUACGGUAUUUUGUACUGACUUGUUGAGAGAAAAACUGGGUAAUUGGUGGAUUUUGGGUUCUGGGCAGCUGUAGCCUGUAGUUUAGCUCCAUUUUUAUGCUGGUGUGCUGUUCUUGGUUUUCUGGGGUUCUUGGAAAGAACAAUUUCCAGAAAUUUCUGGGGCUGUGGUGUUAUUGACUUUUUGUUUUGGGGUGAAAUUUAUAGUUUUAUCUCUGAGCUGUAGUUGUUGUUAUUGUUCAAUUGGGUGUUUGUAUCUGGUGGAGUUUGACUAGGGGGCAUUGUAACAUCUCUGGGUUUUUUGUAUCUUGAUCUAUGGAGUCUGAAUUCGGAGGAAAGGCUUGUAAUUUUCGUGGUGUGAUGGUGCCGAAUUUGAAGGGGGUUGGGAAAAAGAGUUUGGAAUGGGAUUUGAAUGAUUUUAAAUGGGAUGGUGAUCUUUUUACUGCUAGUCCAUUAAAUUCUACACCAUCUGAUGGUAGGAGUAGGCAGUUGUUUCCGGCCAGGCCAGAAACUCCGUCGGAUGCUGGUUUGUCCAACAGUUCUUCUUCUGGUUCGGAUAAUAUCAGUCCGGGGAAUGAGAAAGAUCAAAGAGAAUUGGAGAAACGGAGAAGGGAUUUUUUUGUGGAAAACCGAGAGUUGAAUGAUGAAGCUGCGUCUCUGAAUCUUAAACUUGGCGGGCAAACUUACCCCAUUAUGGAAGAAGAAGUACAAACCGGGAAGAAAACAAAGACAAUUGGGACUACUUCAAACCGUGCAGUUUGUCAGGUGGAGGACUGUAAGGCUGAUCUUAGCAAUGCCAAGGAUUAUCACCGGAGGCAUAAGGUCUGUGCUAUGCAUUCUAAGGCAACUAAAGCGCUGGUUGGAAGUGUUAUGCAGCGGUUCUGUCAACAGUGUAGCAGGUUGGUUCCAUCCUAUUGUUAUUUAUUGUUUGGUUGAAACAUUUCCCCGAUUUUCUUGAAUUAACUUGAAAUACAGAGUUUGGUUGUGUAAAUUUUGUUGUCAUGCGUUUGUUGUGCAUGGCUGUUCAUCAAUCUUCUUACGGUAUGGUUGAGUUCUGCAGAAGGUUUUUUUUGUUGAAUUAAAUGUAACAGGGUUAACACUCGUGGACAGGUUUCAUGCUCUUCAAGAGUUUGAUGAAGGGAAGAGAAGUUGCCGUAGGCGUUUGGCUGGCCAUAAUAGGAGGAGAAGAAAAACACAUCCUGAUACUGCAGUUAAUGGAGGCUCUUUAAACAAUGAAGGCGGAAGCGGUUAUCUAUUGAUUAGCUUGCUGAGAAUACUUUCAAAUAUGCACUGUAAGUACUUGCCUUAUUCAUUGUACACUUCUGUCUUAGUGAAACAUUGUAUCUCAGAUUUAUUUGAAUCCGCAUAUUAUGCCAUUUAUAAAUUGCAGCUAGUAGUUCUGAUCAAACAAAGGAUCAGGAUGUCAUAUCUCAUUUGUUGAGGAGCUUAGCCAAUGUUGCUGGUACGGCUGAUGGAAGAAACAUAUCUACAUUGCUGCAGGGAUCUCAAGGUUUAUUUAACAGUGGGACAUCUGUCCAGACUGCACGAAGGGUUCUAGAUAUGAAUGCUGGUGUUAAUACUGAGGACCCUUUAAGGUCUAAAGGACACUGUUCGAUACUACCUGCAUCAAGAGACAGUUCUGAAUCCAAAUCAGUUACACCGGAAGCUACAAGUAGAAGGUUCCAGUUAAAUGAUUGAUUUAAAUAGUACAUAUGAUGAUUCACAGGACUAUGUAGAGAACCUAGGGAAUUCUCAUGUUCCUGCAAGUCCAGGCACUGCAUCUCUUGGUUUUCCUUCAUGGAUGCAGCGUGAUUCUCAUAAAUCAAGCCCACCUCAGACAAGUGGGAAUUCAGACUUAACUUCUACUCAGUCACCGUCAAGUUCUAGUGGAGAAGCUCAGGUAUAUCCUUGUAAUUGCAUCUAUUCCAUAAUUGCUUGGUAAUAUAAUGCUUAAAAAUGCCUUUGUCGUGGAUGAUGCUCAGCCCACUGUAAUUCGUCUUUUUUUUAAUCUUUUUUUCCAUGAGACCAGGGAUUAAUAUAUCAAUUGUCAUUAAUCAUUAUACGGCGUAUAACUUGUCUUUUGUUUGGAUAGUAGAAUACCUUUGUUCUAUCCUUGAGAGUAGUUAGGCAGUCAUGUAUUGUGUUCUGAACGUGUCUGUGUAUCUUUCCAUGGAUUGUCAAAAUAAUGGCGAGGUUAAGUGCGCUCGCUGCUUGGUUAUGGGAUAUAUGUAAGAAAUGCUUCAAUUGUGACUUAAAGUUGAGAUCAGUUAUCUCUUCCUUCAAACCAAUAUGGCAGUUUACAAGCGCAACCACACACACAAACAUACUUGUUGUGUAUACGUCUUCUUGAUGCUGUUAAUAGAAUUGAGGUUAAAGUUACCUGGUGGUUUCUGCAGUCCUAAUGGAACAUGCAUUAUUUAUGUAAAAGGCCAGUAUGUAGAAUGUAUCUGCAAUUUUACGUUUCUUGACUGCUCUUUUUCUGCCACAUAUCAGAGUCACACAGACCGAAUUAUUUUUAAACUAUUUGGAAAAGACCCUAAUGAACUUCCACUUGCUCUGCGAUCACAGGUACUAUAUUUCCUUUGAUUUUUCUAGUUUUCAAAGUACUUUUCAAAGUAUUUUGGUGUUUCAUUCCACGGACUCCAUGAUUUUUAUAAAUUAUUUGAAUAUCCAGAUCCUCGACUGGUUAUCUCACAGCCCUACCAACAUUGAAAGCUACAUAAGGCCGGGCUGUAUCAUUUUGACAAUUUACCUUCGUCUAGAAAAAUCCACGUGGGAGGAGGUAUUCUCGACUGUGGAUGGCAGAUCCUUGUAUGAGGAAGACUUUUUCUUCAAGUCCUUAAUUUUGACAAUUCACCUCUCCCAGACCCUGAUUAAAGCGGGAGCCUUGUGCACUGGGUACGACCUUUUUUUUUAUAAUUAUUUUUGCUUACAGUUCUGUUGUCAUCUGGGAUCCAGUUUGAAAACACUUCUUGAUGCUGCGGAUGAUCCUUUUUGGAGAACAGGAUGGGUGUAUACAAGGGUGCAAGAUUAUGUAGCAUUUACAUACAAUGGUUUGCCUCUCUCUCUCUCUCUCUCUCUCUCUCUCUCUCUCUCCCCCUCUCAUUUCGUGUGUGCGUACACAUUUGUGUAUUUAGGGUCUAUAGAAGAAUCUUGCUGUUUUAGUUUUCCAUUAUGCUUUAUUGAUUUUGGUCAUGCUUUGUUUUGUUAUUUCUAGUACAUAAUGAGGAUUGACCAAAAACAUUAACCUUAUAUGAGAGAAGCAUUUUGAUUAGUUAUGUCCAUCCUGCAGGUGAAGUUGUGUUAGACACACCCUUGCCUCUUAAAAGCAAUAAAAGUUGCAGGAUAUCAUGCAUCAAACCAAUUGCGAUCUCCUUAUCUGAGAGAGCUGAAUUUAUAGUAAAAGGCUUUAACCUUUCUAGUUCCACCACAAGGUUCUUUCAUCUUUCAUUCAUGCGUCAUUACUUUGUUUUCAAUAUUCCUCUCUAGUUUUAUAGGAUAACAGAAGAAAUACUAAAUUCUAGAUCUUGAGUCUUGACAGGUUACUCUGUGCUCUAGAAGGGAAGUAUCUGGCUCAAGAAACUUGUUAUGACUUGUUGGAUGAUGCGGAUAGCACUGUUGAGGAUGACGAACAACAAUGCCUUAAAUUCUCCUGCUCUAUACCAAAUGUUACUGGGCGAGGAUUCAUUGAGGUGCUGUCAUAUUCCUAAUUGUCCCUUUCCCCCUUCCUCCUCUUGUAAUGUGCAUUUUGAACGAGCCGUAUUUUAUAAGUCCGGAAUUUGUUUAUAAAUCUUCUUAUGAAUACUGAGUAUAGAUUUGUUUCUAGACAGCGCCUUAACUGAAAUCCACGGUUCUCAUUUUAUUGGUCAAAUUUAUGUCAGGUUGAAGAUCAUGGUCUCAGCAGUAGCUUCUUUCCAUUUAUAGUUGCAGAGCAGGAAGUAUGCUCUGAGAUUUGUAUGCUGGAAGAUGUGAUUGAGGUGUCCGAGACUGAUGAUGAUAUCCAAUCUGGACCUGAAAAAGUGGAAGCUAAGAACCAAGCCUUGGACUUUAUACAUGAAUUGGGUUGGCUCCUACAUAGAAGUCGCGUUAAGUUUAGACUGGGUCAAUUGGAUCCCAAUCUAGAUACAUUUCCCUUUAGACGGUUCAGAUUGCUCAUGGAGUUCUCCAUUGACCAUGAUUGGUGUGCUGUGGUGAAGAAACUCUUGGGCAUUCUGUUUGAUGGUACUGUCGACGCUGCAGAGCAUCCUUCCCUUGAGUCUGCACUACUGGAUAUGGGCCUCCUCCACAGAGCUGUGCGAAUCAAUAGCAGACGUAUGGUGGAAUUCUUGUUAAGAUUUGUCCCAGGUUUAACAGGAUCUGAGCAGAAGGAACAAGUUGACAGGGACGGCAACAGUUUCUUGUUUAAACCUGAUGUUGUUGGGCCCAUGGGGUUGACUCCUCUUCAUAUUGCCGCCAGUACUGAUGGCUGUGAGCAAGUAUUGGAUGCCUUAACUGAUGAUCCUGGAAAGGUAAUAUCUCCGUUUUUUGAAUUGCAACAUAAUAUUUUUCUUCUAAUUCUAUGUAGAAAUCACUUUGCGCUGGCUACAACCUCCAUCCCAUCUCCAUACCCAUUUGAACUCUUGCGCCUACAGUUGACCUGUGUCUGUUCUCAUACUGUUUCACACACGUGUUUUGAUGAUUUUAACUCAUUCUAAUUUCCAGCAUGUCAGGUUGCUCACGGAUUUUAGAUCUGUAAUCAUGUCUUCUUUGACUUUGAGCUCUCUCUUUAGCUUUUCCACUGUCUUCUGCCUAAACAAAAUACACUGAUUCCAGUUAUUGAGUUGUAUUUCAAAUUCUCAAUUAACCAAUCCUAGACAAAUUAUGCAGUCUUGUAUUUUCUUUGGCUUGCGAAACAUAUGAAACAUAAAUCACCGUAGAAAAGUUAAAUGCGCCAUUCAAAUUGGUAAAGAAAGCAGCACCCCACAUCUAAAUGCAUGCUAACUCUUUCACAGCUGAAAGCGGCACCCAAAUUCUACAUUCAACUUGAAAUCAAAUAGGACUGCUGUUAAAAUUUUUGACGAUAAAUGAAUUAUGAUUCUUUUCAUCGUUCUAGUUUCAACUUUCAAGCAUGUGUUUAGGACUGCUGUCAUGAAAUUUCUUUAGUGUCAGAUAAUCCAUUCAUCAAGUUGAUAUGGGCGUUUUUUUCUUUAGGUGGGAAUUAAAGCAUGGAAAAACACUCGAGACAGCACAGGAUUGACACCAUAUGAUUAUGCAUGCCUUCGAAGCCGCUACUCCUAUGUCCAUAUAGUCCAGCGGAAAAUCAGCAAUACACUGGAAAGCGGGCAUGUGGUGCUUGACAUCCCUGGCCUCACGUUAGACAGAAAUGGAAAGCAGAAGCAAUCGGAUGCGCAUAAAUCAUCAAGAGUAGCCAGCUUGGAAACUGAAAGGAAUGAUAUAAAAGCAAUCUUACGACACUGCAGGUUAUGUGAACAGAAACCAGCUUAUAGCACCACACGGUCACUUGUAUACAGGCCGGCAAUGCUGUCAUUGGUGGCUGUCGCUGCUGUCUGCGUUUGCGUGGCCUUGCUCUUUAAAAGCAAUCCGGAAGUUGUUUUCGUGUUGGAGCCAUUCCGGUGGGAACACUUGAAGUUUGGUUCAAGCUAAGGUUAUAGUUUACGUGUAUUAAUUUAUAGUGACUCUGGUUAUACAUAGACCAUUUCUUUUCACGUGGAUAGGAGUAUAUUUUCUAUCUGAUUUUUAUAUGUAUAUCUAGGGCCACUCAAGCCAACAAGACUCUUCGCAUUGCAAUGGUCGGAACGUCUAUCGUAUCUGUAUUUGUAUACCUAAGCUUCCAAAAUAAACAUGGGCUGUCAUGGAUUUUGGUCCACCAGGUUUGAUUGUAUUUGUAUUUGUAUAACAGUGUUACAAACUGGAUGACACAUAAUUUCUCUGUUUGAUAUUUCUUUUUUUUUUUUCAAAAUAAACAUUUGGCACGAGGUGAUUCGGUGUUCGAUUAUUAGUGCAUUUACUGUAUAAAUUAAAUUUUAAUUUUAGAAAAUUCAGCAUUUUUGUUGGUUAUAUUGGAGGAAAUCGAACUUUGGUCUACUCUAAUUCUAACUUAUUACCAUACCCUCCUCCAUUAUUUGAGCUCAUAUAAGCAUAAGCACACUAAACAAGGUUAAGUAUAGAAGAAUUUGGGAAUUGAGAAUUAUUGUUUGAGCAUUAUUUCAUGUUUAGUGCAAAUUGAGGUUGAAUUAUUUUCUAAUUUUAUUAGUUUAAUCAUUUGGAUGAAUUUGUUCAUGCUUCCAUAUGAAAUCAUUAUUUUAUUAAAAUAAUUUAUUAAUAGUUCGAGAAAAACUUAAAUGGAGGUGCUCACGUCAUUCAUCACGCAUUCACAUUCACAUUCGUUACACGUUUCUCAUAAAAACAUAAAACUCUUUCAAAUGAAUAGGUUUCACUGAAUUUGGAUAAUAUCCGACUUUACAUAAGUACAAGUAUCAAUGCACAUGAUUCCAACCAGUAAUUAUUAUCUUAUUUGAAUUACUUACCCCGAAUCAGACCUGAAAAAGUGUAAUUUAUUCAAAUUUUAUUUUCUGAAAUUCAAAAAAAUAAAAUAAAAUUUGAGGAUAAGAAAAUAAAGGGUAAAGAGGUCAUUUGCAUGCCCUGCCUCCUAAAAUCCACCUCACUACUCACUACCCCGUCACUGCUCUAACAAUUUUGCAGGCCAAAGCCAUCCAUGGCUUCUUCAAUCUCUCUCUCCUUCUCUUCCUCUCUCCUCCCUCAUCCUCUUCCUUUCAACAAAUACUCCACCGCCACCGCCGCCGCCUCCCAGAAAUCCCAAUACCCCAACUUUAAGCUGCUCCUCCGCGCAUUCGCCAACCCAGCUGUAAGCCGUCGCUCCACUCCAUCUCCGUCUUCCGACACCAGAAAGAGGCACUGGAAGAAAGGUGAAUACCCAGGCGUCUCGGAGACGUCGGCUCCGGCGAAUUACAGAAAAACCCCUGGUCGUUCCACUUCAUCUGAGUCUUCCGACACCAGAAAGAAGCACUGGAAGCGAGGUGAGUUCCCGGGCGUCUCGGAGACGUCGACUCCGGCGAAUCACAGAAAAACCCCUGGUCGUUCCACUUCAUCUGAGUCUUCCGACACCAGAAAGAAGCACUGGAAGCGAGGUGAGUUCCCGGGCGUCUCGGAGACGUCGACUCCGGCGACUUACAGAAAAACCUCCGCUCGUUCCGCUUCAUAUCCGUCUUCCGACAACAGAAAGAAGCACUGGAAGCAAGGGGAGUUCCCGGGGGUCUCGGAGACGUCGAUUCCGGCUAUUUAUAGAAAACCCCCUUUGAAAAAUGUGAAGAAGAAGCUGGACCGGAAGAACAAUGCCAAGGCCUGGGUCAACACCGUCACGGAGGCCCUGUCAGACGCCAUUGACAAGAAGCAGUGGCUCCAAGCUCUUGAGGUUUUUGUCUUAAUCUAAACAAAAAUUAACAAAUUUUUCAUCUUUUUUCUUAUGUGUUUUUAGUUUGGUGAAUGUAAAUUGAUGCAAAAUUUAAAAAAAUGGUAUUUUUAUGCUUACCAAUUUAGUUUCUUGAACCAUGUUCUUGAAAAAUGUGAUCUUUUUAGCUGAAUGAUUUUAGUGGAAUUAUAAUUAAUUGGGUGUUUUUGUUUGGAAAAUGUAUGAUGAAAUUGGGUACUAUUACGUUCAGGUGUUUGACAUGCUUAGGGAACAACCAUUUUAUCAACCGAAAGAAGGGACUUACAUGAAACUCAUUGGUAUGCUUGGAAGGUGCGGCCAACCCAAUCGUGCCCGCCAGCUUUUCGAUACAAUGGUUGAAGAGGGCUGUGAACCAACUCUUGACCUUUACACAGCCUUGCUCGCGGCUUAUUGCCGGAACAAUCUGAUUGACGAGGCAUUUUCUGUUCUUAACCUGAUGAAGACUCUCCCGCAAUGCCAGCCUGACGUUUUUACUUACAGUACCUUGAUAAAGGUUUGCAUUGAUCAUUUGAAGUUUGAUUUAGUUGAGUCCUUGUAUGAGGAAAUGGCUGAGCGGUUGAUAGCUCCGAAUACAGUCACCCAAAACAUAGUGUUGAGUGGAUAUGGUAAGGCCGGGAAGUAUGACCAGAUGGAAAAAGUGUUGUCCGGGAUGCUGGAGGGUACAAGUUGCAAGCCUGAUGUCUGGACAAUGAAUGUUGUCCUUAGUGUGUUUGGAAACAAGGGUCAGAUAGAUAUGAUGGAGAGAUGGUAUGAGAAAUUCCGUGAUUUUGGGAUUGAGCCGGAAACUCGCACUUUGAACAUUCUGAUUGGUGCUUACGGGAAGAAAAGGCUGUAUGAUAAGAUGUCAACUGUGAUGGAGUACAUGCGCAAGCUUCAAUUCCCAUGGACAACCGCAACUUACAACAAUGUGAUAGAGGCUUUCGCGGACGUAGGAGAUGCAAAAAACAUGGAAUACACGUUUGAACAGAUGCGUGCUGAGGGCAUGAAAGCAGACACCAAAACAUUCUGCUGCCUUAUUAAUGGGUAUGCCAAUGCAGGCCUCUUCCAUAAGGUGGUUAGCUGCGUUCAGUUGGCUGGAAAGUUUGAGAUACCUGAGAAUACCACAUUUUACAAUGCGGUGAUAGCUGCAUGUGCAAAGGCAGAGGAUUUAAUGGAGAUGGAAAGAGUUUUCAACCGGAUGAAAGAGAAGCAAUGUCAACCGGAUUCCACAACAUACUCUGUCAUGGUUGAGGCAUAUAGUAAGGAAGGUAUGAACGACAAGAUCUACUACUUGAAGCAGGAGAUUGGUACUGAUGGUAAUCAAAGUGAUCAGAUUAGUGUUGAAGAAAAUCAAAGUGAUCAGAUUAGUGCCGAAGAGAAUCAGAGUGAUCAGAUUAGUGUGGAAGACAAUCAGAGUGAUCAGAUUAGUGAUGAAGGCAAUCAAAGUGAUCAGAGUAGUUUUGAAGAUAAUCAAAGUGAUCAGGCUUUUGGAGCUGAGUCUGGCGGUGUUGUCUAGUUGAGAUCUUUGGAGGCAACAGUAUGCUCCAAAAAUCCCUAAUCUCACAGGGCAAUUCCAUUCCCCGCAGUUCUUCUAAGGCAGCAGCAAACUCUUAUUGUGAAAUUGCCGAUCGAUCAGGUAAUCAAACAUUUCCAUUCUCGGAUGGGUGUUAGCAAUGCUGCUUCCUCCAAUUUUAUGUUUCUGGUGAAGGACUGUAUGGAUUGAUCUGAUAGACUGAUAACCCGGGUGAAACUUUAUGGAAAAUGAUUGUACAUACAGAGUUGAUAAGUGUCUCUCUCCAAACUUGAUGCGAUCUCUAAACUAGCAUGCAAAAUUGUACGACGAUUUGUAAGAGUGUUUAACUGUGUUCAACAGAGGAAUUGCUUUUUGUUAUUGCCUGAAAUGUUUUGAAUGUAACUUCACGUAUAUAUUGUCUGCAGCAGCUGCUGGACAAUCAUAGAAGGUGGUCUGUAAACACGUUGUUUUUGAAAAUUAAUCGCUCUUUUCGGUACAUUUUGUGCUGCUGUUGUUCGAAUGUUUUGGCACUUGAGGCAGACAAUUGAUCUGCAAUUAUCCCAAAAUGUAAGGGUCCAGCUCAACAAAACGCAGGGGUAAUUUGAUCAAAGAUGUAAGUUUUGUUAUAUUGACUUUUGAGUAGCAUUGGUAGUGUAAUAAACAAUAUCAGUAACGUUGAAUAAUAAUAAAUUUUACUUGGAUGCCGGCGUGUGUAGUAAGAAUAUGUCCAAAGUGGUUUGGACAACGACAUGAUGGUGCGUUAACUAAUAUGAUCUUAUCACGUGAUGAGAGAUAAAGGAGAGAUGAAUGUAUUCGUGACCUGGAGGUUAUUCUACACGUAAACUUGUAAAGAUAGGCAAACAGGGUGCUUUUUGGUUGAAACGAAAUGCUGAAUUGUUUACUCUUUCUUGUGUAAGAAGAGAAGACUUGUAUCGUAAUCAGGUACUAAUUGUUGUCUUUUGGUCCCACCUUACCUCACACUAUAAAUAAUGGCAUCUAAACCCGAUUAUUCACAGAGAAGCUUUCACAAAAGCAUAAAACUCUUAUAUUUUGGUUUCACUCGCCUCAAACUAGUCUCCCUCGUUGAAAUAGCUAACCUAGUUAGGAACUGUACACAAGUUUCUCUCGUAUCGAAGAAAGUCAAAGAAGUUUUUAGCUCACAAAAGCACAUAACCCCCUAUAUAUUCCAUUUGAAUCACCAUUUACAAAAUUUGUACUAACUUUCCAGUCGAAGAUAGGAUAGUUUCGACAAGUAUUGAACGGCUAAGAUAACUUUAUUUAUUACAUGAAUGGCUAAGAUUAAAAACAAGGGCACGUAGACGAAUACAAACAUCUUCAAUGAGAGGAUCCACCAUUUCUACCAUUGGAAAUUUAAUUUCCUUACAGAAUAGGCGAAAAGUGAAGCGAAAACAAUCGGGAAAGCAAUGAGAACAAUCGCCACGAGGAAUAAACGAUCGUGAUGGAAGCCAUAGUAGUCUUGAAGGAAGGAAGCAACUGUUUUCUGCUCCCCAAAAAUCAAAAUCUCUUUGUUCAUGUCUCCAUAUUGUGAACUGAGGAGGGCAUUUAGGGACCAUGAUGUAGGACAAAUCCAAUAGAACCAAAUCCACCACUUGGGAAUUUUCUGCAUAAAAUAUAUAGAACAUGGUCCGCUAGGCUCACAGUAAACCGUCAUAUUAAGGGUUUAUUUGGCACUGCUUCUUUAGAAAGAACUUUUGCUUAUAAAUUAUAAGCGCUUUUUCUGUAAGUUGUUUAAUAGAGUUAUGUUGCAAAAAAAGCAGUUGGGAGGGCUUCGCAUACUAAAAGCUCUUAAAGUUUUACUACAUAGUCUUUUGGCUUUUCUAGAAGCAGUCUCAAACAGGGCUAAAGACUAAAGAGAGAGUUAGAUUUAGUUACCGGCCCGAGCACAAGGAAGCCGGAAAAAAGAUUCAAUAUGGUGUAGAUUGCCGUUGCGAAAAUGGAAGCUACUUGCAGGCUUGUGCUAAAAGAAGCUAUCAGCAUCCCAAGGUAUACAAAUUAGAGAAAUGUAGAGAAUGUUGCAUGGAAGUACCAGAAAACCUUAGUAGCUGACCAAUAGUACCCUAUUGUAGGGUAUGUAAUAAUGACAUACAGAAUUGCUUGAACCACUUUGUAAGUUAUUUCAAUGGCCACCUACAACAACAUUCAAAAUUUCGACAUGUUAAAAACCUUUCCACUACAAGCUACGUUAUAGUACCAGUUAAAAUGUACGAACCUGUGCAAACGAAUGAGCGUUUGAUGAGUACAUCCCAGCAAAUCUUUCCCGGUACAGAACUGCGCGCUCAGUAGCCACGUAAGGCAGAACCGUCGAGCAAUUGGUUGUGCCCAAAAAUAUUACAGCAAUGUACAGUAACCCAAGCACGUUGAACAAAUCAUGCUCAUUGUUUCUUGAGGAACAAGAAAAACACAGGAUUUAGCGUUGUUGAGCAAAAAUUGUACAUAAUAUGUAAACAAAUAAUUCUCUCGACAUAAUUUCACCCUCGUUCAUUUUUCGAAGAGGGUUUUAUUAGUUUGAGUUUGAUUCAUUCUAGGUUACGCGCCUAUUAAUUACAACCUUUCUUUUGGGAAAGGAAUACCCUUUGAUUCUAAUAUGAAUAAAUCGUAAUUUGAGGAUUUGGGUGUUUAUUUGAUUUUGUGACUGUAUCUAGGUAGAGCCCUAGAUUGCCUACGUACCCUCGUUGAGGGAUCAAAUCACUCGUAGUUCCUUAUGUGUUUUGUUGGGGUUUGACGCCUUGUGCAGUUUCAGCUCAUGCAGAUGAGGAUUUUAAGCCGUUGGAGCUUUAAUAAAUUUGAUAUGGUUUUAUGCCAUUCUGAAAUUUGAUACGGCUUCGUGCCAGUUAACAUAGCUUCGUGCCACUUGAGAUUUUGUUGCGGCUUCAUGCCAUUUGAUAUUUGACUUUUUCUUCGGCUUUACGGCUUCGUGCCAUUGAAUUGGCUUUGAGCCAUUUGAGGCAGCUUUGUCCCAUUUAAAGUGGUUUUAUGCCGCUUAAACGUUGAGUAAAAUUAACAGGUUUAUUUCUGAUAAACCCACUAAUAUUUUGGCAUUUGACUCUGGCUUGGUACCAUUUCUUACUCCAUGUUUAAUUUUACUUUUCCUUUUUCGUUUGCCCUUUCUUCUGACAAAUUUGUAGAGAAUCAUGCUUGGAAUAAAAAAAAAAUUUCCUCUGUUCCUUCAUGGGAUUUACUCCACAAGGGUUUUGUUCAAAGCAGCAGAAGUGAAUUUAGUUUAUACAAACCAGGGAUUCAUCUUGAUUUCUUGGUUGCGUCUAAAAUUUGAUAUCAGACUGCCUACGUAUCCUUAACGGAAUCAAACCGGCGUAGUUCGUAACUUUUGAGACUCAUCGCGGCUUUGUGCCAUUUGAUACUUGAUAUGGAUUCGUGCCAUUUGAAGUUUGACGGAGCCUUGUGGCAUUUGUGUCUUGUAAAUAUUUGUGAUGAACCCACUUUUACAUUGGUAUUUGACUUUGUCUUCCUUUUCAUUUAUUUUGUCUUGGAACCCAUUUUAUUUUGCCUACAAGCCCGUCACUCUAUUGUUGCCCUUUAUUUUUUUGCAUGGUAGCACAAAAAAAAUCCUUGCUUUCAUAUGGAAAAUAUAAAAGCAAGAGUCAAAGCUCCUUUAUUUUUACCAAUGCCUUUUUCAAGCUUUUAAGUCCCUUGCUUUUCUUCUUUCUUUAUUUUUCUUUUGUCAUUGCCGUAUGUCUCCCUAAGAACAACUCCACUUUUGGAGCCCUUUCUCCAUGCAAUCCACUAUUCAAUCCACCAUGUAAACAGUAAUUACCCUUAAUAAACAGUAACUACUUUUGUAUCUCAACCCUUGCACUUGAAUACCCUUGGCAAUAGGCAAUAAAAUAUUAAUUUUUAUAAUUAAUAUUAUAUUAUUUAAUUUGUACAAAUUAAUAUUAUAUUAUUAAUUUAUCUUUUCCAAUCUCUUCCCGAAACUUCUACCAUUUUUGUUUUCUUCUUCCUUCCCACUCUCUCACUCCCCUCUCCCUCAUUGUCUUCUUUUUUUUCUCCGGCCGACAGUCUACCUCCCCUCUCUCUUUUUCUCCCCCAUUUCUCCCUGUUUUCUUCCUCAAACGAGGAAGCUGCGAAUUUUGAGAGAGAGCAGCACCGAACCCACCCGCCUCCCGCCAUGUCUAAAUCCACUGAUGUGUCUUUCUUCCUCCUCAUGGUCCUCUGCGGCCAGGCCCAAAGAGGCCGCCUGCUUCUUUCCGACUUCAACCAAUCAACGUCAUCCGAUCUGAUCUCCGAUAGAGUCCACCACCACCACCGGUCCCACACCCUGGCUCCCUACCUCACUCUCGAGAACGCCCUUUCGGCGGAAGACUCCACCUGCAAGCAGACCUACGUUUUCCUGCCUUGCACCACCACUGUGAUCGACAACCUUUCCUAAUUCCUGACAGAAAAAAAUUAAAAAAAAGGACUGACGCCAGCCUGACGUCAGCCCCUACUCGGGCUGGCAAUUCCUCAUAGACCCUUUGCUCGGGCCUUGGCUGCUGCUUGGGCUUGCUCACGCUGGAGCUGGUCGACAGGGCCUUGGGCUCUUUCUUCUCCCCCCGUCCCUCGAGCAGGAGCUUCCGCUAAAGCUGCUCUAAUGGUUCGAAGAUGAUGGAAUCCAAUUUGAAAUGGCACAAGUUAAAUUUCCAUAAAGAACUCCCAUAACUUUAUUGACCCCUACGUGAGCAACUUUCCAUGUGAGGUGCUGAUUUCAGUUAGCAUUCUUCUUUGAUCUUUUCAAACCCAUUUAAACAUGGGACUUCGAACCUAUCUGACCUAAACUUCUGACCAAUCUGAGAGCAAGCCUUACUCUUUUCUUUGUUUGACUUCAAAGGUCUCCAAAUUCCAAUAAGACUUUAUCCCAUACUUUAAAUGGGGGAACCAUGACUUUCUUUUGUCUUCCACGACUUUCUUUUGUCCUCCACGUGAGUGGUUUUCUUGCUAUGAAGUAAAAGAAGACCACAUCAACAUUUUUUUAACUUUACUUUUGAUUUGACAAAAGCUUUUUGGUCUGGAACUCUUCUUCUCUCCUUAUGAGUUUUAAACAUUUUUUUUUCUUUGUCUUCAACCUUGAAUUUAGCUUUGCCCAACAUUUGACAAUAACUUACUUCAUCUUUGAGGUGCCACGUAUUUAGCCUUUUUUAAAAAAAACAAGCACUUUCUUUUGAGUUUUCUGUUUCCUGCAUGGAUUUGUCUUCACAGGGGUAAAACUAGUCUUCGACUAAAAUCACGAAUCAUCUUUUGCUUGUUGGAGAUUUUUUCUUCAAUUCCUAAUUUAAACAGGAAUUUGAAUGAAACUUGGUCAGUGGCAACUAGCGCCUAUUCUUCUUUGGCUGGGCUUUCUUUGGGUUUCUGUCUCAAUGAAGAACGCCAAAAGUUUUUGAAGAAGACCAUGGCCCGUCGACCGACAGAAGCUUCGGGACCAUAGCUGGGCAUGUUGGGUUCUUGUUCUCCACUUGUUCAAAUGUGCAGAGUGACGGCUUAUUCUCCGUUGCAUCUCUGAAAAGAGGAAGGGAGAUGUCGAAAACUUCUUUAGACACCCAAGAGGCUACAGGAGGUUGUGGGAAGACGAUUUGCUGCUGUGUUUUGAUGAAAUCUCCGUUGGACAUCACAAGUUGCAGGGUGUCGAUGAUGUUGAAGACAUGGCGCAGCUGCUGUCUCUGUUUGGGCUUCCGUCUAACGUCGGCGGUUUAUUGCAAUGUUGCCUUCAUUAGCUAUUUCACACCGCUGCCAUCUUCUUGCUCAAACCUUCGUCAAAUUUGUUGAUGGUCUGGACUGGCGUGCCCAACUACGUCACCUGGUUUCAUCACCUUCGGAUCACGAACUGCACUGCCCUUGGGCUUCUUCCGGAGGACUGACAGAGACGACGGUUGAAAAAUGGUGGUGUUGCCGUAGUGCAGUGAUCACCUAGACCUGGUUGGAACUUCACGGGGUGGUUUAGACCACCCCGAAGAAAUUCAUGGGACUGGGGAUGGGAGAGAAACAAAUUGUUUUUUUUUCUUCUUGCAAAGCCGAGAGAAAGCAUACAAAGAAAGAUUUAGAAGGAUAGAUUUAUACCUUUAAAUGCUUUGUAGCAUUUCCUGCUCUUUGUUCUUGCGGGUAGCACUUGAUAUCUUCUUCUUUUUUCUUCUUUUGUUUCUCUUUUGCCUUUGCUCUCUUGCUUUGCCUCUCAUUCUCUGUUGUCUUCAUUGCGCUUUUCUGUCUCUCAAUUUUUGCAGAGUACCCUUGUCUUUUUUUUUUUUUUUUCUCUUGCUGUAGUUGAUGCCUAUUUAUAGGCAUCCCAAGUAAAGGAUGAUACAUUCCUGAUCUCUUGGGAUUGUUUCCUGUUUCAUCAUGAUUUCCAGAUUUCCCUGUUUUAUUAAAACAUUCCCCUUAUGUAUUCUUUGUAGAUUAAUUAUACUUGUAAAUCAAGUCAUUGUACACUAUUUAAAUCAAUGAUAAUGCACCCUCUAGGGCAUCGAGGGAUUGAGCCAAAAUACCUUCUUUUGAGUUAUCUUUUAUGGUACUCAGAGCCAGUGACUAACGUCUUUUUUUUCUUUUCGGAUUCUUCCUACUCUUCUCCAUGGCUGCCUCAACCAGUUCGACUACUCCUUCCUCCGACAUCUUCCCUUCUGUUUCUCAUGCGAUCUCCAUCAAACUUGACUCUUCCAAUUAUCCUCUUUGGUUGGCUCAGUUGCUACCUGUUCUUCGCAGUCGUCAAUUGUUGGCUUUUGUUGAUGGUACUUCCAUCUGCCCCUCGGCGUUCUUGUCCGACGAUACCGGCAACGCCUCUUCCAAACCCAACCUCGCGUAUGCUGACUGGGUUCAGAAGGACCAGCUUGUUCUUUCUUGGAUCAAUGGCUCUCUUGGUCACCAGGCCCUCGCCGCCACUGCUCGUCAUUCCACUGCCCGUGAUGUUUGGGUUGCUCUUCAGCAGCGUUUUGCUUCUACAAACCAAAGUCGCAUUCUUCAGCUUCGUACUGCUUUCUUCCAGACCAAACGAGGUGAUUCUUCAAUUUCUGACUUUCUUGAUAAGAUCAAUGGUAUUGCCGAUCAAUUGGCCCUUGCCGGGGCACCUGUUUCUGCUGAUGACAUGGUGCCGGUCGUCAUGUCUAAUGUCGGCCCCAAAUUUGAGAACACUGUUGCUGCUGCUCAGGCCCGUGACAACCCCAUCUCCCUUUCUGAUCUUGAGGCUCUUCUUCUCGUUGCUGAACUCCGCCUUGCUGAUCCUCCUGCUCCGCCGGACUCCAGCGUCUCGGCCCUGGUAGCCUCCCGCGGCUCUUCUGCCUUUCAUGGCCGCUCCUCUUCUGAUCGCGGCGGCGAUCGUGGCUCUGGCCGUUUCUCACGUGGGGGUGGUCGUCCUCAACAUGAUGGGUCUCGCAACAAUGGUGGUGACGGCUAUCGUGGCUAUCGCGGUGCUGGUGGUUUCCAUGAUCGUCCGUUUCGCGAUCGUGGUGGUGGUCGUCCUCAGCACGAUGGCUCUCGCUUCCGUGGCUCCAACAAUGCUUCUGGGGUUCUUGGUCCAGCCCCAUAUCACGGUUCCUCCCGUCCUCGCUGCCAUAUUUGCAAUACUUUUGGUCAUGGUGCUCUUGACUGUGCUCAACGUCUUAAUUUGGCUUAUGAAGGUCGUCCUCCUUCUUCCCGUCUCACUGCCUUGACUGCUCAGCACUCCCAGCCUUGGCUCAUUGAUUCCGGGGCAAACUCGCAUAUCACCAAUGAUCUCAAUACUUUGUCUCAGUCCCGUGAUUAUCGUGGUGGUGAUUCCGUCGGUGGUGUCGUUGGCGGUACAGGUUUGCCCAUUAACCGUAUUGGCUCCUCCACUCUCUCUCAUAAUAAUAUUUCUUUCAAGCUUAAUGAUGUUCUUCAUUGUCCGGAUGCUUCUACUUCUGUGUUGUCUGCUAAUCGGUUUAUGUUGGAUAAUAAUUGUUAUAUUACAUUGUUUCCUUCUUGUUUCUAUAUUCAGGAUAUGGAGACGGGGACGAUUCUUUUUUCGGGCAAGAGUAGCAAUGGCUUUUAUCCCUUUUCCUCUUCAUCACCGACUGCUCAUGGUCGUGCUGCUUUUCUUGGUGUUCGUGUUGGUAGUGAUGUCUGGCACUCUCGUUUAGGCCAUCCAUCUUCUUCCAUUUUAAAAUUUCUUUUUUCUAGGCAUUCGAAUAAGUUGCCUGUUUCUGGCAACCUCAAUCUCAAUACUUUUAUGUGUCAUUCUUGUCCUUUAGGCAAAAGUGUUAAGUUACCUUUUUCUGCAUCAUUGUUUGUUACUCAAGCUCCUCUUGAGCUUAUUCACUCCGACGUGUGGAGUGCGUCCAAUAAAUCUGUUAGUGGUUUCCAAUAUUAUGUUCUUUUUGUUGAUAAUUUCUCUCGUUAUUCUUGGAUUUAUCCCAUGAAAUUGAAAUCUGAAGUCUUUAAUAUUUUUACUCACUUUAAGACCUUGGUUGAAAAUCAAUUCUCCACUAAAAUUAAGAUGUUUCAGUCCGAUGGUGGGGGCGAAUACACUAGUCACCAAUUCAAGAAUUUUUUUCUUCACCAUGGUAUUCAUCAUCGUCUCUCAUGCCCUCACCAUCCCGAACAAAAUGGUUUGGCGGAACGCAAACAUCGUCACAUUGUCGACACUGGACUUACUUUAAUGGCCCAUGCGUCGAUGCCUCCUGCCUAUUGGGCUAAGGCCAUGCACACAGCAGUUUAUCUUCUCAAUCGCCUCCCCUCUAAAGUACUUGGUUUUAUGUCUCCUUAUCAAAAGUUGUUUCUUAAGGAACCUGAUUAUAGUUUUUUAAAGACCUUUGGGUGUGCAUGUUUUCCCCACCUACGACCCUAUAAUAAUAAUAAACUCCAGUUUCGUUCUACUAAAUGUGUUUUUCUUGGUUACUCUCUCAAUCAUCAAGGUUCUCGGUGCUUAGACAUCUCUACUAACCGCAUCUUUUUAUCACGCCAUAUUGUGUUUGAUGAAGGUAAUUUUCCUUUCAAGGCCAUCUCUGGCUCUCUUGCCCCAUCCUCCCCGGCCUCGUCUCCUCCUCCUGUUUUAGAAAUCACUGGGCCUCUUCCGCAUGCCCCCCGACCGUCUAGCAGCCAACCGGUGGUUGUGUCCCCCUCUUUGGAGACUCAUCAAUCCAGUCCAUCAUCCGACCCACCACAGCCGGCCCUACAGGUUUACUCCCGUGACCCUCACAGGCGGGUUCUUUCUUUUGCACAAGCAGCAACCCCAUCUGUCACUCCCAGGCCCACGCCUGCUGUUGCCUCUGCAGUUCAACCUGAUGCGCCUCCCGAGGCUCCAUCUGCUGCUGUACCACCUGCCGUGCCCUCUACUUCCCAUGGUAUGCUCACUAGGUCCAAAACGGCUUCUCUUAAGCCUCAUAAAUAUGUUUUUUCUGCUGCCAUUUCUUCUUCUACCGGUCCUAUUGAGCCUACUUGUUUUAGUCAGGCCAACACUUUUCCCGAAUGGCGUACUGCGAUGGCCGAUGAAUUUAAUGCACUUCAACGUGCUGGUACUUGGACUCUUGUUCCUCGUACCGCUUCUAUGAAUAUUUUGCCAAACAAAUGGGUGUUUCGUAUUAAACAGAAUUAUGAUGGGUCUAUUCAGCGGUAUAAGGCUCGUUUGGUAGCCAAUGGUUUUCAUCAGCAACCCGGCCUUGAUUAUGGUGAAACUUUUAGUCCUGUUGUCAAUCACUCUACUAUUCGCUUAAUUUUGGCUCUUUCAGUUCAGUUUCAAUGGCCUGUUCGUCAGUUGGAUGUUCAGAAUGCUUUUCUUCAUGGCUCUUUGUCUGAGGAGGUCUAUAUGCACCAACCUCGUGGCUUUGUUGAUCCACAGUUCCCUCAUCAUGUGUGCCGCCUUCGUCGUUCUUUAUAUGGGCUCAAGCAGGCGCCCCGUGCAUGGUUCCAAUGUUUUUCCACUCAUUUGGAAGAUUUGGGUUUUCGUCCCUCUACUGCGGAUCACUCGCUUUUUACCUAUAUUCAUGGCUCUACUCGCAUUUAUCUCUUAAUUUAUGUUGAUGAUAUUUUGGUCACCGGGAAUAAUCCCUCAUAUUGUCACCCUCAUUAAGAAUUUGGGCAUCCGUUUCUCUAUGAAGGACCUUGGACCGGUUCAUUAUUUCUUAGGCAUGGAGGUGGUCCGCACUCCAUCAGGUCUCUCUCUUUCCUAACAAAAGUAUGCCACUGACCUACUUCACCGCACCAAAAUGCAUGGUGCUAAGCCGGUUCCUACUCCUGCCGUUAGUGGGCGACGGCUCAGUCUUCAGGAUGGUGACCCUCUGCCGGAUCCUAUUGAAUACCGAAGUGUUGUCGGCGCCCUUCAAUACUUGACUCUCACUCGUCCCGACAUCAACUUCGCCGUCAACCAAGUCUGCCAAUUUCUUCACCAGCCGACUUCUACUCAUUGGGCCGCCGUCAAACGCAUUCUUCGUUACCUUGUCGGCACUACUUCUCACGGUCUUACCUACAAGCCUGGUUCCUUUCGUCUUACAGCAUUUUCCGAUGCCGAUUAUGCCGGGAUCCUGAUGAUCGGCGUUCCACCGGGGGCUAUUGCUUGUAUCUGGGUUCCAAUCUUGUCUCAUGGAGUGCCAAGAAACAAAAUGGGGUCUCUCGGUCCAGCACUGAAGCCGAGUAUCGUCAACUUGCAAUCACCGCUGCCACUCUUUCAUGGUUUCGUAUGCUGUUCCGUGACCUCCAGUUUCCUCUACAUUGUCCUACACUGUUUUGUGACAAUAUCAGUGCUAUAUCCCUUGCUUCCAACCCGGUGUUUCAUGCCCGCACUCGGCAUGUUGAGGUGGAUUACCAUUAUGUUCGUGAAAAGGUUGUUCGCAAGGAGAUUGAUGUUCGUUAUCUUUCUACUCAUGAUCAGAUUGCUGACUUCUUCACCAAGGGCCUUUCUCUUCCUCGUUUUCGACUUCUGGUUUCCAAGCUUCCUGUACUUGAUUGUACUGUCAGCUUGCGGGGGCGUAAAGGAUGAUACAUUCCUGAUCUCUUGGGAUUGUUUCCUGUUUCAUCAUGAUUUCCAGAUUUCCCUGUUUUAUUAAAACAUUCCCUUUAUGUAUUCUUUGUAGAUUAAUUAUACUUGUAAAUCAAGUCAUUGUACACUAUUUAAAUCAAUGAUAAUGCACCCUCUAGGGCAUCGAGGGAUUGAGCCAAAAUACCUUCUUUUGAGUUAUCUUUUCCCAAGAAGGCUCUAGAAUUUGUUACGUGGGGGAAGAUGGAGACCAUGACCUCCUGCCACUUUCUGUUAACCCCCUUUUCUGACUCCACGUUUCUUUUUGUUGCAGAAAAUGGGGGAGCACCUGUUUUUUGCACGUUACUUCCCCCCUUAUGUAGGAAAAAAAUUAUAAAUUUUUUAUUUAUUCCUGAAUGUAUUUGUAUGUAAAGCUCAUCCUCAUCUUUUGGGUUGGAUUACAUUUUUGUUUUACCUUGAAGUUUGACUCAAUUUGAAUGGACUUUAUUUUUUCAUAUUUUUUUUGUUCAACAAGCGUAGUUUUCUUUUUCUUUUUCUCUGUGAAAUAUAUAGUAUGAAGAGGGUGGAAAUGGGUCGGGGCUUACAUUUCCUUCACUUUCUGCCAAAAGAUUGUUCCGAACCACACUGAUAGAGCGAAAAUAAACGCGAAACGUGCUAGAUUGUACUUUGGACUUCUCCAGUGGGACAAGUGUUGUUUCCACAGACAUGCCUUAAACUGCACCCAGCUAUUUUGAGCAAAAGGAGUGGGAAGGUUCAAGCCCCUUGAACCCGGCUUUGGUUCGCUCAACCGGCUAACCAACUCGACCGUGUCUCUCUGAAAAAGAAGGAAACAAACAUAUAAAUUUGAUGAUUGAAAUAAAUACAUGAUUAAUCCUAAAAUAAUGGAAAUAUUAGAGAUAUGCCCUUACCUAUACUGAGUAGAGGGUUUAUAAAUUUCAGCAAAAUCUAAACAAAGUUUUGCCUCUACUGAGGCAGAAGUAACUUCUAACAUCCAAGUUGCUGGAUUGUAAUUUUCUUUGAUCUUUGGUACAUCACGAAUAUCCUCAAAAUAUUUGACGAGUUUACUCGAGUGAUGACCGAGAACUCCAGAAUAGAUGAUUUGGCCUCCCCUUUUCAUCAAAAGUAACUGCAAAAAUCAAUGUCUUCCGUUAGUGAUCGAGUGGCUUUUAUGAUUUGGUUUAGUUUUCUUGGACUCCAUGACAAUGCUCGUUAUACUACCUCGUCAAAUGACUGAAAAAUAUCAAUGCUUGGCUUGUGGAUUGUGCAAACAGUUGUCCUUCCUGUGGAAACAACAUUCUUUACUACGCAAAUGGCAAUUGCAGCUGCUCUGGCGUCUAAGCCUGACGUAGGUUCAUCCAUAAAUAUUAUUGAUGGGUUGGAUACAAGCUCCACUGCAAUUGUUAGCCUUUUGCGCUGUUCAGUAGAUAGGCCAGUUUGUCCAGGAAUGCCAACUAAGGAAUCUCUUAUAUCCUCCAGUUCAAUCGUUUGAAUGACUUCCUCCACAAAUUUCUGCAUAGAUUAAGCAAAGGAUACUUUCUUUUAUAUGUUCCAGGAAAUUUGCAUAUUAUUGAUAAAUUGAAAGAAUAUCAUCCUACAGCUUUUAUGUCUGGAUCAGUUUCGUGUGGCAACCUCAACCAAGCUGAGAACAUAAGCGAUUCUUCUACCGUGAUCUGUGGAGAAUGUAUAUCAGUCUGCUCGCAGUAUCCUGAUAUUCUUGCAAAUGUCUUCUGGACCUUGGGGUACCCUCCGAUUCUUAUAUCUCCCACGAUACUACCUCCUGUUUCCCUUCCAGAAAGAACAUCCAUGAGAGUUGUUUUUCCAGCCCCAUGCGGUAGGAAUUCCUGGACUGAAUGCUCCUGUUAUAUCUUUAAGCAACUGAAGCUUUUUCUCCUUGAAAGCAUGCUGUCUCAUUUCCUUUUUUAAGAAGGAAUGAAGUUAAAAUACAACUAAAUAGUUUUCCAAUGAUACUAAUAUGUGAAAAUUGACUAAUGAUUUGAUUAAUUACCGGAGGUGUAUCAACAUAAUACUGCACGUCCUUAAAUGAGAUUGUCAGUGGCUCGAACGGCAGGACCAUUCUCCCUGUUUAACAAAUUGAUUUACUCUCGAAUAAUUCAGUUGUUAAAAAAAUUCCUUGCUCGUUGCUUUGAAUGGAAAAUGUGAAACUGAUAACCCGGAUAAACUGGAUGCAACAAUUCAUCUCACCUAGUGUUAUCUUUUCUCCCAUGGUUUUGAAUAAAUCGGAUAGAGUUGAUUCAUUUUCCAACGGUGCACCAGUUUGGGUUAAUAUUUAACAUUGGGCUUAUAGGAGAGAAAGCCCAAAAGAGUUCAAUAAGAAGAGUUUCGUCCGAAGCCCAGCACCAAGCCCAGACCGUCCAUCUCAAGACCAAUUGGCACUCUCCUAUUAAUGCAAAGGCUAAGUGCUUACAAGAGAAGUGACAACUGAUGAAAAUCAACCUACUCUCAGCCCAAAAGUACUUUUCAGUGGCAAUACAAGUAAAAUAUUGAUGAGUCACUACCAUUCAAUUGCUUUUGGGUAAGAACAAAGCUACAAGCGGUCGGACUAAUUCGUUUAUAAAAGGAGGAAGAGGGCUCAGAGACAAGGACACUCAAUCAAUCAAACAUACAACUUGUCUCUCAUCCAAGCAAAUACCCAGAAAGCUGUGCUUUGUCCAGACUCUGCACCCUUUUAGCCUUAGAUUUCCUUAGAAAGACAUCUUUUUUCUAUGUAAAAGCUCUGCUACAUUUUUCUAAAUGUUGUAGUAUCGAUCCCUCGUGUAUAAACUCGUUUCCAGUCAUCUCCUUUAGUACUCAAUUCUUUUGUAAACUGCAAAGAGAAGAGAUCGCAAGGCGUUUAACCUUGCUUGACAAAGUGAAAUCUUGCCCAACUCUCUUUGUUUUUAUCUUUCAAUUAACAAAUAUGGUGUUAUAAUGUAUUCCGUAGUUUAUAUUCAAGUUAUUUCCAGUCCUUUGAUGACCCAAAGCCCCAUCAGUUCUCAGAUCUGGUUCACUUAGUGGUUUUAUCAAGAAUUGAAAUGAAUUAAACUGAUGACUUGAUCAGAUCUAAGCCUUCACCCCUCAAGCAUACAAAAUAACUAAAAGUCUUUGAUCUCAAGGCAUAGAAAAUAACUUAAUGUAGACUUAAUCCAUCUACAACAAUCCUUUGAUAAACAAGAAGUCAGAAAUAACUUGGGGUGCAAGUAAUCGGCUUAAAACACACUUGUUCUACAUCUGCCAUACAGAGAUGGCAGUGGCACGCCUAAGCACCUAGUUAGUUUUGAAUGCGAGCCUCAAGGCCUAUACCUAAGGCCCCACAAAGGCACCUUUCAGAACUAACUUUGUUUUCCUCUUGCAGUAUUGUGACAAGCAGGAGCCCAACAAUCAACCAAAGUGCCAACUCCUCGGGCAGCUGUGUGCUCGAGCCAGGAACGCCCACCAACCAGAUUUCCUGCCCAAAAAGCACCAGUUUUGCGAGCUCCCCUUCUUCAAAGUUGAGAUAAUCUUUUUUUCGAAACAAUAGCCCGAUACACCUUUGGAGCUGUAUGAGGAAAAGCUUAAGUAAACUGAUGUGGAGCUGUAUGAGGAAAAGCUUAAGUAAACUGAUGAAGUGGAUUGUAAUACUUAAGUUAUCAUCUGUCAAUUAAAAUGAAUCUAAGUAAGUUAAUGCUAAAAUAAAUCCAAGAUCAGACAGCAUUGUGAACCCGAGUAAUGCUCCUACUGAUAUCCAAUAGAAAUAGCCAUCAAAGUUCAAACCAUGCCUGGUUAGAACUUUAUUCCCUAGGGUUGUGUUUCCCUCUGAGACCUAAAGAAAUGAAUUAACACUGUCAAAACACUUAUUCGACUUCGAUGAUCGGGUACUAAAAAAGUUUAUCAUCUUGAGUUGUACCUUUUGCCAGCGAGGAGCGAGGAACUCGUUUAGAGUUGUACCGAUUUCCCCAUAAGUCAUAGGUGAACACCAGAAUAGUCAACGCAACCAAGGAGGUAAAGAGGCUGCAAAACACCCCUUAUUAGUCUAGUUGUAGUUGAAUGUAACUAAAGGAAAAAUACGAUAAAUGGACUUACAUCGUGGCAAGAUGAAGCCUCCGGAUAAAAACAUUAGCACUAGGAUUAAAAUACCGCAAGUUGAUGCAACAACCAUAGUUUGGAAAACUACAGCAAUUAAACGACAUAUGGAUGUCGAUGCUUGAUGGAGAGCAAAUAGCACAAGGAACUGGAAGAAGAACCUAAAAACCAUAGCAUAUUCUUGAGGCAUUAUUAUGAUUAUUGUUCAAGCCUUUCAUGUUCUGUCGUGUGACUAUAAAGUUGAGAUCUUACGUUUUUAUGUCUGGAGCGUACCCAAUCAAAUGGUAAGUUAUUGCUGUCCACAGCAGUGAAUCAAUCACUGAAAAUGGAACCUUCAGGAUAGACUGGAAGAGAAUACGCCCAUGCUGGAUACAGAUUGAAUCCUCUUUGCUUGUAAACCACUGGUAAUCUAGUAACAGUCACAGCUCUGCAAUUCCGUUGGUCAUAAGUCGAAUAAGUGUAUAAAACAAUGAGUUCAUAAAAAAACUUGCAUUUAUCAAAUCCACGGUCCUACGGGUGCUUAUACAGAUUGCCAUUGUAAUAAAUGCAGUGAUGACAAGCUGUGGGAAAAAAAGAGAGAAAAUAUAGUAAGUGAUUUUGAGUUUAACUUCAGAAGUACAACCCCUAAAAGUGAUAUCAUUAGGCAGUAAACCUGAGCUGUUUUGAAUACGUAGAGAAAGGAAUUCCGUUUCAUGAGAAGAAGCUCUCGGGCCAUACAACCUUUGAACAACUCCCAUUUGCUCACAGAGUAAGUACUAAAUGAUAAGGCAUUAUCAUGGCACUGUGAUUUAUUGUAUGGUUUUGAGAGCUCAUCGUCUAAUUUCUUCCCCGAGUAACUUGCUCUGAAAAGUUCAAAAAAUUUGUUUGCAGAAACAUGACCGUAGGGAAUGUUAUCAUGCUUCCAGUAUUGUGCUUGAUCCUUCUUUGAGAUCACCUCUUGAAGGAAAUCUGCAGCACCCUUUCUUGGUGGGCACUUGAAACCAGAGUCUUCGAAAAACUCAACUGCGUGGCUGCGAUGACCGUGGUAAACUAUCUUCCCCUCUGCCAUUAGUAUUACAUCAUAAAAAAUAUCAAUGGUCUCGGGUGCUGGUUGGAGAAGUGAUACCAAUGCAGUUGUAUCUGUGAUAUGCACCAGCUGCUGAAGAUAGGUAACUAUCUGAAAGGUUGUAGAACUGUCUAAUCCCGUUGAUAUCUCAUCCAUAAAAAGAGCUUUUGUAGGACCUACAAUCAUUUCUCCUGAAGAUUAAACAGAAGAGGAAUGUUAUGUUUGAAACAUUUUUCUACAUGGGAAUUAGUAAUUACAUUCAAAUUUCCCUCGGAUUCAAGAUUUCACUACCGGUUGUCAGCCUUUUCUUCUGGCCACCAGAAAUGCCUCUUCUUAAUGCAUCACCAACCAUUGUGUCACUCACUACACAUACCCAGUCCAAGUAUCUAAAGAGAUUCCAAAAUAUCGUAAUUCAUUUUUCCUGUCCGAGUGAGUUAGAAAUGUCACGUUUGAACUACUUAAUGUCAGCAUUGUCCAUGUCCAACACUGGUUGGAGAAAAAUUUACCUUCAAAACAUAAUCGGUUUGGAGAUUUUCCCUUUGUCCUUCAACUGAAAUGGCCUGUGAGUAUUAUGUAAAUCUCUAAAACCUCUAACACAAAAGGGUGGUAAGAUUUACUAAAAGGAAUGUUAUGAGACUUUACAAUUACCUUCAUGUAGGUGUCAAUAUCUGGAUCGGGGACUAUUCCUGCUUCUUUUUCCCUUCUGCUGAGCUCCAUUAUUAUAUAUGCAUAAAAUACGAUCGAAAUUAAACUUCAUACGUCAAUAGAAGUACACGACUAACCCAAUAGUAAAUGCAAUAGGGGAUAAGGAAUAUGCACCAGCUCUACUGCCAACACCCUGGCAGCGGGAGGAAAAGUCAAUUGUUUCCCUCAGUCAUCUCAGGCAGGUGAAGGUCAUGCUGGCUAAUGUAAGCUGAUGUUUUUUGGGGAACAAACUCAUCUAGCUUGUAACCAUUAUAAGUGUUGUAAACUGAAAUAGAAAGGAACGAAGUUACCUAAAAAAAUGUAGAAGCCUUGAGUGGUGAAUGAUUAUUGGGAUGAGUUGCGGACUAAGUCGCUUUCUUUAAGACGUUUCGCGGCUCUACCCAAAGUGUGCAAGCAGUUCACAAACACCACAUCGUCCUAGGAUAAAACAGCCCAAAACCUUCUUCUUCUUCUUCUGAUAAAGUUCUUCCUUGUACAGUAGAAGAACCUUCGAAUUCACAUUCUCUCAAUAUGUUGCUAACCAAAACUAUAUAUUAGAAAAUAUAUCUUCUUUUUUUUCCGCAUACUUUCAAUGAUCCAGGGACUACUAUAUAUACAUUUAGACGAAAGAGAUGUUGAGGGUUUGAGAAAAUUGAAAGCAGGACAAAAUCAAAACGUAAGUCAAAUAAAACGGUUUGAUUAUGUAUCAUGACAUGAUCUUCUUCUCUAUACAAAGAAGGAAUGGCACGUUUCAAACUUAAAAGGAGAUAACUCCUUACCUAAUUGAAAAGUCAAAAUCAAUUGGCAGUUAUGCAUAGAAUAUUGGUAAUAAAACAAAACGUUAUGUAUAUAAUAUUGGUAAUAAAAUAAAACAUAAAUAUAUUUAAAUAUUUAAAUAAAAACAUAUUUACUCAACAAUCCCCCACUUGUUUUUGUUUAAAACUAUACAUCAAGCAAUAUAUCGUAAAGCUAUACAGAAGUAAAUGUGUUUCUCAACUUAAAUCUAUACAUAGUGUUAGUGAUCGAGAUUAUACUAGAGUAACUUAUAGUUUUGAACUCUAUCCCUAACAACACCACACACACAACUUUAUUAAGGUGAAGUUCAAAAAGCCAGCACAUUACAACCAUGUGCUUGUAUCCCAGUAUAGUGAACGCUCUAGAAACUUGCUCAAGAUUUCAUAGGAAGCGGCAUCACUUCCACAUUCACAUAGUUAAGACUAUCAAGGUAUUCCUGUAGCUAGAUAUCUCACUUAACAUAGAGUAUAGACCUUACUAAGAGAAAAAAAAAUCUCAACCUAAAUACGCUUCAGGAUGUCAUGCUUCUUAGGGAUGGACAUGGAAUAAUAUUCCAAACUAAAAUUAGCAAGACUUCACUCUUAUCACUUGUGACUUGUUAUUACCCUUUGAACCUAUUUCUUGGGAUCUCUAGUCUAUAGGUUGGGUUGCUAUCACAAAUAACUCAAUUCUCUAGGGCUUUAGUCCCAUCCCUUUCGAGGUUUUCCAAACCUUUUCUCGUGCUAGUCCUUUUGUCAAAGGAUCAACCAAGUUUUCUUCAUACCGUAUAUGAUCCACUCUCACAGCUCCAUUAGACAGGUAAUCUCUUACAGUGAUGUGCUUACGACGUAUUUGUCGCCCUUUCCCAUUAUAAUAAUGAUUUUGCACUUUAGCUAUUGCCGAUGUGCUAUCACAAUGGAUCAAAACUGCUGGAAUCGGUUUCUCCCAUAAAGAGGUAUCUGACAGUAGGUUUCUCAACCAUCCUGCUUCUUCGCUUGUCGUAGCUAGCGCUAUUAAUUCUGACUCCAUAGUGGACUGAGCCAUGAUAGUAUGUUUCUUAGACUUCCAUGAUACAACCCCACCACCAAGACUAAAAAUACAUCCACUAGUGGCUUUAGAGUCAUCUGAAAGGGUAUUCCAAUCAGCGGCACUGCAACCUUCUAGGACAGCGGGAAACUUCUCAUAGUGUAAUCUAAAAUUCAUUGUCCUUUUAAGGUAUCUCAUAAGCCUAUCUAUGGCAUGCCAAUGCUCCAAACUAGGUCUACUAGUAAACCUGCAUCAAACUCCUACGACAUAAGAUAUAUCAGGCCUAGUGCAAUCAGUAGCAUAACGAAUGCUACCAAUAAUACUCGCAUACUCAGAUUGUUUAACACUGUCACCAAUGUUCUUGAACAAUUUUACACUAGGAUCAUGAGGAGUACAUGCUGGUUUACAAUCAAAAUAAUUAUACUUUCUUAAAAUUGUUUCUAUGUAGUGAGAUUGAUCUAAAGAAAACCCAUGUUCAAACCUAGUUAUUUUCAAACCAAGUAUUACGCUAACUUCACCCAAGUCUUUCAUAUCAAAAUUAGCAGAUAACAAAGAUUUGACAUUAUUCACAACAUGAAUAUUCGAACCAAAAAUAAGCAAAUCAUCCACAUAUAGGCAUAUAUUACUUUCAGACUUAUAAUAGAUGCAUUUGUCACUUUCAUUUAUUUUAAAACCAUUUGAAGUAACCAAACUAUCAAAUUUUGCAUGCCAUUGUGUGGGAGCCUGUUUCAAUCCAUAAAGUGACUUAUUUAACUUGCAAACUUUAUUUUCUUUUCUUGGAAUAAUAAAACCUGUGGUUGACCCAUAUAUAUUUCUUCCUCUAAUUUACCAUUUAAGAAAGCUGUUUAACAUCCAUUUGGUGCACAACAAGAUCAUGAAUAUAAGUUAAGGCAAACAAUACACGAAUAGAUGUUAUUCUAGUCACAGGUGAACAAAUAUAAAAGAAAUCAAUCUUUUCUCUUUGUCUAUAGCCUUUGGCAAUAAGUCGGGCUUUAAAAUUUUCAACUGAUCCAUCAGGUUUUAAAUUUUUUUUAAGAAUCUAUUUGCAACCUAUUGUUUUGCAACCAGGUGGAAGAUCCACCAAGUGCCAAGUUUGAUUUGACUCCAGGGAGUCCAUUUCAUCAUUUAUAACUUCUUGCCAAAAAAUUGCAUCUAAAGAAGUUAAAGCUUCUUGAAUUGUAUUAGGAUCUUCUUGUAAGUUAUAUACAUGGAAAUCAGGGCCAAAAUCUUUAGCUAUUCGAGCUCUUUUACUUUUCCUAGGUUCUAAUGCAGAUUGACUAUGUUUUACAACAUUAGGUUCAUAAAUUUUAGAAGAAUUAGAACCCCCACUAUUUUGAAGAUUAAAAGGAAAUUUAUUCUCAUAAAAAUCAGCAUCAAGUGACUCAAUUAUGACAUGGUUUUUCAAAUCAUAACAUCUAUAUGCUUUGCUAUUACAUGCAUAACCAAUAAAAACACAUUCAUAUGCUCUACUAGCCAAUUUCGAUCUUUUUGGACCAAGUUUACGAACAUAAGCUAAACAACCCCAAGUUUUGAAAUACAAUACAUUUGUUUUCUUAUUUUUCCAAAUUUCAUAAGGAGAGAUAUUCGAUUCUGAGGUAGGAAUUCUAUUUAAUACAUAACAUAUAGUCAACACAAUUUCACCCCACCAAUAAGAAGCAGCUCCAGAACUAAGUAGCAACACUCAAUUCGCAAAGAGUUCGAUUUUUUCUUUCCGCUUUACCAUUCAUUUCAGGAGAAUAAGGAGCAGUAGUUUCAUGAAUAAUUCCAUUAGACUUAAACAAAUUAACAAAUUCAAUGGAUUCAUAUUCUUGUCAUCUAUCACUACGAAAUCUUUUAAUCUUAUGAUUAAACUGAUUUUCAACUUCAGUAAAGAAAGUUUUGAACAUGUCAAUAGCUUUACUUUUAUUUUUCAUAAGAUAGACAAAACAGUAAUUCAAACAAUCAUCAAUAAAGGUAAUAAAAUAACGUUUUCCAUUUCUAGUUAACACUCUAUCAAAUUCGCAUAUAUCAGAAUGAAUUAAGUCAAGUGGUUCAGAUUCUCUAUUGACAGAUUUAUGUGAAGUUCUAGUGAUUUUAGCUUGACUACAAUAUUCACAUUUUUCAAAAUCAGUCAACGAUAAGUUAGGUAAAAAGCCUAAGUUACUCAUGUUCUUAACCAAGAGUUUGUUAACAUGACAAAGUCUAGCAUGCCAAGUAUUAAAAGAAGACAACAUGUAAUCAGAAGUAGACAUUUUAUCAACAUUCAAUUUAAACAUUCCAUUAGUAGCAUAUCCCUUUCCCACAAAAACCCCAUUUCUAGUAAGAGUAUACGUAUUUGCUCCAAACGUUUGAGUGAAUCCAGCCUUGUUGAGAAGUAAGCCUGAGACCAAAUUCUUCCUUAUUGUUGGAGCAUGCAUCACAUCUUUCAGUAUCAUGGGUUUUCCAGAGGUGAACUUUAACUCCACCUCUCCAGUACCAGCAACAUCAGUUGAGUGCGAAUCACCCAACAACACAUUUCUUCCCUCAGCCAUAGAAUAGGUCUUGAAAAGAGAACGAUCGUAGCAAGCAUGGGGAGAAGUGCCAGUGUCCACCCACCACCCACCACCCCUCGGACUAAGUUGAUUUCUGAUAUCAUUGCAAUUAGUUGCUCUUCAACAAGAUUUGUUUGAGAAGCAAAGUUUUCCUUAUAAUGCAUGGCAGAUUGAAUUCAUCUUAAAAUUGUUGUAAACUGAAAUAGAAAGGAACGAAAUUACUCAAAAAAAAUGUAGAAGCCUUGAGUGGUGAAUGAUUCUUGGGAUGAGUCAGGGACUAAGUCACUUUCUUUAAAACAUUUUGCGGCUUUGCCCAAAGUGUGCAAGCAGUUCACAAACACCACGUCGUCCCCAGGAUAUAACAUCCCAAAACCUUCUUCUUCUGAUGAAGUUCUUCCUUGCACAGUGGAAGAACCUUCGAACUCACACUCUCUCUCAAUAUGUUGCUAACCAAAACUAUAUAUCAGAAAAUAUAUCUAUUUUUGUUCCGCAUACUUUCACUACUAAAUAUACAUUUAGACGAAAAAGACGUUGAGAGUUUGAGAAAAUUGAAAGCAGGAAUAAAACGGUCUUAGGUCCGAUUCUCGCCGAAGGCGAAUUUGAACCACUAAACCGUAGCACUAAGUGGCUCCUAACAAUGUCUCUUAACAAGUUUAGAGGUAUUUGUCUUCACUAAUAAAUGAAAAGCGUUUGAAUUUCAUGAAUGACAAGUGCAAUACAAAAUUCAAAUUAUCAUGGUUCUUCCAUUAUAUGAUUUAACCAAAGCAUACCAUCUCUUAGUGUAAAUAUAUCAUUGAACUAUCAUUGAAGUAGUUCCAACAUUCGUAUACCAUCUUAAUUAUCAAUUUACUAUUACAAAAUUUCUAUUAAUUUUUCUUUACAAACUAAAGUGUUAUUAGGCUAAGUUGUUAAAUAUUAGGAGAUGAGUAGGGAUCGACCCACCGCCAAAGUACAUAUAUAGGUAUUACUGUUUUCUGCUACUAUGAUAAAGUGUAAUAUACUUCUAUAUAUUAAAAGAAAAUUCACUGAUACAUUUCCACAUGUAAACAUUCAACAUUGGACAUAUAUAAUAUUUUUCCCUACUUCUUUGGAAAUUUAAUUUUCCAAUGCAAUAGGCAAAUAGGGAAACAAAGACAAUCCCAACUGGGAAAGCAAUGAGAACAAGAGCCACAAGGCCUAAACAAUCAUGGUGGAAACCAUAAUAAUCUUGUAGGAUUAUUUUCUAUUUAAAAAACGUAUGUGAACAUACACAUUAUUUUCUAUUAUAAUAUGUGUAAGUUUAUGAAGGGAAAUAUUCACUAAAAUGAUCAAAAAUCAAAUUCUGAUGCCAAAACAAAAUCAAAUAUUGUCAUACUGAAAAACUAAUCAUUUCAACAAAUGAGAUUCAAAUAUUUGAUUAUUUUGGCCAAUUUUCCUGUAUUGAUACCCUAACCUAAAGUAUAAAUUACUUGCACAUCCAAAUUAUAACACAUGAAUUAACAACACUCCGUCAAUUAGACUUGUGUUACAUGUAUUUACACGGUUAUUGUCAUUCCAAGUGCUCAAAUGCUAAUGGAGUUACACAAAACCAUCAAAUAUUAGAAAAGAUUGGAUUCAAGAUAUACUAAGUAUAAUGUACAGAAUGUUGCAUAUAAAGUACCAGAAAACUUUAGUAGGUGACCAAGAGAACCCUAUUGCAGGAUAUGCAACGGCUACAUACAAAACUUGUAACAUUGUAUAAUGUAUUUUAAUGGCAACAUGCAACAUUUAACACUUUACACUAUAUUUGGAUGAGGAAGUUUAAGAUUGCUAAGGAAAUUUAAAGUAACGGAAAUUGAAAUGAUGGAAUUUUAUUUUAUAGAAUAUGUGAAUUUUCUUGUUUGGUUGAGGAAAAUAAACUUGGAAUUUAGAUAAAAGUCAGAAUUUGUAAAUUGACAUGCACCAGUUUCCUUGUUUGGAUUCAUAAACAUAUAUAGGAAUUUAGAAUUUUCGGGUGAAAAAAAAACUUGGAAUUUGGGACCUCCAAUUCCCAAGUUUAAAUUCCAUGUAAAUAUGUAUCAUUUCCCAAUUUCUAUGAUUGAGUGCUUAAAAAUAACAAAUUCCGUAAUCAAUUCCAUUUAUUUUUAGGUUAACCAAACAAGAGAAUUCACAAAUUCUAGAAAAUAAAAUCCUGUCAAUUCAAUUUCCGUCAUUUUAAAAUUCCUUAGUAAUCUUAAAUUUCUUCAUCCAAACAUAGUGUUAAGAACAAUGGAAUUUGAAAUGAAAUUUGUUAUUUUAAACCCUCAUUCAUGAAAAUUCAGAAAUGACACCAAUUUACAUAGAAUUUAAAAUGGGAAUUAGAUGUCCCAAAUUCCAAGUUUUUUUCUCAUGCAGAAAUUCUAAAUUUCUAUGUUUAUGAAUCCAAACAAGAGAAUUGGUACAUGUUAAUUUUUAAAUUCCAGCUUUUAUCAAAAUUCCAAGUUUAUUUCCCUCAUCCAAACAUAGUGUUAGUUUAAAACUGUGAAGAUUUUGAUUUAUCGAUUACAAACUAAAUAAGUACUUGAAUUCUUAGGCACUUCAACGUAUGAACUUGUGCAAAUGAACAAGGUCGGCCCUGAGAUUUUGAAGGCCCGAGCUAAGCUACCAAAUAGGAGCCCUUUAAUUCUUAGGCACUCCAAUUGGUUGUAGGUUCAUAUACAUUUUAUUUUUAUAGUAAAUACUCAUUAAUUUAUUAUUAUAUCGUACUCUUAUUUAAUUAAUAAUCAACAAUAUGCUAAAGUUUUAAGAAGGUGUUUGGACCCAAAAUUACAUCAUCGGCCCGUGCAAUCAAGGCCGUUGAGUAGGCAUAGCUCUCAAUCGUCGGAUAAAAAAGCAGAGAUAAUUUUGUUAUUAAAGGAUAAUAUUAUGGUUUUUAUCAUAAUUAUCUUUUAAUGAUUUAUCUCGACAUCUUCUUAUGAAAGAGGGAAAAUAUAUCUCCAAGCUGGAAACACGCAGCACAAUUCAAAGCGAUUUGGAUGUUUGGCGUGUGGAUGUGGUUUGGAUCGGUUUUAGUUGACAAAUAUGCAUGCAUGUGAUAAGGGUGAAGUAAAAAUGGUGAUAUGCUUUGAAAAUGAGUCUACAUGUGUUGGUGAUAAGAUGGCAGCAACUGCCUUGCUGACAAUUAACAUUGGGUAUUUUAUGCUAAAUCAUGCAUAUUGGUAUAUGCUUUUGUAUUGUGGGCCAGCAUAUGUUUUUUUUUUAUGGAGCCAAAUUCAUUUAACAAUGGAUAUUUGGAACAAUAAGAAGUUUAAGUAGGCAUAGGCCUUUGAGAGUUUGAGUUUCAGUUGGUUUCUACGAAAUCAUCAAGGCCACGCCAAGCGGGAUCAUGCAUAUUUGAAAGAGAAUAUUCCUAUUAUUUUGCAACUUACGACGGCAAUCUUACGGUUAUAGAGGCAAUGACAACAUAAAGGUGGUAUUUCGAAUUCAACACACAAACUGCCAUGCACAAACUCUUGCUCUACGCGAAACCUCUUAACAACCUUGAGAUUUUUAUUUUCCUUUUUCGCCAACACAUCUUCAGUUUGGAUAAAUAGCACUAUGAAGGCAACCGGUGAACAUCUUCACUUUGGAUAAACAAUACUAUAACCGUAGAACCAUUCGACCAUGAAGCACCUUUAGUUUGGAUAAACAACAUUGCUCCGAGACCGAUUGAUUACCUAUCCAAGUCUCGGUCAAGAAGAAUUUUCAAGUCCUUACUAGUAGAGAUCAUCUCAUCAGCCUUCUCGACGAAGUGAGGUGUUACCAGGUUACUACAUUCGGCACCCUGAGAGCCCAAUUUGAUAUUGAACUUCGUAGAACUAAUAGCCUUGUCUUCAGGUUCUAGAACCUGAAGGUCGAGACGUGUUCAUUUCUCGACCGCAGUCGUGAGAUUCAGAAGUCAAUAGUGCGCCCAAUGCAACAUCAACUCAUUUUACUUACCGGUCAAGCUCGACCGUCGAGUUGGCAUGCCCCACACACAACCGAAGGACAUAGUUAGCUUUUUAAUUACUCGGCUUGUGCGCCACGUAUACUUGAUAGUUUUUAAGAUCAACAGAAGGUAAAGAGCAAUAAAAACUGAUUAACGAAUUUAACAAAUUUAAUAGCGCCAAUUGAUCCUCUUGUAUUCUUCUUGAAAUCAAUUUCACAAUAACGAAUAUUAGAAUCAUGAGAUGAUUGAUAAUAAAUUAUUGAAACAGAGAAGAUAUAGCAAAUAAGAUAAGGUAGCUGGCAUUUGAUAGCGAUUUUGCUUGUAAAACUACACUUUUUGUCCAUCCAGAAGAAACCCAUUCUUCUGUUACAUGGCUUAACCGUGACCACACAAAACAGGAGAGCACGGGAAGGGCACCAGAAGUGGAGGGCAAACAAUCCUUGUCCGUGCUUUGUCCAUCGAGAAUAAGAAAUUGUAGGGACUAGGGGCCCAUUGCUCUUUUGAGAUGCAAGUUAAGGGACCUAACAAAGGGAAGUAAAAAGCAUUGGUAGGACAAAACAAGCCGUUUUAGGAAAACAACUUGGGGGAAGAUUCUCUCAUUUCCUAAUCUCUCUCCCAUUUUCUCUCCUUCUAUUUGAACGGUUACGGUUUAGCUACGUCAAUAUCUUAUAUAUAUAUUUUUAGAGACGAUAAGACAAAAAAUAAUAUGUGGGAGAAGGGAAAAGAAGGGGAUGAGAAUAGGAGGGGAGAUAAUUCUCUUCCAAACAACUUGCCUAUACAAUUCGGAUUCUAAGACGGUGGUAUCCCAAACGAAUCUCAUCCGACUAUGUGUUUAAACAUUGCACAUGACACCACGUGAUUGUUAAAACAUUGUCACCGUAGUGUAUUGUACAUAUACAUGAUUGUUUUGAAGUAACAUCAUCAUUGUGACAUAUUCAUGACGUAUGCUUAUCUCGCCGACUAGAGUUUCAGAUUCCUAACCAGGCGGGCAUAAACGUGCUUACAGCCUAAAAGGCCUUAACCUCAUAGAUCUGAAAACACAUUUCUGUCGGAGAAAUUGUCAAGAAUAAGAUACGAACUAGAGUUUACUCCGGGCAAGAUACCUGAGAUUUUUAGCCGUUAAAGUCAUUGAAUUCUUGACCAAUGAUCUAACAGCUAAGUUCACAUUGUAUAACCGAGGCACACUACAGAACGUAGAAAAAAAUAAUGGGGAUUAAAACGCUUCAUUGGGUAGAGGGAUAAGUGACAAAACAAUGAGAAAAAACACAUCAAUUGUAUUAGAAAUGCAACUUGCCAAUGUGCACAACAACAAAUGAACAUAGUUGCUACUCCACCGCAAAACCACCUCUGUGUCUGUCAAAUCUUAUUAAUCUCUGCGAGCAGAGGUAGCAAAACAACCUUGAAAAAAAACCCCCCACAACUUUCCAUAUGUUUUUUUUGACACCCCCGUUAACCCCUCAUAAUCAUAAACUACUAAUGACACAUUCUUCAAAGAACACGAAAAUAUAAAAAUACUAAUAAAAGAAAACCCAAAUGGCGCAAUGCCUGUAUAGAGAGAGAGAGAGAGAGCGAGAGCAGCAGAGGCUUAAUUCAAUUCAAUGUUUUGAUUCGAAGGGGUGAAGACUGAAGAGCCGCCAUUAAAGCUUUAAGCUUGGGGCUUGUCCCACUUGAGUGGCUUGACAACCUCCCAGGUGAAGUCGGGGUCAUCCCUCCCGAA
rnacentral:lncRNA from 1 species